rnacentral:lncRNA from 1 species
UUCUCUCUCCUGCUUAGUUGGUUUCUCUUUCUUCUUUGCUUCCCUCACCGUACCAAUCUUAGAUGGAUUCAGCAUGAUUGUUUCAGGUGGGAGCUUGUCAAGAAGAGAGUGCACUUCCUUCUCUCUCCUCUGUUUAGAUGUUUCAAAUGGGUUUGCCACCCAGGAAUCGAAGUUGGGUUCACCUGAUCCGGGAAUAAGAAUACCAGACACACCCAUGGAGUGUCCGAUGCCUAACACAUCUUCAUAUGGGCGAAAUGAAACUUUUCCUAUUUGGUAGCCUUUCACCAUAGAAUAACCCAUGUAUCUGUUAUAGUUAUGAGAUCCAGAAAAAUCUCCAGAAUCUGUACAAAUGAUCCAGUCCCGACAGCAAGCAAACCUUUCCGACUGAAGUCUAAAGUCUUUGCAUGGCCAGGUAAUGUCUGAAGAACCUCAUAUUUCCUCAAGUCCCAAAUCUUAAUUUUACAGUCUUUGCCAGAUGUGGCCAUGAGAUGACCAUUAGGAUGAAAUGCCAACGCUGAAACAGGCCCCUGAUGACAUAGCAUCUUGAUAAGCAGAGCAGCGGUGGUGGGUUUCCACAUGGUUACCGUACCACCAGAAUGACCCAAAGAAACAACCCCAUUGAAGGGAUUCACCCGUAUUACAUCAGUACGGCCUAGACCAGUCCAAAAAUUACCCACAAUCUCACCCAUUGUAACAUUUUGAUAUCGAAGCUGCCCAAGUUUGUUUAUGGACGCCAAGAGAAACUGAAGUUUCAGAACUUCACCAUGUUCCUGCAAGAUUGAAAGAGCAUAAAUUAUUAGUCUUGUUGGGUUGGACUACAUCACUUUGGGCAUUCUCAAAUUUGAACGACCUACAGCUAAAAAGAUCGAAAUCCUACAAGUAAAGCGAACUCGCCUUUGAACAAUGAAGUUCAGUGCCAUCUCGGUUGUAAAAAUAAGGGUACCUGUCAAAAUUUAGAAUUUUUAGCUGUCAUUCAAACAAAGCUACAGAAUUAUCUGAGUCCAUUACAUCAUUGUUCAUAUUGAUAUCUAACCAUGCAAAAUAUAACUUUGAGACUGUCAUCAAAAGAUGGCAAAACAUAAAAACAAUAAUAAAAAUGAAAGCUCAUUUAAGGAACUACAAAACUGCGAGGAAUUGCACUGUGUGUGUGUGUUGUCAUCAGUAACAAAGAAAUUUACUUAUAUGAAUAAAACCAAAUGUCCAAAACAGAGUAUGUUGGGAAUUUGAGAAAAAAAAAAAAAAGAAAGAACUGGAGCACCUGAAAUAGAGCUUCAUAAUGAGUUUGGGUUGAAAAAUAAACUCCAGAAAAACCAAAAACAAUGAAGGAAUGGUAACCUAGGCCAACUCAAACAAGUUAUGCCUUCACGGGGUUCAAAUUUAAGCCAUAUAAAGGAUUUGGGAUGACCAGUUUCCUAUUACAACCGACCAUAACAAGAAAGGAAUGCCAAUAAUUUUCCAAUGUUGUACAGAAAUAUGCAGCAUGCUGCAGAGGAAUAAGGAUUCCUUUAAACAAGUAGUGAUAAUUGAAAGUCUCCAAUUUUGUUCAAAAGAAGAUUGUCACUGACUGGUUAAAAUAAAGCUAAAUCAGGAAAAUAACUAAUCAGUUCUGCACAUGAUUUGUUUUUCCCUCGAAUGACCUCAUGCAGAACGAUCAAUUAGAUUGAUCAAGUUCCAGCGAUAUCCAAUAUAGCCAGCAGUGAAAAUUCAAGUAAGACUCAGACCAAAAUAGACCUCUGGUCCCAGAGACAAAAAAUUCAAUUAAUUCAAAGUGUCUAAUUCUUAUGAAGGUUCCAAAAGAUAUCAGGCAUCAAAUAUAGUUAAUAAUGCAUUCUCUAUAUGAACGAACACCAAUACGUUUAGAGCAUACGAAUUUACUAUUCAUUGAAACAUUAAAAAAUAAAAUAAAACAGGUAUACUUUUUCUGGGCAGCAGCAAAAAACAGCUUAUUGUGCAAGAAGACCACAUCGCGUACUGUUUCUCUAACCUGAACAAACCAACAAACAAUCAGUAUAUCCAUUUAAUCUUCCCAGAUAGAACCUGGAGGUACAAACAAAGAAAAUUACUCCAUUAGAGUAUGCAAAGUAAUACUGAGAUAUCUAACAAACAGUAAGAUAAAUAAAAUAUCAAAUUUGAGUCAUUUGUCCCAGCAUAACCUAUUUUUUAAAAUUCUAAAUAACUUCUUGUUUGUCAACACAUACUAGGUUUCCUAGAUAAACACAAGUAACAUUGCAAUCAGUUUGUCAAGAGAUAUAAGAGGUCUCAUCAAAAGAACAGCAUACCUGUAUUUCUUUAACUAAGUUCAUAUUGUUCAUGUCCACAACAGCUAGGUGCCCCUUGCAUCCAGCAGCUGCCAUAUAUCGACCACUUGACGUAAAAUCCAGAGUAUAUGGACCAAGUUCUGCACAGGUAGGACGAAAACAAAAGUUAUCAUUAGCAAUAUGACACUAGUCAGGCAAUAGACAAAGAAGUAAGUUUUGUUUAAGAUAGUUGCCCAACAGAGCAGUAUGAACAUCAGUGAAUGAACCAUUGAUCAAGCAACAUCACCAAAAGACCAAAUGUACUUUUAAGUCAUUCAGAGGAACCGCAGCAACAAUUUUAUAAGGUCGUGGGCAAUGAAAAUACAUAGCAUAACUAUCUCAAAUUGGAGAGACCAGAAAACCAAAGAAGAAUCCAAAGAUGAAGACAUGGCCCAAAACAGAAAAUUAAAAGGUUGUACCCAAGUGUUGUUGAUCGUAUUACAACCUAACAAAAAGUCCAAGAUUCUACUUUACCAGGCUACAGCCAUAUUUGAUAUUAAGGUUGGGCAACUUUAGCUUUUAAAUUAUAACAUUACAAUGUUCGGUAAAUAUUAACUACUGUGGAUUGAAAGCUAAGUUGUUUUAAUCCACCACUUGCAUGGUGGAAAACCUAUAAUACCCUUAUUUUUUUUCAAAAUUAUUAUUUAAAAGUCAUAUUUUCUACACACUAUUAAGCUACAACAUCUAAACAACAAACAGCGCCUAUAUUUUAUUAAGAAAAGCAUGCAAUGGGAGCCAACUUUUAACUCUAAAGAUAACUCUAGCAAAUUUAAUUAAACAUUGAAGCACAAUUUCCCUUUUUAUUUUCAUAAAAAUUCCUUCUUUUACCAGUCCCUUCAAAGUUGAAUAACAAAAGCCAAAUUACGGAUUUCACUCCUCAAACAGAAAUUCUAGAGCAAGUGUAUGGUGAAGAACUCUGAUCCCAUUCUACUCAUUUUACAAAAUAAAACUCUUUAUUACUUUUCAAUUCCUUAUCCACCUUCCCUUUUCAGCCAAGAUCUCUCCAUAGAUAACAACAUAUUUUCAGCAAACCUUAAAAGAGUUGCAAUGAUUUCAGUAUUUUUCUUUCAUAGUUUCUACAAUUCUCUUAAUUUUUUGCAUUUUUAACUAAUUCAAACAAAGAUAAUAGGUAUGCAACUGCAUAAGACAUGCCACAAUUUCACUAUAGGAACAAGAAAUUUGAAUUUAAAAUUGUCCUUAAAUAGACAAUGAGUCAAACAAAAACUUAACCAAUGGAAACUGGUAGAAAAAUAGUCAGGGAGCAGGCAUCAACCUGGUAACAUGAUAUCAUAUUAAUUUCUGGAGCUUAGGAUAUCUACUUCACGAGCAAUUGCUUCUUGUUUGAUCCGCCAUGUCUUUUCUACACCUUCCGCCUCCAAAUAGCCUCCCUCACUUGGCAUAAGCCACUAGAAGAAAGGAGCAAAAAUUAAUUAAUUAAAUCAUAUAAUUCUUCUCUGAGAGCAAGUUGACCCUUCAAUUUUUGUCUUUUAAAAUCUGCAGAAAUGAAAAGCUUAGAACUGAAUAAAUAUCAUAAAAAAUCAACUCUGACAAGAAAUCUCAAUCAACAAUACCAUACCUCCAAAUUAGCACCCUCUCCUCUGAGAUAUUUCUUGACCUUUGUAUCUAAUUCAUUGGAGAUCUCCUGAAGAUUAAACAUAUAUCACGUCACUUCCUAACUUCGAAAUAGAAACAAUGCGCAUCCAAUAUAAUAAAAAUAUAUUGUUGAACAUCCGAUAAUAAUGAGUUUAUUGAAAAGCAUUAAAGUGCUUUCUGGAAAAGCAUUUUGUUAACUAUUUCCAAAAACAAAUCCACUUCUCGAAAUACUUAAUUCGAUUUCUAAAUAAAUCAAUCAAUCAAUUAAUCAACUGCUUAUGUCAUUCAGAUUAAAGCUUCAAAGAGCGCAGAGAGAAGCAAACCUCGUGAGCGCAAUGAGUUAUUAAACCUUGUGAGCGGAAUGACUUAUUAGAAACACAUCGUAUUGCCUUUAAUCGGAAAAAAAAAUGCAGGAAGUUUCCAAUUUCCAAAGUUAAUUAACUUAAUUAGUAAUCUGACUAUACGCAAAUCUAAGUAAAAGAAACUGCCACGUAAUUGCACACUGAGAGAUAUCAUUGACAUCUCAUGUUUGGUUCCACUACUCUCCUCCUAUGGGUAGAAAAAAUGCACCCAUUAUCGCUUCUUUAUUCAACAUCUACUAACCAACCAAAAGCACAAUUAACUAAAAGGUUGAACCGGGCUUAGACUUCUGGGUUACACAACUAAUUCCUUUUGGUUUGCAUAAAGUCCCACAAGAUACAAACUCUGCUAAUAAUAAUUUGAGAACUAAAGAGUUGAAUAGAUUCCCAUAAUCCACAGUGCAUCUCACCUAGUACAUUAUCAGAGAUGUUCGUAUCAAAUUGUUGAAGAAAAAUCAGUUUUUUUUUUAUUAAUAAAAAACUUUUAGGAUCGAUCUCAUACAAUAUAUAAGAAUUCGUAAUAUAGAAAUCGUACUUUGAAAAUCUUAGAAGAUGACCAAUUUUUGCUUUUUCCGUUGAAGUGAUUUAGGCUUCCAGAUCACGAUCCGUCACCGCCACUCCUGUUAGAUCACGAUCCGCCACCAAAUAAUCUUUCAGGCUAUGACUCAAGUUUGAUCUGCACUUGACGUGUGAGCGCCUUUAUCACCACUAAAGCAACUAAUAAGUUAGAGAGAAAAUUUAUUUUUCUCUGAUAUGUAUAUUGCGACUCUUUCUUUUUCUUUAGAGAAAAUAAACCUUUUUAUAUAUCCCUUUAGUGAAAACCCUAAGCUCCAAAUAAUAAAAACCAAAAGUCAUGUUACUUGCUUUUUCUAUAAGGGUCCACCUUGUAAAAUAACAUAAGGCCCCUUACACACAAGCAUAUUAAAUGGAGCCUCCCACUAAAUGAUAUAUUUAGACUUUUGACCUAAAUAGCUAGUUAUCUUUCUUAUUAAUCCAGUAGUAGUGUAGUCAAUUAAAUGAGCUAACCCGGGAAUCAUAUGAGUACAUACAAUAGUGGCUACAAUAAUUAGGCCUGUAAUUAAACUAGCCCAAUUAUUUAAUUCCAAAUCUACUCCACUAAAAGAUUGGAACUGACCUCCAUAAUUAUAUGCUAUCCAGGAUAGUGUUCUCGAAUAAUAAUUCGACCCAUGCCACAUUGAUUUCUUUACUGCACAAUCAUUUGUACCACAUCGUUAAUUAAAUUGAUAUCUCAACUAUCCAAUCAAUUUAAUAACAUCUUGUUCCUUGAUACUUACUAGUUUUCUCUAAUGAUCAUUUUCAACAUACUAAAUAUGUUGACACACUCUGGCUAGAGAAUUCUAUGAUCAAGUACCGAAAACCCAUCAAGAGAUGUGUUGUACAAAUUCUAUAUUGUUAAUCUAUAACUCCAAUACUUAUAAUUGCUCACACUAAGAUACCGGGUAAUCUUGCCCAUAAGUGUGUGUCGUGCCUAUUGGUAACUCAAAUGGAAUAACAAUUACAAUCAUGAAAUCAUAACUAACUCAAGAUUAAGAUUACAGUAAAAUCAAUGCCUAUGAGAUUUAAUAAGUUUGACAGUCAUUUCAAGGUUAAUUAAAUCUCAUAUGUGAUCCUAUUCAAUGUAGUCGUACUAUAUCAAUAAAUUCAUACAUGAUUAAGACAAAUCAUUCAAUGAAUUUAUUACAGUCUAUACCUAAAUAAAGUAUCCAACUUUAUUUAUCAACUGCGAACAUAAUUUAUUUAAUCAUAAGAUAACUUGUAUUUAUGUCUUCUGUGAAUCGACAUGGUAAUCACAUAAAUACAUAUAAUAUGAUCAAAUGGACUUUACUCAAAAUAUUAAUAUAAUUCAGAUACUUGAAUAAAAUACCUCAUUUAUUUUAUUAAUCAGAAAAAUUAUUUAUUACAAUUAAAUAAACACAUAUGCUUUUAAAGAGCACAUUUUCCCGACACAAAUAACUAAGAUUAGAUCAAUUCAGUUCAAUAUAUUUGGGAACAAAAUAAUUGACAUUUGACAAUUAUUCCAUCAGUAGAAACCAUAAGAUGAAAAUAAAGUUGGUCAAAUUGCACAUAGGGACAAUAAGAACACAAGCCAAACCUGUAUCAAGACAAAGGCUUCAUCCGAUAGACCUUCCUGCAAUAAACAAUAGCAUUUUAAAGACUAGUAAAGGCCAGGUCGGAGCGAUACAAAGCAGGAGGAGAUGGUGCAGUAAGAUUUAUGUAAAUCUGGAAUAUGAAUAAAAAUAUAACUCAAGAAAGAACCUACCUGGGUUGCUUCCAGCUGAGAGGCAUUAUGAUUUUCUCUGAUAUAUUCAUGCAGCAGUCCAGGAAUUUUCCAACUCUGGUCUUGAGAACCAGAGCUUUAUUCGCUAGCCGAUAAUAUCAAAUCCUUGAAAGGGAGGGAGCCAACUGAUCUCAAAGCAAAGUAUUCACAAGCAGUAGUUGAUAAACUGCAAAUCUGCAUUAAAUAUUACAUCCAUUACAUGCCAGCAUUUGCUUUUAAUAAGAAGAACAAAUAAAAUCAAUAAAGAUAUUGUUUAAAGCCAAAGCGUGAACCAGUGGUUGCGCGGCUGUCUGGCUGACGAGGAGGCGACAAUGAAUGGCGCGAGCUCGACGGCUUGAUGAUCGGCGGUCGCCAUCGGCAGCGGGAUGAAUGCGGAAAGCAUGGGAACGCAAAUUUGGAGCACGGGGUUUCAGUUCUCAUUCGUUUUCGAGCUAUUAAGCCUCUUCGCUGGUAGGCUUUUGUUUUAAAAGAUGGUCCUGACCCAGAGAAGCAACAAAGAAAAUGCUGUGAGUUAAAGAGAAUUUUCCAAUGACGAUUGUACCCUUAAAUAAAUAGUUAAAUGUUGAAGAAAAGCACAAUAAUGGGCGGUUAAAUAAUUCCCAAAAAUAAGGGCCAAAAUCAUUUUUUAAAUUUAUAAUACACUUUAAAAUAGUGGUUGGAAAAAGAGUUGGAGCUGGUACCAAUUACGAGUGGGGAAAUUUGCAUUCCAAUGAAUUUGAUUGUGUUAUGAAUUUUUCGGAUUGGGAUAUAAUUCAUUAAAAAAAAAUUAGAAACGAAUAAAAAAUUAAAAGUAGUAAGCAUUUCAUUAAACAAAAUUGCAAAUUCAUAUGUAUUGAAUACAAAUAAACUUAAAACAAUCACUAGAAGCAUAUUGAAAUUAAGAGAACAAUAUAAGACAGCCCUGACGGCUAGGUGCGAUGUAGAUGGAAUAUCUGUUCGUGCCUGGGUGGGUUGGCACGAUGGAACUAUUGACAACUGUCGGUGGCUUAGCGUGGUUAGUGGUAUUUGUUAUCAUUAUUAUGGUGUGUUUACUUGAGGGUUUAGGGAAUGAGAAUGAAGAAAUGAGAAUGAAACCUAUGUUUACUUGACAAAAUGUAAUUUGAGAAUAAGAAUAAAAUGUGUGGGUCUCACACAAUUUGAGAAUAAGGAAUGAGAAUCUUAUUCCCAUGGGGGGUUGUAGGGAUGUCAAUGGGGCAGAAUAGAUCCGUCAUGAAUCUAUAUUUUUCGCUCCAUAUCCAGAUCCAAAAAAGAAAUAAAUAUCUAUAUCUGCUCCAAAUCCAAAAAAAAAAAUUAAAAUCCAAAUAUACUCUAGAUCCGUCAUGAAUUCUAAAACUCAGCAAUAAAAAAAUAAUAAUUUUUUAGAAUGAAAAUUGAAGGCUAAAAUGUUUUGAUAAAAAAUAAAUUAUAUAAUGUAUCUCAAAAUAUAAUAAAUAUUGUAGUUUAUACUUUUACACCAAAACAACAAAUAAGAAAGAUAAUAAAAUAUUUUUCAAAAGUAAUUGCAGGAGUAAGAUCAAUCUAAUAUUAUAUUAUCUCCUUCAUCAUUCUAAUAACCACACACACACACCCACCCUCAUUCUUACAACAUUAGAUAAUGACAUAUAAAUUAAAUAUGAUUUAUAUUCAGUGUUUUAUUAUUUUUAUUAUGGCCAUAUUUGACUAAAUAUAUGAAUAACUAUAUUCCUUAAAAAUUAUUUGGCCAAUAUAGCAAAAUAAAUUACCAAGUUGUAUUACUUGGCUUGCAAUUUGAAUAUUGCAUGUACAUGCUUUAGGGCUGACUGGCCUUUAAAUUUACAAAACUAACCUUUAAGUUUUAAGAAUUUAAAUGCAUGGUAAAUAUCACUAAUAUGCUAUGAAUAAAAUUAAUUAUCAUUAUAAUUCUACAAUUGUUAAGAGACUUUUAAAAUAAAAUUAAAUUAAAAGAUGGGUGGAUAUGGAUAUGGAUUUAGAUAUUAGGAUAGAUCCAGACCUACUCCAGAUUCGUCUUAGAUCCGCACAUCAAUAUCCAAAUCCGAUCCAAAUUCAUUUUAAACCGAUCCAAAUCCGAUUCGAUUGGAUUUGGAUCACGUGGAUCUUGGAUCAGAUCCAAUCCAUUGCCAUCCCUAGGGGGUUGGGAAUGGGAAUGAAAUUCAUGUUUACUUUUGUAUUUCUCUAAUUUUUUUAUAUUUUCUGAAUUAUCCUCGUUCAAAUCACAAUUAAUUUUAUUAUUUUAAAUGUCAUUAUUAUUAUUAUUAUUAAAUUUUAUUAACUUUAUUAUUAAUUAUUGUUAUUAUUAUUUUUAUUAAUAUUAUCAUUUAUUAUUAUUAUUAUUUUUAUUUUUUUAAUUAAUAUCAUUUUAUAAUAAUAUUUAUACAUGUAUCUAGUUAAUGAAAUUACCUUAUUUAAUACUAUGGGUAUUUUGGUAAAUUGAUUCUCAUUCCUCAUUUUCAUUUAUUUUGCCAAGUAAACACAUCAAUGGCAUCCCAGCACAUUCACAUUCCCAUUUAUUUUUGCCAAGUAAAUAUCGGAAUCUCAUUCUCAUUCCCCAUUCUCAUUCCAGCUCAUUCUCAUUCUAUCUCAUUCUCAUUUCAUGAAGUAAACACACCAUUAUUCUUUUAAUCUCGAAAGGGUUUGUUAGAAUUAGAAAUUAGGCUUUAGUUUUGUCUUAGUUUUAGGAUGCAUUAUUUUUUUGUUUUACUUUUUUUAAUUUUGAGAUCUAAUCCAAUCUAAUUUAACUCGAUCUGAACAUAAAACAAUAAAAAUUAUCUAAACAGUUCUCAAUUCAAAUAAGUUCAAUUAAAAUCUGAAUUUGUAUGAAUUAGAAUAAUGGCAAGAAAUCAAAGUUUGGAUAUGUUUUGAGUAACUUUGAAUAGGUCCAAAUCUGAUAAGAUCAGUAAAAAUUAUCUAAACUCAAUCGAAUAGAUUUGAACCGUUCAGGUUCAAAUCAGAUAUGGUUCUACAUACGUUGUGUGAAACAUCAAAUUUCACAACGAAAACUCUUUUCUUGUUCAAAGAAACAAAGAAAAAGGAUAGUGUUGACACCAUAAGUUUGGCCUAACAAUAAGAUCGGAAUUAAUUUGGGAAUGGACCCAUAAUUCCUCGAGAUGAUUACUCAAGAGGUCGGAGAUUGAGAUGCUUUGAUCUACAAGAGAAAAAAAACAGUGAGGGUUGUGUUGGAGUUACUAUCAAUGAAGACCUUUCAAUGCUUAAGCCCAAAAUUGGGAGCCUCGACAAUAACAAUUGUAAAUGUUUGAGGAAAAUGUGUAUGCUAACAUGGACUAAUGAGUUGAUUAUACAUGGCGAAAGAAAGUCAACCAAAUUAGAGUCAGCUCAUUUGACUGAAUAGUGGUAUAGUUUACAAAGGUUAAAAGAUAAGCUCCAUGGGAAAAAGGACAGUUUCGAUAAAUAUAUUUCCAAGCGGUAUUAUCAGAACUCAAAUUUUGUUGGUUGGAGCUAACAAGUAAAUAGUGCACUCCAUCAUGAGAAAAAAUAAAAUAUCUUCUUUUUAACUAAGAAUAAGGAAACAAUAUGAAUAAAGAUUCUUUGAGCAAAGCAAUAAGAGGGGACCAUGUCAGCUAUCCUUUACUAACCCUUGAUAAACAGAAUACCCUUAGGAACAAGGUUGAGAGACUGCCAUGUGCCCAGCUACGGAGGCAAAAAUGUAACUGAAGGUUUUCUUACAUCCCAAGCUUAUGGAAGUCACCAUCAAAGAACAAAAAAUUGAAUUAAUAAAAUAACCUCACUUAAGAGCAAAAAGGCUAUUGUCAAAGAUUCAAGCUUCCUUGAACCUUCAGGCCACUGUUUCAUUGUCCAAUACCUUACUUGAGAGGAGGAUAUCUCUCUCUUUUUCCUCUAUCCACCUCUUGGGAGCUUCUUUCCAAAUCUGAUUUCUUGAAAAGUUACUUCAUCUUUUUCUUCCUCUACUUCUAGGGUUUUUCCCUCCAUGUGUUUAUAUCUUCAUGGAAGAUCUUGACUACCUCACCUCUUAAAAGAGUUUUUUCCUUUAUUAUUCUACUAGAAAACUCUCUAAUUUUCAUAAGACCGACAUCUUCCUCAUACUAGUAUUCACCAUAAACGACCUUUAAUGAGGUUUUGUUGAUAUUAAGAGUUGGCCUGCCUAAGGCCACGUUUCAAGAACUUAAGAGAUGUUUCAAGCUCCAGACUAAUCCAAAGGAGCAUGAGGGCUGGUUUUAUCCAUCAUCAUGGCCCAAAACGAAAAGGUUGGUUCAAAAUCUACUGAUCAUAAAUAAAAAUUUUAAAGAUCGAUGGCUUUGGGCCUUAGGAGAUUGCAACCAAUUCGUUAUACAGAAAAAGACAAACAAAGUACCAAGUGUAUUUAGACAACUAGGUCUGGUUUUAGUUAGUACUUAAAACAUACAUAGAGGUAUGAGCGUUCAUAACAAACAUAAGUACAUGUCAUGCAGUUUUGUGAGGUGAUCAAUCAAAGGUAUCACUGCAAAUUCGAACAAAUAUUAGAAAAGCACUGCAAUACUGCAAUUCGUACAUAGUAGAGAACUUUCAAGUGAAUGGACUUGUGGAUUUGCAAGAGGCUAAGCCAACACGAUAUGUGAAGAAAAAGAGAAAGGAACUGACCUGAUCAUAUGAGCUAUGCUCACAUAAGAUGUAAGAUAAAAUAUGCAAUUACUAACUGGGAUAGUGGGAUAGCAAUGACCACCACCUGUAGCGGGUUUGUUAUUAUCGAACCCACACCGUCAAAAAAAUUUAAAUUACCAAAUUUAUUUGCAAUCUGCUGUGGGUUUUAACAAUUACCAAGUACAUUUAAAACCUACAAUGAAUUUUGCUUGUAACCCACAGUGGCUAUAAUAGCAAUAAAUUUAUUUUAAAUUAGCAUGUUCUGCCCAUAACCUGCAAUGGCAGCAUAAGCAAUAGAUUUAUUUUAAAUCAUAACACAUCUAGAAUUAUAGUGCAAUAGAUUUAUUUUAAAUCAUAACACAUCUAGAAUUAUAGUGCCAUAUUACUAUUGCAUACAAAAUAUACUAUUACAUUCAAGAAUAUUAUACUUUUCCUAUUACAUUAUUACUAUUGCAUUAAAAAAAUUAGAUUUAUCUAAACAUUUCUAUAAAAAUAUACUUUUACUAUUUGCAUACAAAUAUGCAAUUAACUCUGCAGUAAAAGUUAUGCUUAUACUUGAGCUUUUGAUUAGAUUAGUAGUAGCCAAGUUUAGGUUGAUUUUUAACCCAAACCAACUAAUUUAAGACAAACCAAUUUCAACUAAUAUAGUUGUCUUUUUAUUGAUAGCUACACAAGUGUAUUUAAAAAAAAUAUAUGCAUAUGUUCUAUGAAAAGUGAAAAGAACGACAUGAAUCAAUCUAGCGAUAGCAAUUAUUUAUCUUUAUAAUUAAAUAUUUUUAUAAUUAAGAAGAUUAUGUCAGGUUUUGAACAACAAAUGGCCACUGAUAACUUAGUUUAUGUAUUUUUAUAAUUAAAUAUUUUUAGUGAAAUUUUAAUAAUUAAAAUUUAUAAAAAAUAAUUAAAAUAAAAUUAUGGAUUGGCAGAAACCCAUGAAUAUCCGCUGAAUUUUUUAUUAAUACCAAACUCACCCACAACUCGCACCGAAUUUAAAUUUGUAAUAGCAAUCUCAUCUGCAGCCCACAAAAUUACCAGUAACAAAUGGUUUUUUGGUUGGUAGGUUCGGACAGAUUUAGGGAUUUGUGGGUACCAUUGUCAUCCCUAUCAUUGACCCCAUGCUGUCAACAAGAACCGUAUAAUCAAGUAUUUUUGGAAAACUAAAGAAAAGGACCCACUAGGAGAUGGAUCCAAAAGAUGGAGGUUCAAAGCAAACAUCCAAUAUAGUUGGGGCACAAACACGAAGACAACCCCUCGCAGCAUGCCUGACAAUAAUGGUACCAAUUUUAGCAUCAACUGUGCAUAAUGGAAAUUCAGCAAUCAUUGUUAAACAAAAUCUGACCGAGACAAAGAAAAAAGAAAUUGCUUUGAGCACACCCGACAUGUGGUGUAUUUUACUAAAGCAUACGUGUACAGAGAAAGAGCUCGUAUGAAAUCCUUUAAUGGAGUGUGAUCAAGAGGUAAUACAUAAAAUUUAAAACGUAUUAAAGAUUCAAAGUAUAUGAAAAUAUUAUAAUAGAAGUAUAAUAGAUCUAACCUUUGCUUAUGGCCAGGCAAAUUAUCGUAGAUGUAGGCUUAGGCAAUACCAUGACCAUCUGAUCAAACAUGGAAUAAAGGGCAUUGCUAUCCUAAAUAAAUUGAAGAGCAACAUGGCAGAGAUGAAAGCAAAGGCCGAGAAAAAAUUUAAAGCACAUGAGAGCGAAAAAAAAAAAUAAUAAAAAAAUAAAAAAACUAAGGCAAGGACAGAAAAAGCUAGAGGAAAAGGCUCUUCGUUGGGAAGAAUUAAUCACAAAAUUGAAGAGAACGAACAGUUAAUUCGAAAAAGAAAAGCAGAUCGAAUGUGACGAAGGUACUUUGCUGGUGGAGGAAAAACACCCUGGCAUAGAUUUAAAGAGCAUCAAGGAAGAGAUCGGAGUCUCCAAGACUAAAAUACAAAAGCAGCUAAGGCAAGUGACCAGAGAAAGAAUGAAGGGAAUAGAUGCGGAAACAAUGGUUCUCCAGAAUAAGGAUGCCCCAUCAACCUAAAUUGAUAUUAAGGAAAAGCAAUCAGCAUGUAAUAGCUAUAUAAUUUUGAAUUAAUAGUGAUGUAUGAUUUGAACAACCAGCAAGUUAUUUGUGAAACUUGUGGCAUUGCAUAUAUUUCAUAUCUUAUUUCACAUUGAUUAAAUGUAUUGUAUUAAAAAUAUAUUUUAGAAGCCAGAAUUAAAAUUUUAAAAAUUAUGCCGCGAAAGCACUACAAGAAAUAAGAUUAUAUAGCGAAAGGGCUACAAGAAAUAAGAAUUAAAAUAAGAACAAAAUUAAGAACUGGAUCAUAAAUAAUGCUCGAAGUUUAAUUUCGUUAGGGGUAAUACUUGUGAGGCAUUGCAGCAUUAUAUUUCUUAUAAUUCUUCCAGACGUUUUUGCCAUCAGGUCCCUCAAGUUGAUAAGUCCCAGGGAAAACCAUUUUCAGCACAUUGCAAGGUCCUUCCCACUUAACCAUGAGGCUUCCCUUCUCAGUAAUGUAACCUCGUUAGAAGAUUCAAAACCAAUGGAAACUAAUUUAGCCAUAAGCAUGGCUCUUGCCAAAGGAAUUCCAAUGCCGAGAUUGUGUCAAUCCAUAUCCAAUGAAAACAGCAUCAUCAAGGCAGACAAACCCCUCAAUCAAAGUAAAUCUACAUCAUCUAGAAUCAAGGAAAUCUCUAAUGGCUAGUUAAUUGAAAUUCCUGACUGUAUGAAAUUUAUUUUUUCAUUUUUUAUCUCUUUGUAUUUUUGUGUAAAUAUCGUACAUACUCUUGUAUUUAGUACAAUAAGUGAAAUACAACUUUUAUUUACAAUAACAUUGUUUCUUUCAUGGUAUCUGAGCCUUAUGGCCUCAACAGCUCAAUCCUCGCGAAAAGAAACCAAACUUACUCUCCAAACCUUUCAUCAAUGCUCAAGCUUAAUAUCAUCAAGUUUCAUCUAAGAAUUAUCUCUUGUGGAGGUCUCAAGUGCUGCUGAUGAUCCAAAGCAUCAGCUUAGAAUAUCACAUAACUAAUUAGAACAUCACAUGACUAUCAAAGAAGGAGAAAAAGAAACUGCCAAUCCCGAGUUUACAACAUGGCUUAACAAUGACGUAUUUGCUGAAAACAUGGCUGAGGGAGAUGAUGAUGGAAGAUACGCUGGCCUUAGUUGUUGGAUGAGAAGCUGCAAAUGAAGUUUGGUUCACCAUUAAAGAGCAAAUGUUUCCCGUCACAACAAAAAAAAAAAAAAAAAAAAAAAAAAAAAAAACAAGAAACUUGACUGAAAGACAACCUUUAUUGACUGAAGAAAGAGUCUUCAGGGCUAGAAGAAUUUCUCCGAAAACUCAAAAGGGAUUUCCGACAACUUAGCAACUAUUGGAAACCAUUUGCAAAUGAGGACAAAGUUUUACGAUUGCCCCAUUCACUUAGUCCAAAGUAUGCCAACUUCAAAACAGCCAUGCUCACGAAGCCUCCGUAUCCAAGCCUGAAACAAUUCCUCCUUGCCCUAAAUAACCUUGAACAAUCAUGGCCUAAAAGAAAAGAACACAUCAGACAUAAACGAAGCCUUUUUUGGGCAAAGGGCAAAAGAAGAAAUCAGCAUGGCGGUAGGUUCAAUGGUCGUGGCAAAAGACAAAAUCAAGGAGGAAGAAACACAUCACACUUACUGAUGUGCUAGUAAUUUAUAUAUUAUUUAUAUAUUUUCUUUAAAUUAAUUUUAGGUUAAAUUAUAUUUUAUUAUAUUUUAUUAUCUUAAUUUUUAUAUUUUAGGUGUAUUUUGGGAAUAAAGAGGAAUUAAAUCAAAAUAUUCAAAUAAGGAGAUUUUAAAGAAGAAAUUAAUUGGAGAUUUAAGGAAAGUAAUGGGAGUUAAAAUGGAAAAAAAAUCGAAGUAGCCAAGGCUUAAUUGAAGUUCGCGUGAAGAUGAGAAGACUUAGCAUUGGAAAUAAGUUAAUUAAUAAGGCAAAUCAUAUGAAGAACGAAUUAAAAGAAGAAAGCAUUCUUGUGAUAGGCUUUGGCCAAAUCUUUAUUAGCUUAUUAAUUGAAUAAGUCACGUGCAUGCAUGAAAGAAUAAGGCGGCUUGGCUUUUGUUUUUAAUUCUUUCCAUAUAAGGAUUUAAAGGCCACAAUUGAAGCAAUAUAAAAGGGCCAAGCGGAAGCAACGGAGGACGGAAUUAAGAGAGGAGGGCAGCCGCACGAAAUUGGAGCCAAGAAGAAAAAAAAAAAUAGAACAGCAGCCGCAAGUCUUAAGCCAAAACCGAGAGCAGCAGGAGCAAUUUGGAGGAGGAAGAAGACGCUAAGCUUAAUUCUUGAGUUUUUCUUUCCCUUGUCUCUAUUAUCUUACUUGAAUGUUCCUAAUUAAAUUUAGGAAAAUUAUCAUUUGUAUACCCUUAGUUUACUCCAUUAUCAAAAAUACUACAACACUUUGAGGGUGUAUCAAUCGUCCACCCUAAGUUGACAAAAUGUAUCAGCUGACCACCAAACCGUUAGUUGCCGUUUAAGUAUGAUGACGUCAGAAGGGUAAUUUGGUCUUUUCAUAUGAUACAAGUGAUAAUUUAAGGGUAUACAAGUGAAAAAAAGAGAAUUUAAGGGUACACAAGUGAUAAUUUUUAAGGGUAAAAUCGUCAAUUCACUGUAACUCCGUUAACUUUCAAACGACAACCAACGGUUUGGUGGUCGGUUGAUACAUUUUGUCAACUAAGGGUGGACGAUUGAUACACCCUCAAAGUGUUGUAGUAUUUUUUAUAACAGAGCAAAUAUAGGGUAUAUGAAUGAUAAUUUCCCUUAAAUUUAUGAAUUCUCUUUAUAUUCUCAUGAACUAAUUUAUUUUGUUAGAGCUACGAUGUAGCCUAACUAUGAAGAUUUAAUUCCAUAAAUUUAUGUUAUUUUUAAUUUAUUAUUCCAUGGUUGAAUGUUCAUUAUUGUGCUUAAUGCUUUUAAAUAUCUGGCCAAUAUUUGAAUGACUUGAGGAUACAUAAUGAGACCGAGAGGAGAUUUAUGUAUUUUUACUUUGUGUAAUGGAUGCCAUGAAUUGAAUGAAAGACAGAGAUGUGCCAACGUGAUUCGUAUAGUUUUAUCUAAGAAUUUCCAUAAAACUUAUUGAAUCUUUGCAUGUUUAAAUUCACAUAGAGAUAUAGUGGGUUAAUAUGUGAAGGUAUUUUUGAUAUUACUCGAGAGAGGAUAUUGAAUAGACUAGGGAAAUUCACUGUCAACAUGGGUAAUGAACUUUAAUAGUAUAGAUGGAGGAUUAAAUUGGAUUGGUCAUGGUGAAAUCGGAUGUCCUAGUGUUUUAAUCGCUUGGUAUUUUUUGUUACUGCAUGCAUCUUUAUUUAAUUUUUAGUUAUUUUAUUUUAUUUUAUUUUAAAUUGACUUUAUUCGAUUGUUCGAAUAAAUUAGGGUUAGAAUAAUUUUGGUAGCUAAUAGGAUAUACAAUCUCUGUGGGACGAUACUCUACUCUUCAUUAUAUUACUUGUGCCGACUAGUACACUUGCUAAUUUAUGCAUCAAGUUUUUGGCGCCGUUGCCAGGGAUUGUUUGGAUUAGUAUCGAUACCAAAUAACCUUAGUUUAAUUUGAAUUUUAUUGUUAUUGUUAUAUUUUAAUUUUCGUUUUCUUGUCUAAUUUUAUGAGACAUUCAAGAAGUUUUGAUUUAUUGUCUUUUGAUCCAGAGAUUAACGUACUUGUAGAAGGCUUUAUAGAGAAAGGAGAGAAGCUUUACAAGAGCAACAACUAAUCAUGGCUAACGAACCAUUACACGAAAAUGAGGAUACGAGACCUUUAAGAGACUAUGUUGUUCCUACAGUUAAUGGUGCUCGCUCAAGCAUUGCACGCCCUGCUGUUCAAGCCAAUAAUUUUGAAAUCAAGCCAGCCAUAAUCCAGAUGAUUUAGACGUCAGUACAAUUUGCUGGGAUGCCAAAUGAUGAUCCAAAUUCUCAUAUUGCAAAUUUCUUAGAAAUUUGUGACACAUUUAAGCAAAAUGGUGUUUCAGACAAUGCUAUCAGGCUAAGGCUUUUCCCGUUCUCACUAAGGGAUAAAGCAAAAGAGUGGUUGAACUCACUCCCUGCUGGAACAAUCACUAUAUGGGAUGGUUUCGUACAUAAGUUUUUAGCAAAGUACUUUUCUCCAGCAAAAACAGCCAAGUUGAGGAAUGACAUCACAACCUUUGCUCAGUUCGAGAUGGAAUCAUUAUAUGAAGCGUGGGAGAGAUACAAAGACCUACUAAGAAAAUGCCCACAUCAUGGUCUAUCAGUUUGGCUUUAGGUACAAACAUUUUACAACGGUUUAGGAUCCAAUACCAAAACAAUGAUUGAUGUUGCAGUGGGAGGAACGUUAAUGGGAAAAACACCAGAAGCAACUUACGAAUUAUUAGAGGAGAUGGCCUCCAACAAUUACCAGUAGUCUUCAGAGCGACCUAUAUCAAAGAGACCGACAGGAGUCCAUAAUGUUGAUGUGGUCAUUGCUUUAUACGCAUAGAUAACUGCUAUUCGUAACAAGUUGGACAAUAUGAAUAUUCAAACUCAACCACAAGUGUGUGAAUUAUGUGGAGGGAAUCAUACUAGCGUCAAUUGCCAAGUUGGAAGUCUUUUUGCACCAUCAUCUACUGAACAAGCUCAUUAUAUGUCAAACUUCUAGAGGCAACAAAAUAACCCAUAUUCUAAUACCUACAAUCCAAGCUGGAGAAACCAUCCAAAUCUAUCAUGGAACAACACUCAGAAUGCAUUGGCACCACCUCCAGGGUUCCAACCACAAGAAAAGAAGUCAAACUUAGAAGAUGCUCUUACCCAGCUUACAACAAAUAUGUCUCAAUUCAUGACUAAAACAGAGACAACUUUUCAUAAUCAAGCUGCAUCAAUUCGGAACCUCGAGGUACAAGUGGGUCAGAUUGCAAACUUGUUAUCCAGUAGACAACAUGGCUCUCUGCCAAGCAACACCGAGACAAAUCCAAAGGAGCAAGUUAAUGCAAUUAUACUUCGGAGUGGUAAACAACUUGAUAAGCCACGAAAAGAAGCAAAGAAAGUUGAUGAAGAACAAGCUGAAGACACCACCAAGGUUUCAAAGGCAGCAAGUUCAGAUAUACCACAACCUAAACCAGCAGCACCAGUCAAGGCCUAUGUUCCUCCAACCCCUUUUCCUCAGCGUCUCCGGAAAAAUAACAUAGAUAAGCAAUUUUUAAAAUUUCUUGAUGUGUUUAAGAAAUUGCAUAUUAACAUUCCUUUUGCAGAUGCUUUGGAAAAAAUGCCGCUUUAUGCCAAAUUUAUGAAAGAAAUGUUGUCCAACAAGUGGAAACUUGAGGAGCAUGAAAUUGUAAUGCUGACUGAGGAUUGCACUGCCAUUUUACAAAAUAAAUUGCCACUAAAGCUGAAAGAUCUGGGGAGUUUUAAUAUUCCAUGCACUAUUGGAAAUUGUUAUUGUGAUAAAGCUUUGUGUGAUUUAGGUGCAAGCAUUAAUUUGAUGCCUUUUUCUGUUUUUAAGAAAUUAGGUUUGGGUGAACCUAUGGCAACAACUGUUACCCCCCAAUUGGCAGAUAGAUCUAUAAAGUAUCCAAGGGGCAUAGUUGAGGACGUGCUUGUGAAGGUUGACAAGUUUAUAUUCCCUGUAGAUUUUAUUGUCUUGGAUAUGGAUGAAGAUAUAGAGUUACCUCUUAUUCUAGGCCGACUAUUCUUAGCUACAGGAAGAGCUUUGAUUGAUGUUCAGGAAGGGAAAUUGAUUUUAAGAGUUCAAAAUGAGCAAGCUUUUUUUUUAUGUGUACACACCUAUCAAGUAUCCCACUGAACUCAAAGAAUGUUUCCAAGAAGACACUAUGGAUAUAAAAAUGGCCAAACCAUUUAAGGAUGAGCAUCUAUCUGACCCUCCUAACAUUUAUACAAUACAUAAGCAGUAUAUUAAUGAAGAUGCAUCAUCUCAUUUUCGUGGGAAGAGACCUAAUUGCAAGAAACUCGGGCAAGGUCCAUCCAGAUCAUCUCCUUCCAUCCACGAGCCUCCUUGAACCAUCUCUUCGAAGACGGUCAAGCUAAUGACUAUAAAUAAAGCGCUUCUUGGGAGGCAACCCAAGCUUUCUAAACUUUAUUAUUGCCAAUAUUUCCUUUUUUUUUUUUUUUUGUUUUCUUUUACUUUUUUUGUUUUUAGGAUUUUGCACAAGUUUGGGGGUCGACGAACGUUGACUUUUCACAUGCCUUUCAACGACUCAACUGGAAGGUUACAUCUUCAAGUGCAAAAUUGAGGGAGUUUCUCUUUUCCUUUUCUUUUUCUUUACAUUGAGAACAAUGUUUAUUUUAAGUUUGGGGGUGGGAAUAUUUUCUUUCAUUUAUUAUUAAAAAAAGAUAGAUUUUAAUGCCUAUAAUGAGUUUAUGGUUGAAAAUGAAUAUGGUUCUGAGAAAGGGAUGAAUAUUGUCUUAGUUUAUACUUGAUUCUUGUGUUAGUUUCGUCUUCAUUGUGAUUCUUUAAAUAACUUGCGCACUUAUAUCGAUUCUUUCAGAAUUUUGACUUGAGAUUUGAGAUUGAUACAGCCUGAGUUGAGAAUUUUAGAUUGACUAAAUAAAUGUUUGCCUCGAUUCUACAUUACUUAAGUUUACCUAGGCACCAUAGUCAGAAAUAGGUACCUAUAACCCUUAAGAGUGAAGCUAUCUUUGAGUAAUUUGGGCCUAUGUACCACCAGUAUGUAGAGGAUAAUCUACCAUGAGAAGAAGGCUACCUUAAGGGGUAUAGUGAAAGCUCCUGACUAUGGACAAAAAGAAAAAAAAAAAGCAUGUGCUUCAAGAAAAAUCAAAAUAAAAUGCAAAUUUAUGCCUGUGAAAAAAAAAAUCAAGAUGAUGAGGUUAGUUUGACCUACUCUGUUUAUUAUUCAAGACAAGGGCUGUUGAUAUUGAAGAUUUUGAGAAUGAGUUGUGAUUGAAUUGAUUCACACACAACACAAGGAUCCAGUAUGAGAUGAGGCUAGCCAUUGAAUUAAAGUUAGAGCUUUGCCAAAUUUUUUAAUUUUCUUUUAGCUAUAUAUUUUAUGCAAUCUUUGAGGCAUUUUUCAUGAUGUUUGUGGGUAUCAUCGCUGGAAAGCCUCACGAGACUAUAACUCGUCCACUAGGGCCGCUUAGGGGUUUAACGGCUUGUUGCAUACGCUAAAUGCAAUCGCGAUCACCUGCGAAAGUGGUUUAGUUAGAAUUUUCUUUUCGUAGUUUUUAUUUUAGUUUUUGCUCGAGGACUAGCAAAAUGUUAAGUUUGGGGGUAUUUGAUGUGCUAGUAAUUUAUAUAUUAUUUAUAUACUUUCUUUCAAUUAAUUUUAGGUUAAAUUAUAUUUUAUUAUGUUAAUUUUAUCUUAAUUUUUAUAUUUUAUUAUUUUAGGUGCAUUUUGGGAAUAAAGAGGAAUUAAAUCAGAAUAUAUAUAUUCAAGUAAGGAGAGAUUAAAGAAGAAAUUAAUUGGAGAUUUAAGGAAAGUAAUGGGAGUUAAAAUGGAAAAAAAAAUCGAAGCAGUCAAGGCCUAAUUGAAGUUCACGUGAAGAUGAGAAGACUUAGCAUUGGAAAUAAGUUAAUUAAUAAGGCAAAUCAUAUGAAGAACGAAUUAAAAGAAUUUAAGGAAAGCAUUCUUGUGAUGGGCUUUGGCCAAAUCUUUAUUAGCUUAUUAAUUGAACAAGUCACGUGCAUGCAUGAAAGAAUAAGGCGGCUUGGCUUUUGUUUUUAAUUCUUUCCAUGUAAGGAUUUAAAGGCCACAAUUGAAGCAAUAUAAAAGGGCCAAGCGGAAGCAACAGAGGACGGAAUUAAGAGAGGAGGGCAGCCGAACGAAAUUGGAGCCAAGAAGAAAAAAAAAAAAGAAUAGAACAACAGCCGCAAGUCUUAAGCCAAAACCGAGAGCAGUAGGAGCAAUUUGGAGGAGGAAGAAGACGCUAAGCUUAAUUCUUGAGUUUUUCUUUCCCUUGUCUCUAUUAUCUUACUUGAAUGUUCCUAAUUAAAUUUAUGGAUUCUCUUUAUAUUCCCAUGAACUAAUUUAUUUUGUUAGGGCUACGAUGUAGCCUAACUAUGAAGAUUUAAUUCCAUAAAUUUAUGUUAUUUUUAAUUUAUUAUUCCAUGGUUGAGUGUUCAUUAUUGUGCUUAAUGCUUUUAAAUAUCUAGCCAAUAUUUGAAUGAUUUGAGGAUACAUAAUGAGACCGAGAGGAGAUUUAUGUAUUUUUACUUUGUGUAAUGGAUGCCAUGAAUUGAACGAAAGACAGAGAUGUGCCAAUGUGAUUCGUAUAGUUUUAUCUAAGAAUUUCCAUAGAACUUAAUAAAUCUUUGCAUGUUUAAAUCCACAUAGAGAUAUAAUGGGAUAAUAUGUGAAGGUAUUUUUGAUAUUACUCGAGAGAGGAUAUUGAAUAGACUAGGGAAAUUCAUUGUCAACAUGAGUAAUAAACUUUAAUAGUAUAGAUGGAGGAUUAAAUUAGAUUGGUUAUGGUGAAAUCGGAUGUCCAAGUGUUUUAAUCUCUUGGUAUUUUUUGUUACUGCAUGCAUCUUUAUUUUAUUUUAAUCUAAAUUCGCUUAUUCGAUUAUUCGAAUAAAUUAGGGUUAGAAUAAUUUCAGUAGCUAAUAGGAUAUACAAUCUCUGUGGGACGAUACUCUACUCUUCAUUAUAUUACUUGUGCCGACUAGUACACUUGCUAAUUUACGCAUCACUUACCAAAAUGUGCCUUACCAAAAUCAAAACCAUAACAGCAUACUCAACAUGGAAACCAGAAUCCUCCACCGUUCAACAAUUAAAAUUUACACAAAACUAAGGGAGAUUAAAAAAGAUACAACAAUAAUAAGUCAAGAAUGAUCUAUCAGAUUUGUGGCAAAACUAACCACAGUUCUGCAGUGUGUUAACACAAUAUGACUAUGUGUAUGUCGAAAAAGAGAAAGAAGCUCCACAAGAAGCCGUUGAGGCAAUGAAUUCAACAAUUUUUUGCUGAUUCGAGGGCAACUGCACAUAUGACAAACAACGCAGGUAAGCUUAAAAGAGCCAUUCUAUAUAAAGGUUGUGAUAAGAUCUUUGUUGGCAAUGGAAAACGUUUACCAUUAUCACAUCACACAUUGAAAAAACUUUGUUAGAGACUACACAUGGGCAUUAAUACUUGACAAUAUUCUUCUUGUUCCUAAUUUGACCCAAAAAAAAAAUUCUCUCUACUAGUCAACUUACUGAUGAUUCUGGUGUAAUGUUGAGUUUAAUAUUUCCUUAUUUAUUGUCAGGAAGAAGGAGAACAAAGUAAUGGCACGAUCGAGGACAAAUAGAAGGGAAUUUUUUAUUUUUUUUAGGUAACACUACUAGAAAAAUGGUCUUUACUGACAUUAGAAUGGUGUCAGUAAUUACUUUUAGUGACACUUAUUAAUUGUGUCAGUAAUCUGGCAGUCAGAAAAAUCGUGACACUUGUAAGUGGUGUCAGUGAUUACUAUUACUAUAGUCUCACUAAAAUCAUAACACCAUAGUAUUAGUAAUUAUUGAUAUCACAUUAGUGUCUAUAAUUACUGUUACUAUAGUAUCACUAUUUAAUUUAUUUAAAAAAAAAUAAAAAUUUGAAUUAGCUCAUUGUGUAUUCAUUUAUUGGUAAAAUUAAAAAACACCACAAAGUAACCAAAAAAAACUUAAUUUAUAUUAUAAAAUCUUUCAUUUCAUAUUUAAAUAUUAUUAGUACACAUUACAAAUUCCAAGACUCCAACAAACAAGAGAUGAGAAAUCCCACUCUCAUAACUGAAUAAUCUAAAUUAAAUACAUAAAAAUUUCUGCCACAUCCAAUCAGAUGCCUACUAGUUGUGGCUAAAUUUAACAUUUCUAGAAGCUAAAAUGAAAAGGAUGAUUGCCUCCACUCUUUGAACAUAAGUAGUGCAAUUACGUUAACACCAAUAGUAGCUUCUCCAUUCUCCAUUCAAUAGUGGAUGGGUUAGAAUACAAGUGAAGUUGAGGAAAAAGAAACUUCAAACACAUUGAUCAAAUCUGCAAAUGAAUACAUGGAAAAGGGAAAAAAAUUGCCUGUUAAUUUCCAACCAUGAGAGAGAAACAAUGGUUAAUAGAAAUAAACUUUUGUCAUAUUUGUGAUUUUGGCAAAUUUCUAUGUUUAAAACCAUAAUGUUCCCUAUAUCUUCAACUAGAAACAGUGGUUGUUGGAUUUCAAGUUUUUCAAAAUAGGGAAACUGAACCCAGUAAGCUUGUGAAUAUUUGCAUCUUUACUAAAUAUACAUAAUCAUUCAACGGUGAAUAAUUACUAUGAUAAUAAAAAUAGUUCAUACAGUACACUGCAUUGCAUAAUUCAAGUACAUAUAUACUUUUAAGUCUAUUCACACAAUCAAUGCAAAUUACAAAUUCAAACAAAAAAUGAAACCAAAGCAAAGUGAUAUAGUGUCUAUUAGGGAAAAAAAACUAAAAAAUCACGGCAUCUGCCAUUUCAUUUGCGAAUAUCAAAUUCACAACACAAAACUCGAACAUAAAAAAAAAACUUGAUUUAACAAAAAUAAAAAAUGACGUAAUUACCAUUAAAUUGAACUUUAUAACUUAUAAUCUGACUAUAAUUAAUCCAAUGGCAGUUAUGGUUGAGAUGAUAUUUAUCCUAAUUUAUUUCCCACAAUUGCAGUUACGGUUGCAUACAAAUUAUUGUGAAAUCUAUUUACUUCAACUUUAUAACUUAUAAUCUGACUAUGGAAUGGUUAUUUUUAUGAAUAUUGGCUUAUAAUCCUUCCUUUGCACAUGGAAGAAAGAGUAGAAACAUGCAGCAAUCAGAAUACAGAGCCCAUGCUUUGUAAGCUCAUCAAAAGUUGAGAAAUAUAUACAGAAGGUUUAGAGCAUACAGAUACCUGGUGGUGAUGUGUCAUGCUCAAAAAUUUAAACUCGCAUACCACCCUGCACAAAUAUUUGAACAUUCAAACAAAGUCAUUGAAACUGGUUCUUAAGACAGGAAUAUGAAUUUCAAUAAUUAAAUAAACCAAAAUAUUAAAAAGCCUAGCUGGCAAUGAUUUUUUCAAGAAAAUAUUAAAGGAAAAGAACAAAAUAAAUAAAAUUCUAAGAACAUUUGCAACCAAAUUCUAAACAACCUCAAUCUUAGAAACGCAACAACUAUGAAGAGAUCAUCCGACUCUUAAACUAAAAUAAAGAAAACUCAAAAUCACCAAUAAUUAAUUUUUUUAAAAAAAACUCUUGCCUGUCUAAUUCGAAGUAGAACCUCUUCUCCCUUUGCCGCUUCUUCUUUGCUUUCAUAAAGCCCAGCUCCAACCAAAAACUUCAACCCUAAAGGAAAUCAAAAUUAGGGUUUUCCAUAUAGAAAGAAAAAAGUAAUUAUAAAUAAAGAUAAAACAAAACCUUUAACUAUAGAAGGCAAAAUUUUAUAGUAAACUAACACAGGUGAAGAAAGUAUGCAAGUGCAUAUCCAUAGAUGAAUAAGCUACACAGUAUCAUAGGAAAAAAAACUGGAAAUCUGUUAAAUCGUGUAGAGAUGAUUGAUUAGAGCUAAUAGGUAAAAAAAAUGCACACUCAGCCAAAAUAGAGGUUUUAAAUAGCAUUAAAGUUUUAAAAUGCAAUAACUCAUUAAGCUAAAAGAUCACCAACCAAAGCCAUAGAAUUAGAAUUACCAUGAAAACUUCAACAAGAAAUGGAUCUGUCACAUAUUCAUACUUGUAUCCUAGACAGAGUUGUCAAAAUCCCCUGCACAUAAAAUAAAAGAAAUAUGAUUUUUAUGAUAUUCAAUAGAAAAACCUUAAUGUUCGCUGUAAGAUUAAAUAAAAGCAACCUUGGUAGAAGUCGUGAGGCCAAGUUUGUAAGGGAAUAUAGGUGAAAAUGAAAAAGUGAAUAGCAUACUUUUGUUCACACUCUGGCCCCCAGGGCCACCACUUCUAAUAGUGACAUGGUUUGUAACAUGUUAACAUAGAUCAUGCUGAUAGAAACCAAAUCGAAGAAGAUACCUCAUAUUGAAAUUAAGAAUUAGUUCCAAUAAAUUGCAAGAAGACAAGAGAUAAAUAAAAUUAACUACAAGAAACAUUAUGUUAUUGUAAAACAAAAAGUUGAUCUUCUCCACUAUUUUAAAAGUUUUUAAGCUGUGUCAUUGUGUAAGCCUCAAUGGUACAAUAACAUAUGGAAAGAAUUUGUAAAUAUGAGAUUACAUGAUCAUUUUCCUACACGUGAAGAGAAAUAAUAGAAGUUGUAAUCAAAGCUCCACAAAUUCCUCAAAAGCAUAAUCGAUUUCCCUAAUAUCGACAACAAUCACACUGCCAAAGUCUUCGCUUUCAGAGCAAUCUUCCAUAACUCAUUGUAGAAAGUAUUAGCAUCCAACUGAACACAUUAGAGGAAUAAGGAAAUAAUCGUUUGGAAGAAAUGAUAUUCAUAAAUAGAUGAUAACCUCAACUUGAUCAUAUUAACCUAAAUGAAAAAGAAAAGCUUGCUUAAUUAGUUCACUUCGAAUUAAAUUGUCCUUUCGUGUCAAUAAGUCGCACAGGAACUAGCUACGCUAGGGUAUAUUAAUCCAAUUUGAAUGAAAUUAUCUAAACAUGAAAAACCUUUACCCAGUGUUAGUGCCUUCAGGAAACUAGCUUAAGAAUCAAUUUACAAUGAUUAAUUACAUGUGCUGUGAGUCCUAGCCACUGCAACUCUAUUUACCUUCAUACAAGUAUAAAGUUAACACAUCGGCAAACUACCACCCAAAAAUUAAAAAAUAAAACUACAGAUUGAACUAAGAAAUGAUUAUCUGACCUUUAAUUUAGUUGAGUAUGCAAUAAUUCAGUUAAGCAUAUCCAAAGAAAUUAACACAAUACAAUUCAAAGCAUUAAUUUUCCAAUUAGAUAAACAAAUUAAAAUCUCAAUUGAGGCUAAAAUAGUGAUUCGACCUUUAACAACAGUGUCUUAGGCCUUGCACAUGAUUUGUCCAUCAUGAUGGAGUUCAAGCGAACCGAUCUAACCAUAAUCCCUUUUAUUUGGUGAAUUUAUGGCAGUCGAAGAUCGAAUUAGCAGAAGAAAACAAAAGUUCAGUUAACAAGAAAUCCCGAGAAGUCAAAGCGAGAGGGGCGGUGCGCACUUGAGCAGGGUGAGCAAAAUGUGGAGAUCUAAAGAGGAUCUUCUGAGCUUGUAGCAUAGUGGCAUGGUGGAUGUUUUGCAACCUGAUGUAGCUCGUUAGGGUUUCGUAUGGUAUGAGUCUUAGAAUUUGAGCAAUGUUGUUAGGAUUUCCCAUGGCAUGGACUCUUGAAUUUUAGGGCUCAAAGGGGAGAUUUUUUAGAGGUACGAAGAAGAAGAAGGAUCUUGCCAAAGAGAUGAGGCGGCUGGCCAUAGAAUUAGAAGUUAGGGAAUUUUAUGUUUAUGUUGAUUUUAGGGUUUUUUGCUUUUGUUUUAUGUUGUUGUUAUUUUAAUAUGAUUAUUUGAACAUUUUCAACAUAAACUAAAAUACGAAUUUGGCUUGGUGGUUUGUUGUUUGAACAUAAAGCACUUCAAUUUUGAGGUCUUAGGUUCGAGUAGCAACUAAAACAAAAAUAGACUUUUUUUUUUUUUCUGAUACCUUAGUGUCGAUAAUCUCUGAUGUUUAAUCUACAAACACUAGAGAAUUAGUAAUUUGUGACACUUGUCUGUUAAACACAAAAAAUGACCCAAAUAUAUGUAACUACUGAUACUUUUUAGAAAAGUGUCAGAAGACGAGUGUCAGUAAAAGUCAUUUUUCUAGUAGUGUAAGAGGAUGGACAAAAUUCAAAUUCAGUUUUUAGUCUCUUACCUCUCCCAAGAUUUAAAUUCGAGUGACUAGUGAAAUAAAUCUGCUUGAAAACCACUCGGCCAUGCCCUUGGGGCAACUACAGGGGAGCUCGUAUGCACUAGAUGAAGAAAAAAAGGAGUAACCUUUAAUGCAAUAAAAAUAGAUUCUAUAGAUACGACUUUGUGGGACAAAAUGCUUCGGCAUCCAAGUUUGAAGAUCAUACUUGCCCUAAAGAAUAAUUAGGAAAUAAACCUAACUUAUUGGACUGGGAAACCUUCACUUUGUGUUUAAUGCCAUUUUAGAAAAGAGCUAUAAUGUACCUUUUAAAUCGACUACUAAAAUAAUGGAGUUUCCACUCUGGGUCCUGCUAUCCACAUAAAAUUUUCGCAAUUAUAUCAUGUUUGUAGAUUAUUUUAGUAGAUUUUGUUGGUUGUUUUCGCUAAAAUUAAAAGUUUGAUUUUUUUGAGUGGUUCAUUAAGUUCCAAAAAUAGGUGGAGAACCAGUUAAAUAGGAAGAUUAAAUAUUUUACAAUGCGAUAAAGAGGGAGAAUUUUACUCCAUGGCGUUUUCUCUGCAUUUGGAACAUUGUGGAAUCAUUAUCUUGUCAUUACACGCCUGACAAAAUGGUAUAGUAGAACGCAAAUACAGACACUUGACAAAAACGGCUCUCACCAUUAUGUUUCAAUGUGUCUAUACUAGAAAAUUUAUAGGUUGAAGCAUUUCUAGUUGUCUUUAUCUCAUAAAUUAGAUGCCUCUUACAACUCUAAAAAUGAAAAUCCCUCAUCAAAAAUUAUUUAAUAAAUCUCCUAGUUAUACUGGAAUCAAAUUAUUUGGCUGUCGAUGCUUCCCUUACCUAAGGGACUAUAGCAAAAACAGUUUGAGAAAGCCUUGCCUUGUGUAUUUAUUGGUUAUAGUCCUUUAAAUAAAUGAUAUUAAUGCCUAAAUAUAAAACAAAAUCGAGUUUACAUAUUAACACAUGUAAUUUUAACGAGGAUGAUUUUUCAUAUCAUGACAAACUAACACCUAUUUCUUUUUUACAGGAACACAAUGAAGUGACUACGUUGAUAAGUGGAUUUCAAAAUUAGUUAAAGCUAAAAUUGCUAAAAUUCCCAAUGCAGCAAUUGAAGGUCCACAAGAGCUGCAGGCAAAUCAAAAUACUGUUAUGGGUCCUUAAAAGUCACAUUUAAAUCAAAAUAUCGUUAUUCCUUAUGCGCAUCCGAAUGUCCAUAAGAAUCCUUUGGAAGCAUGGACUUAUCCAUCAAAAUAAUGGCGUGAUUAAUAGAAAGCCUUUGACCGACCACAAGAGUCCUAUUUCAAGCGAAAUAAAUGAAUCAAAUCGCCAAAUCGGCCUGGUGAUAGUAGUGCGGUAAUCAAUGAAGAAAUUAACUCACAAGACAAUGAUGCUAUUGAAGACAUUGACAAUGACAAAUCCACUUCGUUAGAGACACAGAGACAUGAUUUUGAUGUACAGGGUAGCAAAGAUAAACUACCAGACUGAUGGUUGUCGAAGCCAGCAAAAAUAAAUACCUACUCUAAAUAAAUUGUAUAUAGUGAUUGAGAAGGGUCGUGUCCAUAGAGAUCAGUAAUUAUUUAAAUCCUUUUAAAAUGUAAAACGUAAAAUGGGAGAAUUGUUGACAAUAAUAGAAAUCAAAUUAAAAUAACAAGAAUACAAAUUAAAGUUGUAAUUCAAAUUGGAGAAAGCUCUGGUUAAAGGAAUUAACUCAGCUUGAUUCGACUACUGAUCAUUGAUUCAAAUAUAAAUUAUCACUACUUAUGAAUAGACCGGUUAUAGCUACUGAGACCCUCUAAUAGCCAAUCUCUCCUUAACUAGUCGAUAACCAAGGUACGACCGUUGGUUAUUUCCCUAAUCAAUAGACAACCCUAGAUACGAUCAUAGGAUUUAAUCAAUUGACAGCCUGAAAAACCAGAGAGACCAAAAUCCUAAUCAACAAACACAUACGAUGGUUCAUUUAAAUUAGAUUGUUUAUUCUCAUAACACAACUCACUGCUAUGCUAUUUGUCACAAACAUUAAAAUCUUCAUACGAUGAAUCCUUUAAUUGACAAUAGAUUAAGUUGAUAAUUAAAUAGUGGCCAAUUACCUAAUUAACAAACAUAAUCAUGAAAAUAAUUCAGAGAAUAAACAAAUACCCAAAAGUAAUAAAACAAUUAAAGCAUAAGAAAGAUCUCACAGUAGUGAUGAAUCAAAGCUUCAUUAACCUUCAACCAGAAUAAUAGAUUUAGUUCUUCAUAGAGAGAAGAGAAAGAUUUAGAUCUAGGGUUUCUUUCUUAUCUCCAAUCCUUCUUUUCUUUCAUAAUAGAUUCCUCCCUUAAAUACUCUCUCUCUCCUCUCCUCUAGAGUUCUUUUUAAAAUAAAAUACUAAUAUCUGAAAUAUUAAAUUUGUAAUUAUAAAAAUAACCAAAAAUACAAAACACGUUAAACUAAAAACUGCAGGUCCGUAGUUGACAGCACACGCCCACGCCUUAUCAAUAAAGUUCUUCUGACGCUCAUAAUUUCUCCGAGAGAACAAUCAUCCUUAAACAUCAUCUUGUAGCUCAAUUUUAGCACCAAUCAAUAGAAUUGCACCUACAAAAAUAAAACACAAGUAAAUCACUAUUAUUAAGUGCAAAACAUCAAUAUUAAGGGAAGUAAACAAUGCAAAACUAGUGCAUAAAUUGCACUCUAACACAUACAUCUCAGACAAAUUGUUUAUUGACUUAGUCAUUCCCGAAUUACGGCAAGCCGAACCAACAGCGACAUCAAAUAUUCAUCCAAUGUUGACACGACUCAAGCUGAAACAUACCCCUCACCUAGCCUUAGGUGCAGAUCAAGAGAUAUAUUGAGCAGCUUUAGAAAAUACUAUUUGAGUUAAUGCGGUAAACAGAGAAAUCAAAGCUCUAAAUCAGAAUAAUACUCGGACUUUUGUUCCACGUCCUACAGAUGCCAAUGCUAUAGGUUCCAAAUGAGUCUAUAAAAUCAAGUACAAGGACUAUGGCACAAUUGAUUGAUUUUAGGCUAGACUUGUUGCCAAAGGUAUAAUCAAGUUCUGGUUUUGACUUUGAAGAAACUUUUAGCCCUAUAAUAAAGCCAACAACUACAAGACUUGUCUUAUCUCUUGGUGUAAGCUCCAAAUGGCUCAUUUAAAAAUUUGAUGUCAAUAAUGCAUUUUUGCAUUGACAACUCAAAGAAAUGGCAGAUAAAGGGCAGCUUCCAUGUUUCGAAAAUUAUUUAUUGCCAUCUCACAUUUGUAAACUCCACAACUGUCUAUAAGGUCUUAAUUAAGCCCCUAUGUCCUGGUUUUUUUUUUUUUUUAAAUGUCCUAUGUCCUGGUUUAAAUGCCUCUCCCAUGCUUUUUUAGGCUAGAUUUCAUAACAGCAAAGCAGACACUUCACUUUUUAGUUAUAAUCGUAAUAAUGUUCUUCUUCUAACACUUAUAUAUGUUGACGAUGAGAUUAUCACAUGCGAUAGUGAGGACGAGAAACAAACUAAGAUCAACCAACUUAGCAGCCAAUUUGUGCUAAAAUGCAUUCGUAUUCUUGGCUAUUUUUUAGGAAUAGAAGUCAAAAAUUUUAAUCAUGGAUUUUCCUAUCACAUGCAAAAUAUACAAGGGAGUUAUUGCAUUCAGUUGGUUCGGUUCAGAGAAAAAAAAAACCGAAUAGUUCACAAAAUAAAGAACUAAUUGGUUUUUAUUUGGGUCGGUUCAAAAUCGAACCACACGGAGAACUGACUAGUUCACUGUUUUAAAAUUUUAGCUAGUAUAAAGAAAAAUUAUUCAAAUUCUUAAACCAAACCAAGCCAAACUGGAACAAACCAAAAUAAUUUAACUCCGUUUGAUUCGGUUGUUCAAUUAGGUUCGUAUAUUUAUAAACCAAUGGAUUUUGAUUCGGUUUGGUUCAAGGGUAAAACCGAAUCGAACCGAAGCUGUUAACGCCCACCCCUGGGCUAAACUGUACACCUAUUACAACACCUACAACGGUGAAAACAACAUUAGCUUUGGACAAUCAAGAACCUAUGAUUGCUACAUAAUAUCAAGGCCUAGUAGGCAGAUUGCAGUACCUUACCAAUACGAGACCUAGUAUAGCACAUUCAAUCAAUCGCAUUUGCCAACACUUUCAAAUUUGACAAAGGUGGAUGUUGAUGCUAAAAUCUGGUCAAGCUUAUGAUAGUAACUAGGUUGCCUUGUCAACACUUGAAUUUGUUUUGAUAGGGAACCGGGGAACUGUUAACUUAUGGCAGGCGAUCAUAAGAUCUAUUCCUGGCAUGUCAUCAUGCGACCAAACAAAUACAUCUGCAUAUGCUUGUAAACAGUAUACCAGCUUUUUCUUUAACCCCUCUUCCAACUUCAACCCGAUCUUGACAAUUUUUUCUGGAUCUUCUUGUUUUAUGCUUACUAUGUCGAUCUCUUCAACCGACUCCUACAUGCCCUUUUUGGCAUCUCUUUAAGCGUCCAAUAAGGUGAUUUUCAUUGUUUCCUUUGCUACUGCUGCAUAGCAGCCCCAAGCAAUCCUUUGAUCUCCCUUUACAACAACUAUGACACCAUUCACCUGAUAUUUAAGAGUCGGGAGAGGCUACAUGCACUCUAAAAAUUACUUUGAACACUCUAUUACUAUGUGCACUCAUCUAUUAAUUCUAAAAAAGUGAAUUAUACUUUGUACACUCUUUAAAAUACCAAAAAAAGUCCUCACUUAAUUCUUUUUUAAAUUAAUCAUCUUAAUUACUCUACACACACAUGAAAAAUGCUAUAUACACUCAAACAAAUAAAUCAAUUAAACAAUAUAUCAUUUGGCCAAAUCAAGGACUCUGUUUGCUCUAGCUUCAAAAUUUUGAAAUUUAAAAUCAUGAAGAGAAGUGAAGAUGAAAUUUUUAAUCGUAAUAGUUGAUUAACUACACUCACCAAUCAUGGGCAAAACACGUGGUAUGGGAGCUGGCCACAAACUGAAGUCAAACCGUCAAACUCAAAGGUGGGCUAAUAAAUCAUACAACAAGUGUCACCUCGGCGACAAAUGGAAUAAACCAUUUGUUGGUUCUUCCCAUGGAAAAAAUAUUUUAAAAAUAUUUUAAAGUAAAUUGUAAAAGAAUACAGACGCAGACAUGAGAUAUUUUAAAACAAAUUGUAAAUACUACGCCCGUUCAUCAUAACAAAUUGUAGAGUAAUUUAAAGCAAUGAUCGCUGCCUGUUCAUCAAAAGAAUACAAAUGCCACAUACACAUGAGAACACACUCCUCAGUUAGAAAUUAAGAAUCUAUUCUAUGUAGUUUCAAGACCCACAAACGAGACACAUGCUAGCCAUUAUGUUAUACUUCGAAAUUGAAAUUCAAUACUUGAAUUCAGGACCCUUCAAACGAGAGACAUGCGAACCAUAAUAUUGUACUUCAAAACUAAAUUUCAAUACUUGAAUACAAAGACACAUGCUAGCCAUAACAUUAUACUUAAAACUGAAUUUCAAUACUUGAACAUCCUGUUAUCUUCAACUCCACCAAAUUUAGAGGGCAAUCAAUUCAACUACCUAACCAUCGGGAAGGGGAAAAACAAGAAAGAUUAUUUGUGUUGUAAAUUAGAAAAUUAUGAUCACACAUGCCUCAUUAAAGUUAAAAUCUUCACAUAUUGAGUUUCCUCUGUAACUAUUUAUUUGAGAUAUUUGAAAGAAAAAAAUUAAGAUUUAAAAUAGUAAGAAAAUUAUACAUUAAUUGCAGUGCCUUAAAUGAGCAUUCAAAGUAAUAAUAUUAUAUAUACUCAUAAUAAAGUGUCCUUAAUAGUAUUUUAUAUUAUGGGUAUUUUUGUAAUGAAAAUAUUUAUAAAAAUAUGAGAUUUUAAAGAAAUUUUUAGAGUGUGUAUAGCCCCACCCUUAAGAGCCAUGUAAUAAUUGGAUAUUACUGCUUUACUAAUUCUCAAGAAAGGUCUGCCCAAUAUUAUUUGAUAUGAGUUGUAUUCAUCAACUACCACGAAAUCUAAUAUCAUGGUCUUCUGGAAUGAAGUGGAGUUUAUUGUUACAGGCAAUUUGAACACACCAAGAGGAGUCAACUUUCCCCCAUCAAACCCCUUCAAUGAUGUGCUAGUAUUCUUUAGUUUCAAAUCCGUAAUUCCCAUUUCAUCCAAGAUCGAUUUAAAUAAGAUGUCUACCAAGUUCUCAGUAUCCACAAGUAUCCGGUCGAACGUUUUGCUCGCACUGGAUGAGCACCAUCAAUGAAACUAUCCAAAUAAUGAUUCCUUACUAAGUCCUCAACCUAGUUCUUGAGGUCUCGACAACGCAUUGUUGCGUGACCAUAGGUGUUAUGAAAUUCACAGAAUUUGCUCAUGUCUCGCUUAUUGGCCGCUUUUGCUAUUGGGGAUGGGGGAUAUAACAAGCCAUGGUCUUUAAUCGUGUGAUAUAGUUCUUCCAAAGGGAUUGUCAAAAGAGUAUAUUGUUUGUACGUCGGGCUUUGGUCGAUUAUCUGCAUAGCCUUGUCCCUAGGGAACCCUCUGUGCAUGGGGCUGGGUGGUGGGGAGUCUGGUUUGUUGAAUAUGGUAUCUAGUAGGUAACAGGCUAUCGGAGCAUUAUACCGAGGGUGCUUAUGCGGUUGGUUAGGUUCCCCUAAGUGAUUGCUACCGGAAGAGUGAAGAGUUGGCUGUGCUAGAACUGAGUUGGCCUCGGAUGAGGCUGGUAAGGGAGUGCUUGACCACAUACUCCUCCACUUAAGGAUGGCUUGUCGCUUUGGUUAAUAGGCCUGCCCACUUUUUGGACUUUUUUCUUUAAAUUCCCGAGCUGUUCAACCCUUAAUCUCACUGCCUUUUGUUCCUCGAUUUCAAUGUCUCUUUUUGCUUGCUCGUAUGCUGCGAAGUAUGAUUGCAUGGCUAGAUUUCUUAAGUUAUACUAGAGCCACCCUAUCUUUACCCCUUCUUUAAGCCCUUUCAAAGCCUGUGGAUGGUUAAAGGAUCUAAGGUCAAGAACAGUACAAUGAUACAUGUUCAAGAACUUCUUGAGGGUAUCAUUUUCUCUCUGUUUGAUUCCUAAGAACUCUAUCAUAUUGUCUUCUGGAGCUGCUACCUUGUGAAAUUGUUCUGGAAAUUCCCGGCACAUCUACUCGAAGUUUCUGAUACUACCUCGAGGUAAUUUUCGGUACCACCCGUGCACACGCCCUUCCAAAGUUAAUGGAAAUACUCUACACCUCUGGGCCUGUGUUAAACCUUGUACCCCCGUCAUAUCAUUAAAACGCUCAAUAUAAACUAAAGGAUCACUCUUCUCAAAAUACUUGAGGUCGGGGAACCAGAAAUCUCGUGGAAUUAUUGUGCUCAUGAUUUCUUUUGAAAUAGGUGAUUUACUAUCUAGCAUAAUUCUCCAACUUAGUGUCUUCCACUGCCCUUGCAGCUCUUCAAUCACCUGAGCUAAUCUGCACACCUCACCCUCCAGCUCCAUAAUGCGUUCUGGGUUUCGUGUUGCGACCUAAUCACGUUCUCACCCUAUAUCAUUUAGGUGUUGUCUCAAUUCUCUUUCUCGAGCACAUGUUCCUCCUCUAUGUUUAAUUGGCCCUGAUUCUCUCUUAGCUGAUCUUUCACUCGAAUACUCUGAUCAUUACAGAGUCGAACCCCUUCGUCAUGGCUUUGUUCACCUUGGGUAACUCCAUUACUAGGGCCAGAGACAUUGGGGUUUUCCACCUGGGAUUUCUCCCAUCUGCCCUUCCCUUAAUUCUUGAAGGACAGCAGUGAAGGCCUCCAUCUGUUUCUCCAUUUGCUCCACUUGCUCGUACAUCAACCUCUCUCUUUCUUCAUUUGUCGUCUCUCGAGAAACAGUAGGAUCAAUUACUCCAGAAUCAGUUCCACGGCUCUGUUUCCUCUUGGAUUUGUUUUGCUUGUCUUGUUGUCAAUUUAUUUGGCUGGUAGCAACUUUUGGUAAGCUCCCCACAGACGGCACCAAAAUGUUGAUGUUGAAAUUUGGUCGAGCUUAUGAUAGCGACCAGGUUCCCUCAUCAACACUUGAAAUUUUUUUUUUUUAUGAGGAACUGCUAACUGCUAUUCUGAUGGAAUUGGAAUUUUCACUUUGCUUCGUUAUUUCCUGCGACAAUAGAGAACUAUCAUGGGGCGUCAGAUAUUUUUUGACAAAAACCCUCCGACGCUCAAGUCAGUAAUCGAUUUUCUUGUAGGGAACUAAUGUCACUUCUCUCGUGAUCUUAAUUACUUUUUUUUUUCUUUUUCUGGUUUAGAAUAGAUCCUUUUUUCUUUUUUCUUUUUUCUAGAAAACUUUUCUCUCCUCCCAAAAAAGUCCCCCUUUUAGGAUUUUUCAAGAUUCAUAUAGGCACCCGAGAUUAUGUGCCAUCUUCAAUGCACAGCUGUUACUGAAUUGAAUGCACUGCUUGAAUCAUGAAUUAAUGUACCAUUUACUAUGUAGUUAUUGAGCUACAGUUAUAACGCCCGGGCAUGCAUAGGUGUUAUGGCCGGAUUUUCGGGAGGAGCUCAACAAUCUGAAGUUAACCAAGGUAACCAAGGUCUCGGGAACAAACGACCUGAUUCUGGUCUCCUCUUAGAAUCCCUGAUCGUCCUUGCACACGUGACCAAUCAUAUUCCUUACAUCACUUUUACAAUAUUAAUAUCAGUAGCAGUACUCCUAUACCCCAAACAGUAGAUAUGCAAGUAGUGAAGCGGAUCCUUCGUUACCUCAAAGGCACCCUUCAUUUUGGCUUACGUCUUUUCUCACAAAGCUCCCGUAGUCUUUAUGGACACUCAGAUUCAAAUCGGCUGCCUGCCCUAACACCUGACAUAACACCUUCGAAUUGUGCUUAUACCUUGACACUAAUUGUAUCUUUUGGAGCUCGCAGAAGCAAACAAUAAUUGCUCGUUCAAUAGUAGAAGUCGAAUAUUAAUCAAUGGCUAUUGCCACAAUUGAAUUGAGAUGGCUACAUUCUCUUGUGAGAGACAUUGUUGUCCAAUGCAAUAACAUUCCAAUCCUAUAUUGUAAUAAUAAUAGUGCCUUACACAUGAUAGGAAAUCCUAUUUUUCAUGCUCGCAGCAAGCUCUUGGAGUUUGGUGUCCAUUUUAUUUAGGAAAAAAGCGAGUCAAGGUAUCAUUCCACAAUAUACAUUCCAUCUUAAAUGCAAAUUACUGAUGUCUUAAUGAAGCCAUUAGGACAUGCUUUGUUUCGCACAUUUCGAUUCAAACUGGGAGUCCAUUAUAUGAAAUUGCCUAGUUUGAGAGGGGAUGACAGAAUCUCUUUACAAGAUUCAAAGAUAUUAGGUACUAAUUUCGCCAUAUGCAUGGCUGUUGCCAAAGGAAUCCGAUGUCAAGAUUUUGUCAAUUUGAGAUUGAAGCAUCUGAGGCUGCAUUAAUCGGGAAUACAUGACAGAAUGAAUGGUUUUAUCUAUAAACUUCACCUUCAACAAGCGUAGAUUUUUCAAUAAUCUUUUUUUGUGUUUUUGUUCUUUUCUAUCUCGAAUCCAGUGAAAACGACAUCAUCAAGCCAGAAAAAUCCCACAAUCAAAGCAAAUCCUCAUCAUAUAGAAUCAAGGAAAUCUCUAAUGGCUAGUUAAUUAAUUGAAAUUAUUGAUAUGUAACUUAUUUAUCUUUUUUUUAUCUAUUUGUAUUUUUGUAUAAAUAUCGUACAUACUCUUAUAUACAGUAAAGCAAGUGAAAUAAAAAUUUUGUUUACAAUAUCCAAAAUUUUGUUUACGAUAUCCAUGUUUCUUUUACUCAAGUCUUUCUUAUACUGAGAGUGAUUCUUUAUAGCACAAGGUCUCCUUCAAAAAAUGUGCAGGCCAUAACUAUUUUGAACUGCUCAUUACCGCUCGAAUCUAACCUUUUCCUGCUUUUCUUCUACGAGUUCAAGACUUGCACAUAAGAGCUGAUGAAUUUCGUCCUUAGGGUAAUGUUGUGUUCGAUGGUAGGAAGUCCAUUCUCCACACAUGAAUGCCUCUUGACCAAAAGCUAAAGGAAAGGGAGUUUUGGUUGUAGCUGUCUUGAUAGUUAUACAAUAUGCCCAAGCCCCUUUUUUAGCUCAUCGUCCCGAGCCCCUUUUUGGCUCCUAGAUGGGCUUUGAAGUGUCUUCUUGAUUGCUUUAUUGGCUAUUUCAACUUGUCUAUUAGCUUUUGGAUGUGCAGGAGAUGCAAAUUGUAAAUCAAUAUAGAACUCAUUACAAAGUGCUUUAAAGUUAUCAAUAUCAAACUAUGUACUGUUACUAGUGAUAAUGACCUGAGGUAUAAUAUAACGAGAUGUUGCGUUUUCCAAACUUAGUCAUAUGUUUUCAGUGAUCGUUGCUAAAGGCCCAGCCUUGACCCACUUCAUGAAAUAAUCGAUGGCAACAUUUGCAUACUUUGCCUAAAAACGAUCUGUUGGCAUUGCUCCAAUAAAAUCAAACCCCAUUGAGAUAAACGCCACAGACUAACCAAGGUGGUUGUAAGGGAAUAUCAGUAAUUAUCUUACAGCUACGACAAGAAUAAACGAGUUGCGUAGAAUCUUGAUGUGUAGGGUAUCACUAAUAACCUUGUCAUAAGGAUUUAAAGGCCAGUGCUAGUGCAUCCUUUAAUGAGUCUCUCAAAUCACAAAAUUACCAUCCUUAGGCGUGAAAAAUCAAAGGUAAGGUGACAUAUCCCAUCAAUGAGACAAGGGACAUGCAGUGAGGGGUGCCAGAGUUGUUACCAACAAAGAACUGUCGAUGCUUAAGUAAAAAAAUCUGAAGCCUCGAUUACAAUAAAUGUAAAUAAAAAGUGUAAAGAGAAAGCAGAGGAGUUCCGUUGUUCUUAACACUCACCAAACCAGAAUAGCCUAACAUUGUGAGCAGGAGCCCGUAAAUAGAGGUGAUAUCUAUAGUUUUGAGUGGACAAUAAUAUGAGGGUAAGGAGAAGUACUCCUCGGAGUCGAGCUUCACAAUUGUUAUCCUAUUAGAUUUUGUUCUAACAUGUAGUAGGUUGACCCGAUUUGGACGUUUGCUCACUUAUCAGGUCGGGUUUAAUUGGGAAACAACAGAGAGUAAUGGGCAUGUAUUCCAUAAACAAAAAAUAAAGCUCAUCGGAAUUGAAUGGGACUCUGAACCCGAUUCGAUUUGAAUUCAAAUUGGAUCGAGUUGAGAUUCAUAAUUCGAAUUGGAUAGUGAUUUUUUUUUUUAAUUUUCGAUCAAAAGUGAGUGGAGGAUAAAUAAAUUCCCUAUAUCCAGAGUCUUAAAAAAAUCAAAUAAUUUAAAUUCACGGCCAUAAAAAAAAAUAAAGAAGAUGAGUAAUUACUCCAGCACAACUCUAAUGUCUUGGGAUUAAUCUAGUUUUUUGUUCUUACAUUAUGCAUGGACAGAUAAUGGAAAGGGUGAAAAUUGAUUUCGAUAUUACACUGUAAGCUACUUAUUCACCGUAAUAUACAGUAAAUUUCAUUUCAAACUUUAAAUCUUCAUUCAGGAUAAUUCAAUAUUCCUAAAAAUUACCCAAACAUCUCUGUUGUAUAUUCUUUUUUCAAUAAAAUAUAUUAAAUUAUUCUUUUACUUUGCAUCUGUUGUAUAUUAUUAAAUUUAUUUGAAUUUAAGUUUCUUAUACAAAAAUAUUAUUUUCUUUUAAAAAGUUAAAUUCAUUAAUGGCUGGGUAGCUUUUUAAAAUAUAAAUACUAGCUAGAUAAUUGGUUUAAACCUUAUGAACUAUAGAUUAAUGUUCUUAAUUUUAGUACUGGAUAAAUUUGUUAUUCAUGGUCCUGUUUGGAAUAUGGUUUUGAACUAUUUUUUUUACUUUAAAACUAAUCUCUUUUUAUAUUAUUCUUUUCUUAUCUUUCUAUAUGAUUUUGUUGGGUUACAUUUAGAUAUUCAAAAUCGUUCCAUUACAUUUACAGAGCAGCAUUGGUAUUUUAUAAUAAAUCAAGAUGUUGUAUUUACAGAAUAUAAAUAAGCUAACAUAUUGACUAAUAUUGGAAAUGGAAAUGUAAUAAAAUAAAAUAUUGUAAUGAUAAAAUAAUAUAGUGUCAUAGCCUGAUACUUUUUACAAUUUUUUUAUUUCGUAUUUCAUCCUUUUUAAUUUCACAAUUUACUGAAGUAUUGAAACAUCAAUAACUCAUAUUUUUAAUGCAUAUUCUAUUUAUUUAUUCUAUAUUAAUUAUAUAAUAUACAACAAAAAAAUAUUGUUUAAACAUGUCAAUUUUUCAUGUGUUUAGAAAAUUUUAUUUGAGAUUACAUUGUCACCGUUAUACCAUCAGUUAUUUUUAUUCUCAAACUAGACCAAUAGAUCAACGUUCAAAAGCCACUUCGGCCUUGGUCGGAGUGGUGGGCUGCUGCCCUCACAAGCAUUGUGAGGGCAGCGGUUCAAGCCCCCACAAAAGCAUUUGUGGGGGCUAACGUGCUUAUUUGUUUAAUAUUUCAAAAAUUUCCUCUCUCUCGUGCAAUACGAGUGGAGUAUGGACAUCCCUCUUCUGUGAGAGAUUAUUUGUCUGGGCAUGUACUUCACAGAAUUCAAUGUAAUAAUAUAAGUCACAAUCAUGUAUUUCUGAUUGUAAAUAUCAGUGUAAUAUAUCUGCUAUAAUAGCAGUUGUAAAUAUCUGUGUAAUGCAGUAAUAUGAUGAUUAAUCAGUAUUCAAAAAAAAAAAGAUCAACGUUCAAAAAAUUUAUAACAAUAUCAACUUAGAUGUAUAAAUAUUUUAAAACUUUUGACUUUUAUAAUUUUACAAUAAACAAUAGGGAUUGUAGUGUUAAUAACCAACAAAACAUGUACUUAUUGGUUAAGUUAGAGGAGGACAAAGUUGGGGUAUCUUGCAACUGUUGCACAUCUAAGUUUAUAUUGUUUUAAAUUUUUAAACUUUGAUAAUUGUAUGUUGUUACUAAUAUUUAACAGUCAAAAGAUGUAAAUUUAAUAAUUUUCAAAUGACUAAUGUGAUUGAUAGCUUUGGUGAAUGUUAAAUAAGGAUAUUUGACACAUGCAUACUUGCUAUUUUUUAACUGCCAAAUAUACUUAUACUUAUUUAAUAGUUUUCGUAGUUUUUAACUGUCCAAUAUACUUACCUUAUUUGAUAGUUUUUAUCUAUGAAAUAUUCCAUUGUUUCUUCUAGUGACACUUUUGUAUAGUGAAAUUAUGGCUGCCUUCCCAGUGGCACAAUUCAUCCUAUUCUUCUUCAAUCAUUUGCGCUUUGCAUAGUUUUGGUGUGACUAAGGCUUCUUGGGAAAAGUCUUCAUAUUUGGACACUGUGUCACAAAAACUCCUUCCAAGAAUGGGAAUUCAAGACUGUCAUUCUCCAAACAAAAGCUUCUAAGACUUGGUAAAUCAUCAAGUUCCAAAAGUUCCAAUAAUGAACAAGUUAUUUGAAUCUCUUGCAAAAAGUGCAAUUGAGAUUUUUUACUCUACAAGCUCCAGUUUAUGUUGUUUAUGGGUCACACGUUGCAUUUGCCCAUGUGAUAUUACGAUUGUGGCUUUAUGCCCAAAAAUCCUAUUCUCAUUGCUCUGGUUACUCAAUCAUCCUAUCACGUGCGAGUGGGAGAUGUUAGAUUUAACGCCUCUAAUGUGAUGAAUUAAUUUAACGUAAAUGAUAAACUUAGAGUUUUUCUAGGAUUCUUAUAAGAUAAAAUUAGUAUUUUAUUUUAAUCUAAUCACACAUUACAAGAAAUCUAGCAAUAGAUGACAACUACUUUAUGACAAAAAUCAUUUUAUCAUAUAACUAUAAUAUAGACGUGAUAAAAUUUUGGUCUAUCAAACUAUUAAUGAUGUAAUUGUGAUAGAAUAUUUAUCUAUCAAUAAUUUAUGAUAUGCAUGUGAUAGAAAUAAACUCAAUCACAAACAUUGUGAUAGAAUUUUAAUAUUGACCGUGUUUGACCAAAUUUAAAAGUAAUAUUUUUUUUAUAUAAUCUAAAACGCAACAUUUAGAUUAUUAAAAUGAUUUAAAAUAAAUAAAUAAAACGAAACGCUGCGUUUAAGAGAGAGUGUAAACUAAAACAAAUUUUUUCUAAGUCCUUCAAUACUCUAUACUUAUCAACAUCGUCAUUCUCACUUGCAGACAACACUCAACCCUAGCCUAAAUACUCAUCGUCACUAUCAAUCAAUCAACCACUACGUACACUACCUAAACUCUAGACGGCGGACCGUUCCCCACCUGUGUUCAAACUCCCAGCGUUCAAAUCAACAUUGAAGCCAUUGUUUAAACUGCGAACUAAAUCCUAGAAACCAAGAUUUGUCGCUACUGUAUCUAGUCUCUCGCUAUUGAAGGUUUUAGUCCUUUCAGCGAAGUAUCUUCAAGGUAAAUUCUUAGUUUCUGUAUUUGAUUCUAGGAUGCAUGCUUCAGGGGAAAAAUUUGUUUGUUUGUGAGAAGAGCUUGAUUCGAUCUACCCUAGAAAUUGAUUGGGUCUUCCUCGUGAGCUUUGAUUUUCAUUACAUUGCAAUUUUUGGUUAGUAAUUGGUCAUCACAGUUAAGAAAUUGUUUGAUUUUCUUUGCCAUAUAGCCUAUUGUUUGAAUUUGGAGAAGAUGUUAUAUUGUUAAUUUUGGUUAAGUGGUGUGACUUCACUGAUUUGGGAAGUGUUGUUGGGACGUUAUGUGGGCAAGCAUAUAGUGCAAGCAAAUAUGAAAUGCUAGGGAUAUAUAAUUAAAGGAAGACUGGAACUGAGAGGUUGUGUUAGUUUGUUUCUUUUAUGUGUGUUAAUUUGUUUAUUCACCUUCUGCAAUCAAUCUCUAUGCAUUUAAAGUUAGUUUUUUUUUUUUUUUUUUUGUAUGUUAGUUAGUUAGUUUGUUUGCUUUAGGGUCCUUUCUAAGAAAAGCAGCAAAGUAAAGGAGGACCUGGAGCUGAGAGGGCUUUAUAUAUGUAUCCACAUCCAUCCAUUAUUGUUUCUUUUCUGAUCUUAGUUACACAAGGUUCUGUAAUUUACUUUUCUUAUAGGAUGAUUAUCUAUGGUUAGCGAAAGACUGUAUAUUUUGUAAUAUUAUAUUCUACACUGCAUGAACAAUUAAUUAUUUGUUCUCUUGUAGAAAAAAAUCCAACUGGGACAAUGUUUUGUUGGCUUAUGAGCCAGUUUGGGCCAUUGGUAUUGGGAAGGUUGCAAGCCCUGCUCAGGUUCAGGAAGUAAGUUUAGGUUUAUGUCUUAUUUAAUUUAAUGUUUUAAUGACAAUGAUCUUCAUGCUUGUCAGGGGUGGAGCUACCCUUAUUGGCUUGCUAUCAGGGGUGGAGCUAGCAUAAGGCUAGAAGGUGCCAUGGCCCCGGUAGAAUUUUGAAAAAUUUUAGGGCUUCUAAAGAAAAUGUGAAACAUUAGUGUAAAAUAUCUAUAUCGGCCCCUGUAGAAUUAGAAUUUUACAUAUAUAAUAACAUAAAAAUUAAAAUUUUAAAUUUGGCCCCUGUAGAAUUUUUCCCCUAGCUCCGCCCCUGCUUGCUAUCAAUAUAAAUAUUGUUGGAUUGAUUAUAAGCCUUUUUUUUACCGGAAUUGGUUAUGAACUUGCUUAGUUUUUUUGUCAACACAUUUCUAUAUGUUUGCACUAUGUGCAUUUUACCCUAGGCAGGGCAUUUUAGAAUUUGUCUAUAGCUCUAGUAGUUUUGAAACAAGUAAUAAUACAGUAGAGCUGUUUCUGAUAGUUAUCAUCAUUUUUUCACCUUGUAGAUUCAUACAUAUAGCAAAGAAUUAUAUUUGUUCCUCAAUCCAUCUUCAGACUCCCAUGCUUGUGGAUACUCUCGUUUAUACAUCUACCUAAAUACUCACACAAACCCACAGAUAAUUUUGCUUGUGUCAUUACCUUUUCAGAUGGGGACAUGCACAAAAAUAUUUUUGUACUUUGUGUUUAUAUAUUGAAUACAAGUAAAUAGAUGUUUUCGGUCUAUUUUAGUUAUUACUUUAUCUCCUUUUGCCAGCAAAACUUGCUGACAUAAUUGCUCUUCUUGUGCUUUUAAAGUUGAUAUUUUGUCAAUUUUUUGGUAAUCAUUUUUCGCAGACCAUGUUUUAAAUAUAUGUGACAGGUCCAUACUAAACUGAGGAAAUGGCUUAAAGACAAUGUCAAUGCUGAAGUUACAGCAUCAACUAGAAUCAUCUUGGGAGGUAUCCUUUCACUACUUUGUUAGUUAUUAAUUGUGACCACCGUUUAAAAUUAAUUUUGAGUAUGCUAUAAUCGUUAUUAAUAUGUAUAUAGCCAAGAUGGGCUCAUUGAAGCUUAUGGUUGGUCUUCUUAGACAUUUUUCUUGUUCAUACAAAGUAGUAAAGAGCACUUUACAACCAAACGUACAAUAUUAUUACUUCAACCUGUUUACUGAACUUACUUUGGCCUUUUCUAUUUGAUAUCAAGGAGAUUUAUUCUUAUGGUUAUGCUUAUGAGAGAAGCAUUCUUUUGCUCUAUUAUGUGCUUAAUAUUUUUCCUUCUGCAACAAUAAUUUUAGUUGGAUUGGUUCUUAAACAAUUCCAAAUAUUUACAAAAAUGGAAGUUGCAAACUGUUGAAAAUGAAUCCAAGAACAGAAUUAUCUACCACUUAUAUUUUAUCCAGCUUAAUUAAUUAGAGGAGUAAUGAAUAAUAAUGCUGUGAACCAAGCCUGUUUUUGUAUUCCUCAUUUAUAGGUACUAACAGAUUCACUUUUCUUUUUCCCUUUACUAAAUAGGUUCUGUAAAUGGAGCAAAUUGUAAAGAAUUGGCAGCACAACUGGAUAAUGAUGGAUUUUUGGGUGGUGGAGCUUCUCUAAAGAUGUGUUUUAUUUUUGCUACCAAAGGCAAAUAAAGAAGUUAUUGUCUUUUGACUUGGCUGAUUGACUUUUUUGUCAUAUUUGAAUUAGCCGAAUUUCAUCGAUAUUACUAAGUUUGCCACAACAAAGAAGAAUUGAAGUUAAAACUAGGCUACAUGGCUUGCUGAUGCCUGCAAUUUUCUCUGUUAUGCUUCAUUGAGAACUAGAGUUAUAAUUUUGUUCAUUAUAUAUCAGUUGUAAUUUAGUUUUCUCUUUUUCCAAUUAUAUAUCAAAGGUAAUAUAUGUAUGUUGUUCAUCCAUUAUUGUUUCUUUUUUGUCCAGGUUUUGUGUUACCCCAUCCUGGACAAAUACCGGACAUUUCUCGUCCCAGCAGAGUAGGUGUGUGCAAGCUCUUAAAAAAUGCCCGUAAAGGACAAUUAUUAUUUGUGCCAUGCAAUCCCAGUCUAGAAAUUUCACAAUGUAAUAAAGUGUUCUUAUCAUUAUUUAUUCAUUUUAGCUUUUCAUAGCUGUUGCUUUGUUUCUUUGGCUUUUUCUAUUUUAGCUUCCAUUGGUUUUAGUUGUGUUUAAUGGUGGUGAAAAAAAAGUGUUUUAUUUGGAUCCUAAGGGGUACAUGCUCCUGAUCCUGAUUUAGAACAGCUGAUUAAAUCGUAUGUAUUCCUUUUCAUUUCACAAUCUUCAUAUUCUCGCUUUCUUUAAUAUAUUUUAGAUACGAAAAUAUUGUAGUUUAUCAUAUAACGCUAUGACAUUGUUCUCAGACUGAGAUAGAUGAAGUUUGUUUGGAGUGGGCUGGCCAUUGUUCUUAAAUCAUUAGUGCAGCAAAAAAAAAAAAAAAUGGUUAGUAUAAAUCUGAAACUUAAUUAGUUAUAUUCACAUGUGCCUAGGCCUUAGCCAUAUUUAAGUUUUUUGUUUCUAGAUAUAUACUUAAUUUGUACAGGACAAGAUGUUUACCAAAAUUAACGAACUUGGAUCUAGAUAUAUGCCAAAGAAAUCACAAAAUAGGAAUCAUAAAUAAAGCCACAGCAAGGAAAUUUGAUAUAUCAUAUGGAUAUAUGGUCUGUGUGUGCAUCUAGUAGUAAAUUUGUAUACUAUCUAUUUAAAGCUUCCUCUUUAUUUUCAUACUUGCAAGAAAGUUAAUUGCCUUUUGUAUGUACCCUUUUGGUUCCAUAUUUUAUUGCAAUAAGGAAUUAAUUUAAGUUGCAUCAGAAAUUUGGAGUUUUAUGUUAAUAGAUAACUCUUUAUAAUGAUAGUGUUGUCUAUAUUCAUUGGUGCUGCACAUGCAGAUUGAGUUUGAAUUUGUCAUGAUUUUGUUGCAUCUAUAACUUAGGAGUUUUACUGUAGUAGUUAAUUCUUUAUAAUGAUGGUGUUGGGCAUAUUCAAUAGGUGUUGCGCAUGCGGGUUGAGAGAAACUGCUGAACUUGCGAGUUUAUUCAUACAGCGCUAUGACACUGUUCUCAGCUGAGGAUUGUAAAGAAAGAUGGAAUUAUGGCUCUAAGAUGAGAUUUGUGAAGGUAAACUAAUUAUCUUAACUAAAAUUUUGUGUAUCUACCACUUUAAGCCUAAAAUAUAACAUAUUUAUAAUUUUUUUUUGUUUAUUUUUUGUGGGUACCAUUUUGGUUCCAUGUUUUAUUUCAGCAAGGAAUUAAGUUGCAUCUGAAACCUGUAGUUUUAGUUUAAUAGAUAAAUCUUUAUAAUGAUAUGUUGGCUGUUAUCAUUGGUGCUGCACAUGCAAAUUGAGUUUAAAUUUGUAAUGAUUCUGUUGUAUCUAAAACCUAAUGGUUUUAUUGUAGUAGUUAAUUAAUUCUUUAUAACAAUAAUGCUAGCUAUAUUCAUUUGAUGCUGCACAUGCAGGUUGACAGAAUUGAAGCUACUGGACUUGAGAGUUUGAUUGGGUAUUUGUUGAAAAUGGCAGUUCAUGUACUGGCAGUUUACUGAAAUUAUGGGUUAAGUUCAGCACUACAGCCACUUGAUGCCUUCUUAGCUUGUAAAACUUGAUACAUUUGUUCUUAGUUGCUGGAUUUUGUCUGGUGAAUUAAUCUUGUUUGAUAUAAUUGUUGGAUAAAACUGUUUUUGGAUGGCAUUAUUAAUAUAAUUUGUUUUUUGACUUAAUAUAAUAUAUAAUUUAAUUUUUGGUUCAUAUGAAUUUAUGCCUGAAUUUCCUAUAUAGGAAUGCAUAAAUUUUGUUGAAAUAAUUCAUAAUUAUGUUCGGGGUUUUUAAUUAAAGAUGCCCUAAAAGUAGGGUAUUUAGUUAAAUAUAUCACAUGUUUGAAAAUUAUCUAGAUAUACCUUUUUAUGUGGUACAUUGUUUAAAAUAUCCCUAAAGAAAAAUAUAAAACACACACAACUCACCUCCAACACUCUUUACUUCUCACUAUUUUUAACUCCACACAACAAAAACUCACUCCACACUCAAAAUCACUCACAAACAGUCAAUGCACUGAGAUUUUAGUUUGCAGCUGGGAGCAUUAUUCAUCACAUGAAUAAGGUAUUUGAAGUUUUAUUUUUAUUUUGUAUUAUUUAUUUAUUUUGUUGACAUUAUAUUAUUUUUAGGGUUUUGUUUGGUUUGUGAUAAACAAUAAAGCAACUCACAUAUUCAUUAUAUUUGCAUCAUAUGACUGUUAUUUGAUGGAUUUUAUAACUACAUUCGUUAAAAUUUAAAGUUGCUGCCAAAAUUUUGUUCUGCACCCCGACAUACACGACAGCAUGGAUUUACACGACUGUAGUCGUGAAAAUGUGCAAAAGAUUCAAAUUAUUAUGACACCCUAUCAUUUUAUUGGUGCAAAAAAUAUAUUAUUUUCACUAGAUAUAUCCUUUUACUAUUACUGGACUAUAGUGGUGUGUUUUAAUAAGUUACACGACUACUAUCAUGUACGUAUGAAUUUACAUAUUAUAAUUGUACAUAUAUGUAAAAUGUUCCAACUGUUAUGAGAUCCCAACAUUUUAUUAGUGUAAGAAAAAUAUUUUUUAAAGAAGAAAUAUGUCCUUUGACUAUUUAUAGUCAUGUAUUUCUAUAACUUACACAACUGUCAUCAUGUAUGUAUGAAUUUACACGAUAGUAGUUGUGCAAGAUUGAAAGAUAUAGUAGCUGUUAUGACACAUAGCAUUCUGUUAGUAUAAAAAUUAUAUUUUUUUACUAAACAUAUUCUCUAACUGUUUACUAGACUAUAGUUGUGUAUUUUAGCAAGUUACACAACUAUUGUCGUGUAAAUAGAUAGACAAUUCCACACUUCAUAAUAUACCUUGUUUGAUUUUUUUUUGUAUAAUCAUCUGUUGUAUUAUUGCAAGAAGUGACUUCAGUAUGUUUGCCGAUUAUUCUUUAGAAUCAUAAGAAAUUAGGAUAGCAUCACAAGGUGAAGAAAAGUUACGUUGUAAGUAUGGUAGGUGUGGUUCUCAAUGAUAUAAUCGACUAACUUGCAAUGCACCAAUCUCACUGUCUAACAAUCAGCCCGUAGUUAGACCAAAUGAAACAAAAACAAGCACACAUACUACUAUGAACCUUACAUACUUGUCAUUUUUGUUGUUUUAAUUUCUUUAAUAUCUAAAAUAGUUAGUUGAUAAAUUUCUACCUUUUUUGUUUUGCAGUUGGAUAAACAUGUUUGUGUGGCUUAUGCUGUUUUCAAAAGGAGGCGACCAGGGCCUUAUAAUACAUGGGUCGAGUGUUUGGGCUGAGCAUGCAAAUAAUUAUGAUGAUUGUGCAGCAACUUCCAUUGUAUUACAACUUAUUUAUGAUUUGAACAUGUAUUGGAUCUAUGUUGUUUGAUGUACAAUUACUUUUGUUAUUUGUUAAAUUGAAGUAUGAUAUGUUAAAGCCUAUGUUGAUUUUGUUGUCAUUAUAAUGAAUGUUUUAGGUAAUUUUAUGUUCUAUGUCUACUUAUCCAACUACAGUCGUGUAUUUUGGCUCUUACUCGACUAUUGUCGUGUAUAUCUGAUUGUACUUAACUAUAAAUGUGAAUCUAUUAAAUACUCGACUAUUGUCGUUUAUUUAUGAAAAUAUCCGACUAAAGUUAUGUACCAAUGCAGAUACCAACUGGUUAUGUAUGUUUACAAAUACUCAACUGCUGUCAAGUAUUUGUGAAAUACCCGACUGCAGUCGUGUACUAAUACAAAUACCAGCUGGUCAUGUAUGUUUGUAAAUACUCGAUUGCUGUCGAGUAUCUGUGAAAAUACCCGACUACAGUCGUAUACCAAUACAAAUACCAGCUGGUCAUGUAUGUUUGCAAAUACUCAACUGCAGUCAAAUAUCUGUGAAAAUAUCCGACUGCAGUCGUGUACCAAUCCAAAUACCACCUGGUUAUAUGUGUUUGGAAAUACGUGAUUGCAGUCGAGUAUCUGUGAAAAUACCCGACUGCAGUCGUGUACCAAUGCAAAUAUCAGCUGGUCAUGUAUGUUUGUAAAUACUCGACUACAGUCGAGUAUCUGUGAAAAUACCCGACUGCAGUCGUGAACCAAUGCAAAUACCAACUGGUCAUGUAUGUUUGCAAAUGCUCGACUGCAGUCGAAUAUUUGUGAAAAUACUCGACGACAGUCAUGUAUUUGGGCUGAGUAUUUCUUAAGCAUAUAUGACCAUUCUAUUACAUCACAUACAUUAUAUAAAAUUAUCUUCUCUGUCAUUAAUAUACUUAAUAAAAAAAAACAUAUGUAUGAUGUCAAAUUAACUUUAAUGAUAUCAAAUAUCAACAACAUCCCAUUGUAAUCAUUACAUCUCAUGAUAAGUAAUCCAAAAAAAUGACAUAUCAAUGAAGUUUUUAAGAGUGGGACACUACGUAGUUUUUUUCCAAGACCUACUCCAAAAUUAUUUGACAGCCAAUGCUUUUUGAAAUUGUGCAACAUCAUCUUGUUGGCAAUAUGAAUUGACAUCAAGUCAGUGGGCCAAGACCUCCAAGAAUUGCAACAAAAAUGCUCAACAAUCACUACUAAAAAAAUUCAUAUAAAUCAAUCUUUAAAAAUCACCAUUGUUAUUGUUAAGUCAAAAAAAUAUAAUUUCAGUUUGUAGUAAAAAUAAUACUUCAAAUUUAUUAUCACUGUCGUAAUAUAUUAUCAAUCUACUAAAUGAUCACACAACAUAAAAGCAACAUGUAUGAGAACUUUUUACAACUUAAAAAUGUUCUAUAUAUAAGGCAACAUGACUUUCUUACAACUAGCAUCUACAUGAUCAGCAUAACUAUAUUAUUUCAAGAACAAACCCAUCAAAUUAAAAUAUAUUGCCAAUAACUAUGAACUCAAAUAAUUUUUAAAUGAGUUAUAAACAAAAAUAAGAAAUAAACCAUCACUGCCAUAUGACAUAAAAAUCAAACUUUAUGUAUCAAGUAUGUUAACAAAUCCAAAUAAAGUAUAAAUAUUCAAAGAAAAUGUUGAAUUUUUCCAUAACACUCAAACAAUUAAUUUUCAUUAGUUCAAUCUGAUUAAUAAGCUAUUAAGUACGUGUAUAAUUGGCAAAAACUAAAAACAAGUCUAGGACGAGUGUAUUAAAGUGCAUUUCUCCAAUAGUUAACUAGUUGGAAAUAUAUACAACAACAUUUGCUGCACAAUAAUAUCAAAUCCUAAAUGCUAUGUGACUUCUUCAGUCAAUAGCCUCACAAUGAGACAAAUUAAUAAAAUGAUCCAACAUUGUUUCAAAAUUCACAAGUCGUUCAAAACACAUUUAUUAAUAGUGUACUAUCAAUAGUUUUAUGCUAAAACAAAUAGCAAAUUGUUAAUAAAUUAGAAUUGCAAAAUAAAGGUUCUAUAGCAAAUAAUAGAGAAAAUCCAGAUUGUAGCAUAAUGAAUGCAUACGCAACUGAAGAAAAUUGAUAUAUAAUUCCCAUGGAUGAAGUUCAACUACAAACAACAAGUAAAAUUAUAUAAAGAUCUAAUGCAUAAACUAGUGUAGCCAUAACCAAGUAUUCAUAAGGAUAAUAUUUGUUUUAUCCAAUUAUCUAUGAAUAUUUAAUUAUGAACUCCCACAACCAUUAUUAAAGAGCCAUGAAAUCACUCUCUUCAAUUUCAAAUCCACAAGUUCAAGAAGCUUCAUUACAUUACCAGCAAGAAAGAUUAUCAGUAAAUAAGCAAGAUAAUGACCAAAAUCAUGUGGGUAAUUUAUUUUUUAAAACCCUAAUGCAUAUAACCCUAACAAUUAUGCACCAUAAAUUCUCUUUAUAAAGUAAAAAUCAAGUGUAAAUGUGGUUAAUGACCUUUAGUUCGGUGAAUUUCCAGCCUUUAAUUCGGUGAUUUUGUAGCCUUUAAUGUGGUGGAUGAACUUGCAGCAGCAGGAGCAUGAACUUGCAGCAGCAGGCGUUGUGUAUGGUAGCUCGUGAAGGUAGAUUUUGAAAUUUGAAGAAUUAAAUUGGGGUAAUUCUAUAAUUGCACAUUGAAAAAGGUAUAUAAAAGAAAUUUUGAAUUAUGGGGGUGUAGUUGGAUAAAUACCUAACCUUUAGGGUAUGGCGGGGACAAAUCCAAUCAUGUUCAGCAUAAAUUUAGAAUGACAGAAAAAAUUAAUCAUUAAAUAAGUCAUAAAAAAAUUAAUGACAUAAAAUAUCAAUCACAAAUUAUGUCACAAACGUAAUAUUUUACCCACCAAAAUUUGAAAAAAAAAAAUCACAUUUCUCGCCAAAAAUUUAAAUAAUUUAUUCAUUUUUUCCAUGACUGACAUAUGACAUUUAAACGGUAUCAUAAAUUAAUGACAUACUUUUUUCUAUCAUAAAAGUGUGACAGGUACAUAGAUGAUAGAUAAUUUCACUGUCAUCCACCCCCUUUUAUGAUAGAUUUUUUGCAGUCAUCUAUUGCCAGUUUUCUUGUAGUGACAUAAGAUGUAGCUUAUCAAAUAACUCUAGAAAGUUGAUUUGAAUUACACUACACUUAUUGUUCUAUAUAAACACUACAUGGGUGAAUGAUUGCACGUACAAUAAUAGUCAUAAGAAUCAAAGCAACAUCAAAAGAGAGUGAGAGAAAAGGAAAAAGGCAGUGGGUUCUUGCUUUGUGAAUUGAGGGGAUUUUCCAACUACGUGAUUGUCCUCUGAUCAUCAGUGACAUAAACUCAUGAUAGAUCCGUUCGUGAAGUAGAUUUGCUCAUAAAGGUUCCUAGCAAUUAAUUAUUGUUCGUUGCGAUCUGCUCGUGCUAGUUCCUAACAAUCCGCUUUUGAAGAUUAGAGGGAGCUUAUUUCCGCAUCAACCAAUAAGGUAUGGAUUUGGUUGAACAAAAUAAAUAGCAUAAUUUAUUUAGAAAAUCAUCAUUAGUAUCAGAGCAUGUGUAGUUUAUGUUCUGAUCUUGGGUGCAUUAUGUAUGCUAAUAUGCCAUGUUUUCUGUGAAAAUUUGAUAAAAUUAUGUAUGCAAUUUAUUUAGAAAAUCAUCAUUAGUAUCAGAGCAUGUGUAGUUUAUGUUCUGAUCUUAGGUGCAUUAUGUAUGCUAAUAUGCCAUGUUUUCUGUGAAAAUUUGAUAAAAUCACACAUUAAUGGUAUAUGAUAAUAUACAUAAUGUUAAAGCAUGAAAUUCGAAAUAUAAUCACGUGAACAUACAAGGAGUAUAUAUGGAACUUUGUUUGAUAUAAUAUGCUCUUGAAGAAUGAAUAAAUUGAAACCCUAAGUUAUAAACCCGCAUGCUUAUUUUGCUUAUAACUUUUUGUAUGUUCAUUCGUUCUCUGGAAAGUUGAUAUCAUUGGAAAGAUUAAUUAUAUUUGCAACGGUAUAUCAAAUGCUUGAUUUGGACUUGUAAAUUGAGAAAACGAAGUGUUUAAAAUUCUAGUUCGAAAUCUGGAAUUUUUGUUCAAAUUGAAGAAGAUGAACAGUGUUACAUGUGUUGUCCCAAUCUCGGGCAUGGCGUGUGAAAUUCACCCCUUCAAUAAAACAAAAAUUCAAGACCAGAUUUGAAUUCAGGACAUGAAAAAAGGUGGAAAUUCAUAAAUGUAACGUCAGAAAAUGGCCAGAAUCUGGGAUGUGUAUCACACGCGCCGACGAGGAGAGUUAAAAAAAGGCUUGACUCUAAAUCAGUCCAGGCCGCGCGAAUUGAACCAAACCGUGCGAACCAAACCCCAUGAACUGAACUCAGCUAGACUACGAGUUAGCGCAAGUCACGUGCCAAGCGUGCCGCAUUGACCUACCCGCGACAGUGGCACGUGUAAUGUACGCACCGCCUUCCCGACCUUUGAUUGCGGCGCUGUUUGCGGCAGCCAGACCAGAAUUAAUUUCCUAUUUUUCUAUUUUAAAAUUAAAUUUUUGUCUCUGUUUUAAUUUUAAUUUAUUUUUUAUUUUUUGACAUGCUUGAAUUUAUGAAUAAAAAUAGUUUUAUUGCCAUUAAAUUCACAUAAUAUGCAUCUUACAUGUAAGAAUGUUAUAUUCCAGUGGGAGGAAAUAUAAAAUACUUAAAAUAUUAUGGGGAUUAUUAAAGUCUCGCGUAGUAAUGUGAAUUUAUGCAUGUCUAGGAAAAUUCUGUCAAAAAGACAAUAAGAGUAUAAGGAAACAAGGUACUUAAGUGGAACCAUCCUAUCCCUACCUCUUUCCUGAAAAUUUUCCAUAUGAUUAUUCACGUGAACAAAUGCAUGAAGGCUUUUUUAUCCCUUAAAACUAAAAUAAGCAUUCUAUUAUUAAAAUACUAAAAAGAUUAAAUAAUAAUUAAGAUUUUUGCGCAAAAGGACUAAAUGAUGAUAAUUUAAUUAUUCCCGACCUCUGGCUUUUCCGUUCUCUUUCUUUCAAAUGGUGAAAAUAAUAACAGAGCAUGACAGCUCACUACUUUCAUUUGUUAAAAAGUGUUGCCUGAAUUCCUUCCUUUGCUAGCUGGAACUAUUAGGUUGAAGUAAUGAGUUCUUGUUAAAAGCACAAAUUUUACUUUAUUUGAUGAUUAUAAAGCAUUCGUCAGUUGUGAAUACUCAUCCAAGGCAGGACCGGCCUCAGAAUUUGGUGAAAUAGAAGAGCUUCUAAUGAGAUUGUAUAAUCAAGUCAAUGUAUACUGAAUUUUACAUGUGGAUAAAUUGAAGAGUUAGAAUGAAAUGUUACAACCCCUAGGACGUGUUUGGUAGCCCACAUUACAUGAGAUAAAAAUAUUGUUUUGUAUUACAUUUAUGCAGAUCCAUGUUUGGCAAUAAAAAUAACUACAACAUUAUUGCAUUAAUGGGCUAGGCUAAUGUGGCAAGUGCCGAAUUAGCUUCCUUCUUCUUUUUUUCCCCCUUUUUCUUUGUUAUAAUAAUAAUAAAUAAAUUUAACUUUUUAAUUUCAUUUAAUAUUAUAUAAUAUUUUUAUUUUUAUUUUUACAUUAUAAUUAUUAACAUAAAUAAGUAAUUAUGAUUAUUAAUAUAAAUUAAUAAAUAUAUAAUUUAUUAUUCAAUAAUAUUAUAUUAUAUUUUUUAUUUUUACAAUAUAAUUUAUUAAUAAAUUUACAAUUUAAUAUAACUAUAAUAAAUAUUUACAUAUGAAUAAAUUUGAAUAAUAUUAAUUUAAAAUUAAUAAUAAUAUUAAUAUUAAUAUAAUAUUAAUAUAAUAUAAAUUAAUAGAAUAGAAUAUAUAAUUUAAAUUAAUCACAAAAAAUUAAUACAGUAUAGUGUAGCACCAAUUAUACAACAUUGUUAUAACAUAGUGCUAAUACAAUACAGUAUAAUACAAUACAAUUUACCAAAUGCACCCAUUGGAAAAAGGACACCUACACCCCAACAUUUAGAGAAAUAGUUAUACAGACCCCUAAAUUUUCAAUAAGAGACAUCAAGACCCCCUUUUAACCAUAAUACAUUUUAAAAACUCAAAAAAUUGACCCGAAAAUUUAUAAUAGAUAGAAAUAUACAUAUUUUAUUAUAUUAAAAUAAUUUUUAACAAAUAGAAGCAUAAUAUCAAAAGAAAUUAAUUAAAGUUAAAAUUAUUUGAAUAUUAUGUAAAAAUUAAUUUUAAUAUUAUUAACAGGGAGAUAUUUUAUUAAUCGUAAAAUCUAUUUAACCCAUAAAUACAAAUAUAUUAUCAAAAUAAAUAUAGAAAUUUAAAAUUUUAAUAUUAUUUUAAAUGUUAAAAAUAAUUUAAUAUUAUUAGUCUACUGGAUAGAUUUUAUUAUUUAUAUUAAUUACAAAAUUUUAAAGCUAAUGUUCUAAUUACUAUAUUCAAUAGAUAUUAUCGUAUAAAAAAAGCAAGUCUUAGUGUCCUAAUUUCUUCAAACCUUAUGAGUGUUGGUGUCUUUUUUUCUAAACCUUACGAAAGGUUGUUUACACUAAUAGAACAAAAUUUUUCCCGGAUGUUCGUAAGAAACAACAGUACAAUAAUUCUAUCAUCAUCUUGUAAACAAAAGUACAAUAACUCUUAACGUAAUGUUGUCUGCUAACACCAAUUAUUUAUGCAUAUUUCUUUUUAAAAAAGCUCAAACAAUGCUCCCUUUAUUUUUCUUUAAUUGGACAAAAGAAAAAAAUGAUUACGGAGCCACUACUUUCCAAAUGACCCUAUCAACAGCUAGUGACUCUGACUAUAAGGCAAAAUAUGUACACAAAAGUCAUAACGUUAAAGUUGGAGGAGCCCAUUUGACAAUAGGGACAAUAAUAAAUAAUUAAUUUUCCGUGAUGCAUGAUUUUUCCAAAUCUUAUUUUGUUUUUCUUUUUUUCUUUUUACUUUAAGGGUUAAUUUUAGAUUUCGACUCGUGAUUUGAAUUCAAAUCACCUUCUUAUUUUUUAAAACCUUAAUCUACCUUUACUUUUUAUAAAGAAAAUUUUAAAAAAAAAUUAUCAACAUACCCAUUUUUAAUCUUUUAAAUGAGAGGUAACUUGAGAUUUUAAAAAAUAAAUGGGCGAUUCGAAAUUAACCAUUCAAGAGAGGGUAAAUUUUAGACUACUUCCCUCUCGAAUUGGCUAUCUUCAAAUCACCCCCUUAUUUUUUAAAAUCUCAAGUUAUCCUAUUUUUUGUGUAAAAGAUAAGGAAAAGAUGGAGGUAGUUGAUGAUCCUUUUUUUGGGUCUUCUUAACAAAAAUAGAAUAAAUUGAGAUUUUAAAAAAUAAAGAGUGAUUUGAGGAUGGUCAAUUCACAAGAGAAUAAUCUUCUUUUAUGAAAAAUAAUUUAUUUUUAUUUUUAUUAUUAACAAACUUCCAAUAAAUGCACGUAAGGAUUAAAAAUAUACGGAUAUAAGUUUUUGAGUAAUCUGUUCAUUUCUUUCCACACUUGUUUAUAUUUAUUGAUUUUAUUCCACUCUACUUAAAUAUGCAAAUAUUUCUAUAAAAAAAAAAAAAGGGGUCGGCUGAAAUAGGCAUGACGUGUUCAUACGCUAAAGUGGGAAUAAUAUAAACAAAUCAAUUAAUUAUCCGAUGAUGACAAUUUUUUUUUCUUUUGAUAGUUCAACUCUUUUCCCCCUAAACGAUGCAUUGUUUAUAAAUGAAAGCGUUACAAAAAUUAUGAAAAACAAUAAUUAUUUUUUUUACUAGUAAAAUAGCAAUUAGGAAAAAGCAUCUGGGUGCAAUAAUUAUUAUUAACAUCAUCAAAUCUUACAUUUUAUUAUUUUUCUAUGUUGAUCUUUAAUAUACCAGUUAUGCCCUUCUUUGAAAUUUAUAAAAGAGUUUAUCAAGAAAAAAGAUUUAACAAAUAAAUUUAUCCAUCUGAAUAGCUGAACUCUUACACACAUCUAUAAAAUAUCAGGAACGCCCUUGACAAAAAGACUAUUUUCUCAAUUUCCAUGAUAAAACAUUUUAAUGGUUGGCAGCAUAAACAGGUAUUAACUAUAAUAUUACUAUAUUAGGCAAUUAGUAUUCUAUAUUCAAGGGUAAAAUUCAUUUUAUCUGUUCAAAGUUCUAUUUGUAUUUUACAAGUCAAAAUAUGUAUAAUGAAUCUUGCAAUUUUUUUUUCCCAAAGCAAGGGCAUAAUUGAUAUUUUAAAUGACAACUAAAGGUCAAUUACUAUUUUUUUCAAAAUAGUAGUUAAGAAAUUUAUAAAUCUUCAAUAAUAAAAUUUACAUUAAAAUUUUGGAUAAAAAAUUUAUGUUGAAAUAACCCUCCAUAUCUAUAUCGAAAAUAAUUCUCAGGUGCAGAUUUUUAAAGUCAGAUUUCGUGUAGAUUUGCUAUUACACUAUACAGUAUUCUGGUUUUUUUUUUUCAACUAACACUAUUAAACCAGUGGCGUAAUAGUGAAUCCACAUAUAUAUAUGAGGAAAUUUUAAUUAGUUAAUUUCUUGAAAUUUUCUAAUCUGAAACUAUUAAAAAUGAUUUGAAUGUUUUAUAAUUAUAUUUUAAAGUAUGGUGCGUAUGCACAAUUUGAGAAAUGAGAAUAUCACCACUCAUUUUUUAAUAUACUUUUAUUUAAUUAGAAACUAUUGUUCUUAUCUUUACAGCGUAUAUUGUUAAUAUUUAUGGAGAAUAUCCAUUUUGAGAAUCACUAAAUAUUGCUAAUAUUUAGCGUAUAUUAUUGUUAUAUAUCACUCUUGUUCUUAUCUUUACAGCGUAUAUUGUUAAUAUAGUCUUUCAAAUCAUUAUCUCUAGGCUGUUUCAUUACUCCUCGUAUAACAAUAAAUAUUUAAAUAUUGAUACAUGAAUAUAAGAAAAUAAAUCAAUAAUAUCGAUUAAAUAAUAAUUUUUGACAAUUUUAGGACUAGUGUGCUAAAUUAGUAAUUCGAUAAAUUUAGACAAUCAUAUGUUAUAAAAAAAUUGUUAUUUUUAUAUUGGACUCGACUCAGAUACUCUAUAAAUUAAUAGUUAAUUUACUUGCAACAAAAUUAAUACGGUAUGUACGUACAUAGGCGGCUUUUGCGAAAUAUAGUUUUACUGUCUUCUUUUCUUGAAAUGGUUGUAGACUUGAUCUCAUGUCCAAUGUCACUAGCGUUUUAAAUAAAUUUGUGCAAGGUAGGCUCAAUAGUACAAAGAACUAACAUUUGAGGCAUGCACAAAUAUCUAAUUUCUUAUUUUAAUUAAUAAAUAAUUACAUAAAUAUAAGACUCCAAUAUAGUUGAAGUGGCUAGGUAAGUACUGAUGGAUUUCUAGUAGCAAAUGCAAGCAGUUCUUCGUCACCUUCAAAAAAGGCCAUGUCUUCGGGGCUCAGAGUCACCCAUACUUCUAUUCCCUUACCAUCGUUUGCGGCCAUUAUAAUAAUCAAGUUUGACACCCAAUAAUUUGGCAUAGUCAUGUGCACUGGCUUUCCCCAUCCAAAAUCUGCUGCUUCAUAAUAUGGAAAGUUAACAAGGCUGCUGAAAGUGUAGAAAUCGAUCUCAUCUUUUUCAAACUUGUCUUUAAUUGACUCCGGAAUAUCGAAUAUAUUCUUGUUUUUUAGCAAGGUUUUGAGACCGUUUCGUCUAAAUUCUGCCUUUGCUUUUCUUAAUGAACAAACCAAGUCUUGUAGUGUUUCAGUUUCCUUUUCACUCGCCUGCGCCGUCAGAUACGCGACGGAGUUGCCCACAGAGUUGUCAGGCAAGGGCGGCUCGGCCACGGCACGCACGUCUAUCGCCUGUACUGACAAAGAAGGUCUUGAAUACCCAAGGUUUGAUCUUGACGCCGCCCUUGCACACUUCCAAAUCAGGGCAGUCAAUGCCUCGACGCGUGUUGGUCUAGGCACGGUUGGACUUGCAACUUUAGCCUUGAGUUCGUCAAUUUUCUUUGCAUCAAAUACAAACCUGUUGGCUUUGACCGGUGAAAUAUGUGAGGGUGCGGCCACGAAGGAUUCGCUUGCUGGAAAAAUCGUUGAAGUAACAAAUCUAGGAGUCACUUCCUUAUUAUUGCUGCUGCCCGAUAACUGAUUAUCCGCACGAGCUGUUGUGGCCCAGCUGUCAACGAAUAUGCGUAACGAGGCUCCAUCAAUGAGCUUGUGACAAGUGCAAACUGUGAUUGCCAGUCCCCCGCAUUUGAAAAAGGUAGCUUGUACGCGCAGCAUUGGACACCCAUUGCUUGCUACUGGAGAUUCUACGUAGUUAAACGGGUGAAAAUCCCGUAAUAAAUUCUGAUCAGGCUUUUGUAGGUAUUCAAACAAAAAGCCGUUCGCAAGAGCUUCAACAUAUUCAGCCCCUUCGUCGUUACUUUCAAUAGAGAAAUCGUCUUUGACCCUCCCAGCAAGUGGGUAGAAUUUUGUGAGAGUUUUUGAUAGGGAUAACUUGAGACAUUGCGAAAUCUGGUCAGCUUUCACAUUACCGUCUGCUUUGUACAGAAAAAUGGUGCUCACAUAGACCGGAAAAGUGAUCUGGUCCAUGAGGGAAAGUUUAAAAUUUCUCAGGUGUUCAGGAGUUGGGUAAGCUGGUUUGAUGCUUUCUCUGGCCCGUACUAGUACUUCUAGUGCCCUUUCCAUUUUAGGCUUUGCUACUUUUGCAACCGUUUGUAGACUUCUUGUUAGUAGUACCUGUCCAAUAUUAAAAUAUCAAAAGUUAAAUACAUUAUACACAUAGAACUGUAACUAAGAAAAUUUCUAUCACUAGUUUUGAUUACUUUUCAGUGCCUGCCUUGUUGUUGCAGAUCUCGGUUGCUCUUAUUAGAUGGCAGCUCCUCGGUAACUAGUUAAGACCCUUAUAUAGUAAAAUUUGGUUGCCAAAUUUGACUCCAUUAGUUCGAUUCCGUGGUUUGUCAAUGCAUCAACAGUUCAAUGAGAACUUACUCGCGUUAACCACGUGCAUUGCUUUUUGAAUUUUAUGAAUACGAAUCCUCACGAUCGAAAUUGACAUUGAUCAAUACAUUAAUUAAGCGCACUUGAAUAUAUAUGGAAUUGAAAGAUAAAUGCUAGGUAACUUAAUAUUUAAGUCUCAAUUUGAAUCUCAACUAAUGUUGUUAGGGUUAACAAAACCUGGGUUUGAGCUUGGGUAUGGUAAUGUCCAGACCCAGCCCGAAUAUAUUUUUUAGACACCCAUCGAGCUAGAUUUUUUAAUUUGGGUUAUUAUAUCAGAUUUUAUACUUUUUAAUGUUAUAUAUUUACAAUUUUUAAUUUUUUUUAAUUUUACAAUUUUACAAUUUAUUUCUAUUAAUUUGGACAUGAAAUAUGAAUUUUAAAUAUUUAAAACUUUACAUAAAUAUAAUAGAUUGGCCAAAUAAAUUUAAUUAUUUAAACUAAUAUAUAUUUUAUAAUAUUUUUUUCAAUAAAAAUAUAUUUUAUUGGAAGCAAAUGGAUUUUACAUGUUAAACGAAAGGUGGAUGACACAAUUGAAAGAUACAAGGCACAUUUGGUAGCGAAAUGAUAUACCCAACAAAAGGGUAUAGACUAUAAGGAAACUUUUUCCCCAGUGGUAAGGUUUGCCUAUAUAAGAUUAAUUCUAGCCAUCGUUGCACAUGUGGACCUUGAAUUGCAUCAAAUGGAUGUUAAAACAAUAUUUUUCAAUAGAGAGCUAGAGGAUGAAAUUUAUAUGAAACAACCAGAGGGUUAUAUAACCAAUAACCAAGAGUGCAAAGUUUGUAAGCUCAAAAGGUUAAUACAUGGCUUAAAACAAUCCACCAGACAAUGGUAUCUUAGGUUUCAUGAAUCUAUGAUGACUUAUGGAUUCUCGAUGACCGAGGAAGAUCAUUGUGUAUACGUUAAAAGGUUAGAAGGUAACUUUGUCAUCUUAUCGUUAUAUGUGGACGAUAUAUUGUUGGCUAGAAAUAAUACAGAGUUUGUUCAAACCAUUAAGGAAUGGUUAUUUUCAAACUUUGAAAUUAAAGAUAUGGGUGAAGCGUCUUAUAUCCUGAGAGUUAAAAUCCAUAUGGAUCAUUCUAGAAAACUUCUAGCUCUGUCACAAGAGUCUUAUAUUAGAAGAAUUCUUGAAAAAAUUUAAAAUGGAUAAGUGUAAACCUAUGGAUACUCCCAUCUCUAAAGGACAAACUCUUAGCCUUGAAAUGUGUCCAAAGACUUUAAAGGAAUGAAAUGAAAUGGCACGAGUUCCAUACUCCAAUGCUGUUGGAAGUUUCAUGUAUGCUAUGAUGUGUACACAAGCAGAUAUUUGUUAUGAUAUGUGGUUGGUAAGCAGAUACCAAUCAAAUCCUGGGCGCAAGCAUUGGAAUGUUGCCAAAAGAAUUUUAGCAUAUUUGAAAGGCACUGCUGACUAUUCUUUAUGUUAUCAAAGAGGUAAUUUAUGCUUAAUUGGAUACACAGACGCCGAUUGGGGAGGCGAUCUUGAUGAGCGCAAAUCAACCUCAAGAUACUUUUUUCUACUUAGUCACGGUGCGACCUCAUGGAGUAGCAAGAAGCAAACAUGCACAACUCUGUCGACUAUGGAAGCAAAAUAUGUAGCAUGUUCGGUCGUAGUACAAAAGGCUAUUUGGCUUAGGCGCUUUUUAAAUAAUCUCAAGAUCGUUACUGAUCCUCCUCGGCCAGUAAUCAUAUAUUGUGAUAGCCAAGCAACCAUAUUCUUUACCAAAGAUGCAAAAUACCACAGCAAGUCUAAACACAUAGAGACAAAGUAUAAUUUUGUGAGAGAUAUUGUGGCGAAAAAGGAAGUAUUGAUGCAACACAUGUCUACACACUUUAUGGUUGCAGAUCCAUUCACUAAAGCCAUGACACAAGAUGUUUUUAUUGCACAUACGCGAUCAUUAAGAUUGCGCAGAUUAUAAAAGUUGUACUUAAUAAAUUAUUUUGAUUAAGUCUCAUAAGAUACUAAUUGACAUGAUUACACAUAUAUGAUUAUUGAAAGAUAUGUUCUCAGGUUAUGACGGACUUUCUUACACAAGCAGUCACUUCAAUUAUUAAUGAAAGCAAGCUGGGAUGAGACACAAGAUUAAGAGAAAGUACUGGAUACGUUCUCAUGGAGCUUUUAUCUUGAAAAUGUCGCCUUAACUAGGUCAAGAUGAAGAACCUAAUUAAGUCAGGUAUGAGUUCAUUAGGUACUUUAUGAAGGCAAGCUUAUUGAGACUCAAAUUGAGUGCUCGAAUAAGCGAUUGAUUUAGGAUAUGUAUAGUGGAUAGCUAGACAUAUGCUCUUACACAAAGAGAAUUUACUGUAAUGCAUGAUUCAUCCAUGCAUGCUUUUGUGACAAAAACAAAAAAGAGUGAAUAAAUCCAUGAUUCCUUAUUGUGUAAGUUCCUUCAAGGUAUAAGAAAGAUCUCAACAAUUUCCUUAGUUACCAUAGACUAUAUCUUAAAGGAAAUGAUUAGUGAUAGCUACUUUAGCAUAUUUUUUCCUUAACUAUAAUGUUAUUCGAUCUAUGAAACAUGUCUAAGAAAUCAACCAGCCUAAAACUGAAAGGUAUGAGUAGAGUGGGAAGAUUUAUUCUCCUUACAUCUAACUUAUGCAUUCAUCGGUCGACCAGUUAUAUAAUCUACCUAGGGAUGAAUACAAUUGCGAAUACAUACAGUGCACAGCGUCAAAUAUAAUUUUUGUUGAGGGAUUAAAUAUGUUUGUACCGAUGUAAAGGAUAAUGAAAUAUUCUAGGAAAUAUAAUGAGCAAGUUAUUUGAAUCUCUUGCAAAAAGUGCAAUUGAGAUUUUUGCUCCACAAGCUCCAGUUUAUAUUGUUCAUGGGUCACACGUUGCAUUUGCUCGUAUGAUACUGCGAUUGUGGCUUUAUGCCCAAAAACCCUACUCUCGUUGAUGUUAGAUUUAAUGCUCAUGAUGGGACAGAUUAAUCUAACGUAAGUGAUAAGAUAAACUUAGAGUUUGUCUAGGAUUCUUAUAAGAUAAAAUUAAUAUUUUAUCUUAAUCCUAAUCACAUAAGAUGUAGCUUAUCAAAUAACUCUAUGAAGCUGAUUUGAAUUAAACUACACUUAUUGUACUGUAUAAACACUACGUGGGUGAGUGAUAACACUUACAAUAAUAGUCAUAAGAAUCAAAGCAACAUCAAAAGAGAGUUAGAGAAAAGGGAAAAAGGCAGUGGGUUCUUGCUUCGUGAAUUGAGAGGAUUUUCCAAAUACCUGAUUGUCCUCCGAUCAUCAGUGACAUAAAAUCGUGACGAUCUGUUCGUGAAGGUUCCUAGCAAUCAAUUCAUGUUCGUUGCGAUCUGCUCAUACUAGUUCCUGACAAUCCGCUUUUGAAGAUUGGAGGGAGCAUAUUUAUAUUCUUGGAGGCUCGUGACGAUUCAUUUCCACAUCAAUCAAUAAGGUAUGGAUUUAGUUGAACAAAAUAAAUUGCAUGAUUUAUUUAGAAAAUCAUCAUUUUGAAGCCACAAUAGAUUUUUGGCCAUGGGGACUGAGAAUAGAUGUUUUAAUUUAUGAUAGAAAACUACUUUAAUGAUUCUUUCGUUGCUGAAAGAUUGAUUUUCUGUGAGUUGGCUGCAACAUAUCUUCUCCAAAUUCAUCAAAUCACGAAUAGACAAUGACUCCAGCAAGGGAAAGACUUUGCAAUGAACCCGUUCAAUUGAACCGCCAACAAAUGUAUGCUAUCAUUCAAGGCAAAUUUUUGUGGUGUAUACUAUCAUUCAAGGAAAAUUUCAUGCCUAAAUCAGAAGCGAGUUUGUCUUGAAUUUUCUGAGAAUUUGGGUCCUGUGUUACCUCAGCCAUAACGGCCUUAUCGAACGAAUUAUCUUCCAUCACUUGCUUUGCAACUUGCUUGACUAGCGUGGUAUUACCCAUGCCGCCCAUUCCAUAGACCCCAAUUAUGUUGAGCUUAUCAUCCUUCACUGCCUCCAGAACAUCUUGAAAUAAUUUCAUUCUUGAAUCAAAGGCCUCGUAACCUUUCGCUUGCAUAUGUUCUGCACUCUUUGGAGCAGGACGGUAGGAAACAUUAGAGAAGUUGGCUUGUACCACGAGAUUAGCGGCAGCUUCUGCGGCCUUUGUGGGGGGAAAAAAAAUGGAUCCAAAUAAAUUAAAGUGAAACGACAAACAAUUAAUUUUGGUCUUGAACGGACAAUUAAACAGAGAAUUUAUUAAUUUAUUUAUUUUUUGGGUCAAGAAUCAGAAUUUUGGCUAUUAACCGAAAGUUUUCACGGGCAUAAAUGAAGAGCAACAAUUUUUUUUUAGAAAUUAUUUCAGAAGAGCGAUGCAAAUUGACAAACGAUAAUAAUAAGAACACAGAAGUUAACAGUGAACAAUAACUUAAAGCUCAAGAAAACUAAAUGACAAGAUUAAGACAAACAAGAGAUAUUUUUUCUUGGAAAUUAAGAAAAAACUACUAUGAAGAUCAAGGAUUAGAGAUAUGCUAUGAAAAGAAAUUAUUAAAGGAUUUACAACAAGUUCACCUCUUUAAUUAUCUGGGAUGAUGAGCUCUUUAUUCGCCUUGAAUGUAUAAGAACAAUUUUAAUAGCAAAAGAUCACUGUUAACUGCAGAGCAAUGUGUGAGUAAAGAGUUGAUGAGAGUAAUAACAAAUGAAUCGCAAAAGAAAAAAACUUAAUCAUGCAUCCCUUUUCAUAUCACGUACUUGAUUACUGUUGUCCUGUUGAUGCACGUAUUUUUUUUUUUUUCAUGAAUAAUUGCCAGAUCAGGAAAGAAUUAUUCUGUUUGAUUGAAAGAUUGUUGAUUCCAAUUAAGAUAAGCUUGGAUGCCUAAUGAAAGAUAAAGCAGAAGCUUGGAUAAAUGAAAGAGGACCAAAACUUUUAUAAAAGUAGAUACCGAUAAAAAGCCGAAAAGGCAUUUUACAAAGAAGAUCAUCAAAGUAAGAUAGAUGAUGACUUGAUUUUUACUUUUUUUUUAAUUUCACCUAUUCUGUUCACAAAUGAUGGCUUAGUUGUUAGUAGUUCCACAUGGACAUUAUUUACAAAUUGUUGUUAUGUUUAAUAGAGAAAUGAAAAGCUGUUCAUCGUACAAAAUUGCAUGAUCAAAUCUUGGAUUUUUAUUAUUAUAAAAUAAAUAAAUUUCAUUAAUAGAUAAUGCGCAGGUUAAUGUUAGGAAUUUGAUCAGAUGAUCAUAUAAUUUACUAAACCCUUUCACAAGUGCAAAGUUUAAAAAUAAUAAAUAAAUAAAGAGUACGCGUAAAGAAUGUUAUUUGCAAUACCCAAACUGAAAAAUAGGGGAAUGAAAACAGAGGAACCUCUCAUUUUUCUUUUCUCUUUCUUUCAAAUGGUGAAAAUAAUAAUAGAGCAUGGCAACUAACUACUUUCAUUUGUAAAAAGUGCUGCCUGAAUUCCUUCCUUUGCUAAUUGGAACUAUUGGCUUGAAGUAACGAGUUCUUGUUAAAAGCACAAAUUUUACUUUAUUUGAUAAUUAUGAAGCAUCGGUCAGUUGUGAAUACUCAUCCAAGGCAGGACCGAUCUCAGAAUUUGGUGAAAUAGAAGAGCUUCUAAUGAGAUUUUAUAAUCAAAUCAAUGUAUACUGAAUUUUACAUGUGGAUAAAUUGAAGAGUUAGAAUGAAAUGUUACAACUCUUAGGGCGUGUCGCCCACAUUACAUGGGAUAAAAAUAUUGUUUUGUAUUACAUUUAUGCAGACUCAUGUUUGGCAGUAAAAAUAACUACAGCAGUAUUGUAUUAAUGGGCCGGGCUAAUGCGGCAAGUGCCGAAUUAGCUCGCUUCUUCUUCUUCUUUUUUCCCCUCUUUUUCUUCGUUAUAAUAAUAAUAAAUAAAUUUAACUUUUUAAUUUCAUUUAAUAUUAUAUAAUAUUUUUAUUUUUACAUUAUGAUUAUUAACAUAAAUAAAUAAUUAUGAUUAUUAAUAUAAAUUAAUAAAUAUAUAAUUUAUUAUUCAAUAAUAUUAUAUUAUAUUUUUUAUUUUUUACAUUAUAAUUUAUUAAUAAAUUUACAAUUUAAUAUAACUAUAAUAAAUAUUUAAAUAUGAAUAAAUUUGAACAACAUUAAUUUAAAACUAUAAAAUAUUAAUAUAAUAUAAAUUAAUAUAAUAGAAUAUAUAAUUUAAAUUAAUUACACAAAAAUUAAUACAGUACAGUAUAGUACCAAACAUUAUAUAGCAUUGUUAUAACACAGUGCUAAUGCAAUACAAUAUAGUACAAUACAGUGUGCCAAAUGGGUAGAAAAAAGACAUCUACACCCCUAACAUUUAGAGAAGUAGUCAUAAAGAAACCUAAAUUUUCAAUAAGAGACAUCAAGAUCCACUUUUGGCCAUAAUACAUUUUAAAAACCCAAAACAAUUGACCCAAAAAUUUAUGAUAGAUAGAAAUAUCGCAUUUUUACAAUCUAUUAGACAUAUUUUAUUAUAUUAAAAUAAUUUUUAACAAAUAGAAGCAUAAUAUCAAAAAGAAAUUAAUUAAAGUUAAAAUUAUUUUGAAUAUUAUGUAAAAAAUAAUUUUACUAUUAUUAACAGGGAGAUAUUUUAUUAGUCGUAAAAUCUAUUUAACCCAUAAAUACAAAUAUAUUAUCAAAAUAGAUAUAGCAAUUUAAAAUUCUAAUAUUAUUUUAAAUGUUAAAAAUAGUUUAAUAUUAUUAGUCCACUGGAUAGAUUAUAUUAUUUAUAUUAUAUUAAUAUUAAUUAGAAAAAUUUAAAUUCAAUGUUCUAAUUACUAUAAUCAAUGGAUAUUAUAGUAAAAAAGAAGCGAGUCUUGGUGUUCUAAUUUUCUCAAAUCUUAAGGGUGUUGAUGUCUUUUUUCCUAAACCUUACGAAAGGCUGUUUACACCAAUAGAACAAAUUUUUUCUCGGAUGUUCGUAAGAAACAACAGUACAAUAACUCUAUCAUAAUCUUGUAAACAAAGGUACAAUAACUCUUAACGUAAUCUUGUCUGCUAACACCAAUUAUUUAUGUAUAUUUCUCUUUAAAAAAGCUCAAACAAUGCUCACUUUAUUUUUCUUUAAUUAGACAAAAUAAAAAAAUGAUUACGGAACCACUACUUUCUAAAUGACCCUAUCAACAACUAGUGACUCUGACUAUAGGCAAAAUAUGUGCUCAAAAGUCAUAGCGUUAAAGUUGGAGAAGCCCAUUUGACAAUAAUAAAUAAUUAAUUUUCCGUGGUGCAUGAUUUUUCCAAAUCUUGUUUUGUUUUUCAUUUUUUUGACUUUAAGGGUUAAUUUUAGAUUACUGACUCGUGAUUUGAAUUCAAAUCACGUCCUUAUUUUUAAAAACUUUAAUUUACCUUCACGUUUCGUUAGGAAAAUUAUAAAAAAAAAAAAUCCAUCAAUGUACCAUUUUUUUAAUCUUUUGAAUGAGGGAAAGCCAGAGAUUUUAAAAAUUAAAUAGGUGAUUUGAAAUUAAUCAAUUUAAGAAGGGGUAAAUUUUAGACUACUUUCCUCUUGAAUUGAUUCUCUUCAAAUUACCCCCUUAUUUUUUAAAAGCUGAAGUUAUCCUAUUUUUUUUGUGUGAAGGAUAAGGAAAAAAAUGGAGAUAGGUUAAUGAUUUAUUUUUUUUUGGCAUUCUUAACAAAAAUAGAAUAAAUUGAGAUUUUAAAAAAUAAAGAGUGAUUUGAUGAUGGUGAAUUCACGAGGGGAAUAAUAUUCUUUUAUGAAAAAAAUUCUAUUUUUAUUUUUAUUAUUAACAAACUUACAAUAAAUAUACAUAAGAAUUAAAAAAAAUAAGGAUGUAAGUUUGUGAGUAAUGAGUUCAUUUCUUUCGACAUUUGUUUAUAUCUAUUGAUUUUAUUGCACUCUAGUUAAAUGUCCAAAUAUUUCUAGCAAAAAAAAAAGGGGUCGGCUGAAAUAGACAUGACGUUUUCAUACGCUAAAGUUGGAAUAAUAUGAAUAAAUCUAUUAAUUAUCUGAUAAUGACAAGUUUUUUUUUUUUUUGAUAGUUCAACCUUUUCCCCCUAAACUAUGCACUGUUUAUAAAUGAAAGCGUUACAAAAAUUAUGAAAAACGUUUUUUUUUUUUUUUUCUAGUAACAUAGUAAUUAGGAAAUAACAUCUGCGCCCAAUAAGUAUUAUUAACAUUUUACUACUAAAUAAUCAUAAAAUCUUACAUUUUAUUAUUUUUCUAUGUUGAGCUUUAAUAUACCAGUUAUGCCCUUCUUUGAAAUUUAUAGAAGAGUUUAUCAAGAAAGAGGAUUUAAUAAAUAACUUCAUCCAUUUUAAUAGCUGAACUCUUACACACAUCUAUAAAAAAUCAGCAACGCCCUUGACAAAAACACUAUUUUCUCAAUUCCCAUAAUAAAACAUCUUCAUGGUUGGCAGCAUAAACUGCUAUUAACUAUAAUAUUAGGCAAUUAGUAUUCUAUAUUCAAGGGUAAAAUUCAUUUUAUCUGUUCAGAGUUUUAUUUGUAUUUUACAAGUCAAAAUAUGUAUAAUGAAUCUUGCAAUUUUUUUUUCCAAAGCGAGGGCAUAAUUGAUAUUUUAAAUGACAACUAAAAGGUCCAUUACUAUCUUUGAUAGAAAAGUAGUAAAAUUUAUAAAUUUAUAAAUCUUUAGUAGUAAAAUUUACGUUAAAAUGUCAAGUACAACACUGAUUCAUGUGGUUUCGAAUCCAACCAUUGAUCGAUCUCAUCUUCAGUCAUGUUAUCACUUUGUCGGGCUGUUAUUGAUGUAUAGAUAAAUAUUAACCCUGCAUUACUAUAAAUGUCUGCAUGACAAAAAAUUAUCAAAAAAUAAUUAAGCGCACAAAAAUCAUCUUUUGCAACUCGAUCAUACACAAGUUUGAGCAAAAAUUCGUACAUAUCUUGAGAAUUCUUUCUAGAGUAAAGAGUUAACCAUAAACUCUCAUACAAAUUUAUUUGAUAUAAAUUAAUGUGACAUGAUUAAAUUAAUUGGAUUAAAUAACUCUUCAUCCACUUGAUUUGUAUUUAUUAUUUUGUGUUUUCAUCUAACUAAUAAAUUUAUGUCAUAUCAUUUUAUAUAAAAUUAAAUUUAUAUAAAAAUUUGUAGUUGCAUCGUCACCCUAAUAUAAGAUUAGAAAAAUUCUCUUUGCUUCUAUCAUUUAAAAAAAAAAAUGUGUUACUUUAUAAUUUAUAUUUAAAGUAAAAUUCAAGUGGAUGAUUGGUGGUUGAUAAAUAAAAUUUAUAAUAAUUAAUUCUAAUUCUGUACAGUAUGUAGGUACAUUAAAAGAAUUUCAAAACAAAUUACAAAAACGGACCUUUUCUGGAAAUUGUUUUUGGAGCCGAAAAUCAAGACUGUGCAAAAUAACAAGUCGUUGGCUUCUCGGCAGGAGUUCUUGAAUCCGCCAUUACUAAACUAUCUUGUUUCCCCAUUAUAUCUUUAUUACGCCACCCAAUAUAAACAUUUAAAAUUCAUAAUCAAUGUUUCGGUGAUAUCAUAAUUAAUAUAUAAAUUGUAAUUUUGCUACAUGUACAACAUCUAUAACUUACAUCAAUUUAAAAUUUAUUUUUUAUAUGACUCAGUUAUUGUCUGUCAAAUAAAUGGGAGUAAUGAAAAAUUAUUUUUAGGUCCACUAUUAGUUAGCAGCGCCAGACUGUGAUAUUAUAGAGUUUCAUAUAAGGAUGAAUAAUUUAAAAGCUUUGCGACUCUUAGAAUUUGGUGAAAUAGAACAGCUUGUAAUGAGAUGAAUAAUCAAAUCAAUAUAUAUUGAUUUGUACAUGUAGAUAAAUUGAAGAGUUAGAAUAAAAUGUUACAAUCCUUCGGAAAAAGGAUACCUACACCUCCAAUAUUUAGAGAAAUACUCAAAAGACCCCUAAGUUUUCAAUACGAGACAUCAAGACCCUCCUUUUGAUCAUAAUACCCUUUAAUUUUAUAAACCCAAAAAAUUAACUCCAAAAUUUUAUAAUAGAUAAAAAUAUAGCAUUUUUACAAUCUAUUAGAUAUAUUUUAUUAUAUUAAACUAAUUUUUAACAAAUAGAAGCAUAAUAUCAAAAGAAAUUAAUUAAAGUUUAAAUUAUUUUUAAAAUUAUGUAAAAAAUUAAUUUUAGUAUUAUUAAUGGGGAGAUAUUUUUAUUAAUCGUCAAAUCUAUUUAACCCAUUAAUACAAAUACAUUAUCAAAAUAAAUAUAGCAAUUUAAAAUUUUAAUAUUAUUUUUAGUGUUAAAAAUAAUUUAAUAUUAUUAGUCCACUGGAUAGAUUAUAUUAUAUUUAUAUUAUUUACAAAAAUUUUAAAGUCAAUAUUCUAAUUACCAUAUUCAAAGAUUAUUAUAGUAAAAAAAAAAGUUUUGAUGUCUCAAUUUUCUCAAACCUGAGGAAUGUUGGUGUCCUUUACCCUAAACCUUAUGAAAGAUUGUUUACACCAAUAUAACAAAAAUUUUCUCAGAUGUUCGUAAGAAACAAAAGUACAAUAACUCUAAGAUAAUCUUGUCUGCUAACAUCAAUUAUUUAUGUAUAUUUCUCUUUAAAAAGGCUCAAACAAUGCCCCCUUUAUUUUUCUUUAGGAAAAAAAAAUGAUGCAUGAUUUUUCCAAAUCUUGAUUAGUUACUCCAGCUAAUCGGUCAUUUAAAGGAGUCGGCCACUAUGUGCUCAAAAGUCACAACGCUGAAGUUGGAGAAGCUCAUUUGACAAUAAUAAACAAUUAAUUUUCCGUGAUGCAUGAUUUUUCCAAAUCUUGUUUUGUUUUUCAUUUUUUGACUUUAAGGGUUAAUUUUAGAUUAAGACUCGUGAUUUGAAUUCAAAUCACCUCCUUAUUUUUAAAAACCUUAAUUUACCUUAACUUUUUGUAACAAAAAUUUAAAAAAAAAAUCAUCAACCUACCUCUUUUUUAAUCUUUUGAAUGAGAGAUAACUUAAGAUUUUUAAAAAUAAAUAGGCAGUUUGAAAUUAACCAAUUCAAAAGAGGGUAAAUUUUAGAUACUUCCCCCUUGAAUUAACUAUCUUCAAAUCACUCCCUUAUUUUUUAAAGGGUAAAAACUUGUUUAGUCUCUAUAUUAUGAGGUUAGUGUCCAUUUAAUCUAUAUAUUUUUAAGAAUACCUCAAAACACCCUUGCUGUUAACUAUUGACACUCGUACCAUUUUUUUAUAUUCUUUUUAGCUUAUUUUUAUAAUAUUACACUCUUACAGUAAUGUUUCUUUUUUGGAUAUUAAUAAAAAAUUAGAUUAUCAAAUUAAACCCAAAAAUAAAAUAUAAACAAAAAGAUAUAUAUUAAUUUUUGUGGAAGCUCAUGUGUGUCCAAAAAAAUUAAUAUUGUAAAAAAUUAAAUUAUCAAUUUUUUAGAAAAAUUAAUAUUUUAACUCUUUAGCAAAGUGUUCCACAAAAAUUAAUAUAUUUUUUUUUCCUUUUUGGUGUUAAAAUGGUAAUUUAAUUUUUUUAAUAAUAUCUAAAAAAUAAGUCAAAAGUAACAAAAGGUAAUGGCAAUGGUGUCAAUAAUUUAACGGUAGGGAUGUUUUAAGGUAUGUUUAAAAAUAUGAGGAUUAAACAAACACUAACCUUAAAACCUCAAGUUAUCCUAUUUUUUGUGUAAAGGAUAAGGAAAAGAUGGAGGGAGGUUGAUGAAUUUUUUUUUUUUUUUGUCUUCUUAAUAAAAAUGGAAUAAAUUGAGAUUUUUAAAAAUAAAGAGUGAUUUUUAAAAAUAAAGAAUUGUGUGACCUCUUAGUCGUGCAUUUUGGAGGUUUAUGCAUACGUGAGCAGGAUAUGCAAGGAUUAAAGAAGGGAUUGAGAAUCAAUUGGUUGUAGAAUAGUUUGUAUAGUAAGAGGAUUGCAACAUAUGCUAAGGUGUACGAUCAGGCAAAAUGGAUGUAAAAAACUAAAGAUGCAGAAGAAGAAAAAAAGAGAAUGGAAAAAUAGAGGAUAUGUCUGAUGUGAAAAGGAGAACUAAGAAGAGGAUGAGAUAACCUUAGUUACAGCUCGAGAAGGAACUCAGAUAAUAGAUGUUAUUAUGACAAAGACGUGUUUAAUUACAGAUGACCAGAGAGGCCAUGACGAAACAAAACGUUGAAAGAAAUAUGAUAGAAGAAACAAAGGUUUCUGGAUAAUGAUAAGCUUUAUUGAAAAGUCUGAAUGAAUAAAACUAGAGUUUUGAACCCCUUUUAUAACAAGUCCAAAUAUCGCGAAUUUACUAAAAUAAGCAAAUCCAAAAUCUAAUAUGAUAAUUAAAUUCUCCUAACCAAAAUAAGAAAAGGAGAACAAAUGGCAUUAAAGUCCGAGUUCUAGAAAAAAAUAAAAAUCCUAGGAGAAUCAAGAAAAACAAGAAAGAAUCUUAAAACUAAAAAAUGACCAUGAAAGAAAUAGAAUUUUUUGUUCGACCAUGGGGCAAAAUGGCUUAUACAGAGUUUUGUUCAUCUCAUUACAAGCUUUAAAACAGUAUAUUAUAUACUGAAAACAAACAUUUGUAGCCCAAGUUAUGGCCUUCGGAAUGUAUAUUGUUCGCUACACACAACACCCUACAUCAAGCCAAUUCGUGAUUGGGAAAAAAAAUCUUUAAGAGAGGAAGUCUCACCAAUAGGCAAGGCCAAGAAAGAGCAAAUGACUAUAGGAAAAGCAAAUGGGAGAACUGAGUAAGAAUAAGAAGAUGUGUCACCUCUAGUUUGGAGAGGAUCAAUAUUAUAUAUAGGGUAAACUUAAUAAAGCAGAGUGGGAGAUUUACACCUCUAAACAAGAGUAGAGCAAAAAUAUUUAUUGUGACUACAUAUAAGGGCUAUUGAUCCCACCAAAGCCAAUUGUGAGACAUUUGUGUCCGGGUAUGGAACCACAUAUUGCAUAGACUUGAAAAAAGAGAUUGAAUGGCUUAUACAAAACCAAUAUCUAAAGCAAAUGUGAACACGAAAGAAGAGAUGGGACUAGAGGGGACAACAUAGACAGUGUGGUAAUGGUGAUUAUGGAGUGGCAGACCUAGCAAGGGACUUGAAUUGUUCGAGGUGGAAUUAUAGUUGAUACUCCCUGAAAAUUUAUGAUGUGAUUUUUAAUGUUCCGAUACCAAAGAAACAAUGAGUUCAAAGAGAACUCAUCAAAGCCCUCAAAUUCUAUUUUUUUUUUUUAAGAUGAAAAGAUCUGAAAGCCACUAUCAUGGGUUCCUAAUAUCCAAUUUGGUUUAGACACAUAAAAGAAGAUUGGCUUCCCAUAUACACAGAGGUGGUUAUCUUAUUCUGUUCGAAUUGGUUGGAGUCCAUAUAAAGUUUUAGUGCACAUGGUUAUUUUCCCAACCGACUUUUUGAAACAUAUGAUAUGAAGUUUGAGAACAUACAACCGGAUGACUCAACUUAUCCAAGUUGACAUGAAAAGCGGAGAGUACCUGGCGGUCCAUGAACAGAAAGAAGAACCGCUUGUCCAUAUAGGUUUCUAAAAAUUGAAGGAGCUGGCAGCUUCAUCGGGGUGGUGAGCCACUUGCUUUCUGUCCCAAAAUUAUGUUUAUUUAUAAUAAGUUGGUUAGCCGGCUUAAUUGUAACGGUUAGUAGUUUGCUAGAAAUGGUAAUGGGACAUGAUUUGUUAAUGUUGAUCAAAGGUGCUUGAGGCAGUUGAUUGAUGUAGGAAGUUAAUUUCGGUUAAUUUAGGAAUUUCAAGAUUCUAGAUUUUUAUUUUGGGACUUUUUAUUUUCAUUAGAGUCAAUUAUCGUAUUUUAUUAUUUUAGGGUUUUCUAUUUUCAUUAGAGUCAAUUAAGGUAUGAGAUUUAGUUAACUUAGGGAAGUAUCUUUUAUUUCCAUUAUAAUUGUGAUUUAGUUUCCCUUUUUAAGUUAACUUAGAGAAGUGGGUUUCCUUAUUAUAAAUAGAGAAGUUUUGAAAUUAUUUUCAUAAUUUAGAUUCAAUUAUUCAAUAAAACACCUAUUUAUAAUUCCCUCUGGGUAUUAUCUAUCAAAAUCUCUCUUAUAGAGUCGUUUGGAUUAGAGCGUCAUCUAAUCUCACUUUACACGUUAUUAAAAAUCUCAUUGAGUCAUCUGGUUUAGAACGAUAUCUAAUCAUGCUUUAAUCAGAGCGUAACUUAAUCACAUUGGCUUGGUUCAGUAUUCAAGCGAAAUCUAGUUUUUCUACCCCAUCAAUUUCUGCUUCCGCUACUCCUCACUCCAUCACUGAUAAGUUCUUCAGAACAAAUGAAAAAGGCCCUUAGAAUUAAAGCCGUUGGAUUAACGAGUUUGCAUCAAAGAGAUUUGGUCUUAUACUUCCAUCUUAUACUUUAUAAUUACAUUUGAAAAAGAAAAACUCUAAUUGCAACUAAUUUUUCAUUUUUUUCAUUUAAAAGUGAUCAAAUUUAUCUUUCUUUAUUGUGAGGUCUGAAAGAUUCGAUUCAAAUUGUAUUCUUUGCACGAUUAGAUUAAUUGCACUUAGCUAGAACAAGAUUACAAAUACAUUGUUGAAUCUGGUCCGUUAGCUUUACUACAAUGAAGAACCAGAUCCUCCCAAGAUUCUCAACCAAGAUUAAUCAAGAUGCAAUUUCAGCUUAGAUCAAAUUUAGAGAAUCAACUAAACCUGACAAGACUCGUAACAAAAGGGAUUAAUUACAAACACAGAAACCAAAACCAGCAAGAAAACCAAUCACACUAAAACAGACCACAAGCUUUAACGUGGUUAAGCCAUUAAUGGCUUACAUCCACGAGUGAAUUCCUCAGGCAGCUUUAUUGAAUGAUUCAAGAAGUUUGUUACUGAGAUUCUAAGAACAAGAACAAGUAAAACACUUCCUCUCAGAGUUCCCUCAAUCUCUAUCACACUCGAUGCCUCCAAUCCAGAAGGCUGCAGCUUAUAUACCAGUCUUGUAACAGCUUUAACAACCCAUAUCAUACAACUCCUUGACACGUGUGAUAUGAGUCUGUUAUUAACGAACUCAGAUUCAGCUAAUGGUCACGUGAACAACUCGUGAUCUUACUUAACUCGAGUAUAUUCAAAACGAUCUCAUAUGUUGCCGUUUCGGAUUAAGUACUAGUUGUGCUUCUCACGUGAGCUACUUAAAGCUUCUGAACAAUGCUGGAAACGAUGUCGUUUGCUGGUAAAGGUGUUUGAAUUCACCUUUCAGCCAACAAUACUCCACCUUGAAUCAAACACCCUGCAACUGAUACAUUCACCAACUAAUUUAUAUAAGGUUUUGCAUAUCCCAACUAAGUCCAAACAUUUCUUGAACUUAGUUGCAGGAACCACUUUUGUGAGCAUGUCAGAAGGAUUGUCAUCAGUGUGUAUUUUAACCAUCCUGAUAACUCCCCUAGAGACUUCAUUUCUUAUGAAGUGAAGUUUGAUAUCAAUAUGUUUGGUCUUCUCAUGGUGAGCUAGAUUCUUACACAAAUGCAAUGCACUGGAGCUAUCACAGAAAAUUGGUACAGACUCUUGUUUUAAGCCGAGCUCAGUGAUUAAGCCCUUAAGCCAAAUGGCCUCCUUUGCAGCUUCAGUGGCAGCUGUAAAUUCUGCUUCUGUUGUGGAGAGUGCUACUACAUGCUGCAAGUUUGCCUUCCAAUUUAUCAGGCAACCAUUUAACAUAAACAAGUAUCCUGUGAGUGAUCUUCUCAUGUCCAGAUCUCCUGCAUAGUUAGAAUCUACAUAGCCCCACAACCCUUCUUCUGUUCCAGAGUUCUUUCCAUAUACCAGACCAACAUUUAAAGUACCCUUUAGAUACCUUAGUAUCCAUUUCACCCCUUUCCAAUGUUCUUUGCCUGGAUAUGCCAUGUAUCUGUUGACAACACUCACAAUAUGUGAGAUGUCAGGCCUAGUCAACACCAUGGCAUACAUAAGGCAUCCUACUACCUUUGCAUAUGGAAUAUUAGCCAUCUCAAGUCUUUCUUCUUUAGCCUUUGGACAAUAUAGAUUGCAAAGUUUGAAGUGUGCUGCUAAGGGGCCUUGUACAUGUUUAGAAUCCUCCAUAUCAAAAGUUUCAAGUAUUUUCUUCAAGUAUUUCUCUUGAGAUAGAAAUACCAGCCCUUCACUUCUGUUCCUUCUUAUAUUAACUCCCAAUAUCCUUUUAGCACUUCCUAAAUCCUUCAUGUCAAAAGUAGUGCCAAGUAAUGUCUUUAGAGCAUCUAUUUCAGACAUUUCUUCACAAGAAAUCAACAUAUCAUCUACAUAUAGCAGUAGAUAGAUAUGUUUGUUAUGAUUUAGCUGUUUAAAGUAGACACAUCAAUCAUAAUUGCACCUCUGAAAUCCAUGAGUGGUCAUAAACUCAUCAAAUUUGAGGUACCAUUGCUUGGGAGAUUGCUUCAGGCCAUAGAGGGAUUUCUUUAGCAGGCAUACAUAAUCUCUUCUAUCAGGAGCUUCAUAACCUUCUGGUUGACUCAUGAAAAUUUCUUCCUGAAGGUUUCCAUGCAAAAAAGUAGUUUUAACAUCAAGUUGUUCCAGCUCCAGAUUCUGUGUUGCUGUUAUGGCCAUCAGCACUCUUAUGGAAGCAUGCCUAACUACAGGGGAGAAAACUUCCUUAAAGUCAACACCCUCCAUCUGAGUGUACCCCUUUGCAACUAACCUAGCCUUAAACCUCUUUGGUUCAGCUGCAGUCAUACCCUCUUUGAUUUUGUAUAUCCACGUGCAACCAACAAUCCUCUUAUUCUUAGGUCUUCUAACCAGCUCCCAGGUACAAUUCUUGUACAGUGAGGUCAUUUCUUCAUCCAUAGACUUCUUCCAUUCAUUGGCAUACUGACAGUUAAUGGCCUCUUUGAAAUUAUGUGGUUCUUCAGCAUUUAUCUCAUGAGCAGAAUGUAAUGCAAAAGCAAUCAGAUCAGCAUAGCCAUACGUCUUAGGUGCUUUGCUUUGUCUCUUCUGUCUAUCUCUUGUCAACUGAUAAUCCAUUACUUGUGAUUGAGUUGAUCCAGCUUCUUGAAGUGACUCAUGUCUUCCAAUAUCAUCAGCACUUUCAGUUGAUUCUAUAUCAUCAUUCUGAUUCAGAUUGCUAGGUGAUUCCACCUCAAAAUGUUCAUCCUGAACUUGAUCAGCUCUCACACUGUUUCUUUGAAUACUAUCCACUGCUGCUUCUUCAUUGAACUUGAUAUCUUUGCUUACUAUGCACCUGAGUGGAGAGAGAUCAGUACACCAAAGCUUAUAACCCUUGGUUCCCUCUGGAUACCCAAUGAACACACAUUUCAGUGCUCUGGGUGCUAGUUUUCCUUGGCUUAUGUGAGCAUAAGCCAGACAACCAAACACUUUAAGGUCUUUAUAGCUGGAUUGUUUACCAUACCAGAGCUCAAAAAGUGUCUUGAAUUCAAUAGCAGUGGAAGGGCUCAAAUUUACCAGGUAGCAAGCUGUGUUGAGAAUCUGAGCCCACAAAUUCUUAGGUAGCUUAGCUUGAAUCAUCAUGCACCUCACCUUAUCCAUGAGAGUCCUAUUCAUCCUCUCGGCUAAGCCAUUCUGCUGAGGUGUCAUUGUAACAGUUUUAUGCCUUGUAAUACCUUCCUUUGCACAAAAUUCAUCAAACACCUAGUUGCAAAACUCCAAUCUAUUAUCAGUCCUUAACUUCUUCACUGUUUUUCCAGUCUGUUUUUCAACCAAGACCUUCCAGUUCUUGAAUUUUUCAAACACCUGUUCUUUACUCUUGAGCACAUAAAUCCAGACUCUUCUUGAAAAAUCAUCAAUUAUAGACAAAAAAUACCUAGCACCUCCCAGUGAUACUACUUGUGCAGGUCCCCACAAGUCUGAGUGUAUGCAAUCCAGCAUGCUUCUAGUAGUGUGAACUGAUGACUUAAAACUGGUUCUUGUAGAUUUCCCUAGGACACAAUAUUCACAAAACACCAUCUCACCAAUUGCAUCAUUACCUAACAGCCCCUGUUUAGACAACUCUUUAAGGCCUCUCAGACUCAUAUGUCCAAGUCUUAAGUGCCAUAGCCUAGUUUUUUCAACACUAGAGCUAGAUGACACUGACACUAUCCCUGUCAUAGUUGUCCCUUCUAACACAUAGAGACCAUUCUUCCUGAUUCCUUUCAACAGAACCAAUGGCCCUUUUACAACACUCAUUAUUCCCUGCUGGACUUUAACAACACAACCUAUCUGAUCCAACAUUCCCAGUGAGAUCAAAUUCCUUUUUAAAUCAGGUACAUGCCUCACUUGUUUGAGUUCAAGAAUUGAGUUAUCAUGCAAUUUCAGUUUAAUAACCCCAAUUCCUAUAACUCUACAGAUUGCAUUAUUCCCCAUCAUCACCCUACCACCAUCAUAUUCUUGAUACUCAGAGAAAUGAUGUUUAAAAGGGCACAUAUGAAAGGAACAUCCCGAAUCAAGCACCCACUUACCUUCCUGAUCAACAUCAGAGGCAAUUAGGACUCCAAUUGAUUCAUAACCUUCUUCUUCAACUAUUGCUGCAUCACUAUUUUGACUUUUUUGCUCUUUGUACUGUUUUUUCUUUCUUUCUAGACAAUCUCUCUUAAAGUGACCUUCCUUAUGGCACUGGAAGCACUUAAGAGUCUUGUUCUUGUCUUUGGCCUUCCCUUGCUUCUUUUUCUUUUUUGUUUUCUUGUAAUGCUGACCCUUUGCAGUUAACCCUUCCCCAGUUUCUUGAUCAAGAUUUUCUCUCUUUUCUUGCAACUCCCUUGUGUUUAGAGCUGGCUUAACCUCAUCUAAUGAGAGAGUUUGUCUCCCAUACAUAAGUGCAUCAACAAAAUUCUUGUAAGACUCUGGUAGAGAGCUAAUCAGUAGCAAAGCUUUUCCUUCAUCAUCUAAAGCUUCAUCAAUUGUUGCAUGCAAGUGUAUCACACACUUGAUUGAAUUCAUCAAUGCGCUUAUCCAGCGAUGAGCCUUCUGUCAUUUUUAGAGUGAACAUCCUUUUCUUCAUAUACAGGCUGUUAGCCAAGGAUUUUUUCAUGUACAGGCUUUCCAAUUUCUCCAUCAGACCAGUAACAGAUGUCUCCUUAGCAACUUCUCUGAUUACAGAAUCAGCAAGGCUAAGGAUUAUAGUACCUCUUGCCUUCUUGUCAAUUUCAGCCAUCUGCUCUGGGGUUUUUGAAGAUGAUACCCCCUUUCCUUCAAUCUUGGUUGAAGCUUCAAGUGCAUCACCAAGACCUUGAGUAACCAAGAGAGCCUCAAUUUUAACCUUCCACAUGUUGAAGUCGUUUCUACCAUUAAAUUUUUCCAAAUCGACCUUCUGAGUAGCCAUACCUGAAUCUUGGUUUAAGAACCAAGCUCUGAUAUUAAUUAUUGAAUCUAGUCCGUUAGCUUUACUACAAUGAAGAACUAGAUCCUCUCAAGAUUCUCAACCAAGAUUAAUCAAGAUGCAAUUUCAGCUUAGAUCAAAUUCAGAGAAUCAACUAAACCUAACAAGACUCGUAACAAAAGGGAUUAAUUACAAACACAGAAACCAAAACCAGCAAGAAAACCAAUCACACUAAAACAGAGCACAAGCUUUAACAUGGUUCAACCAUUAAUGGCUUACAUCCACGAGUGAAUUCCUCAGGCAGCUUUAUUGAAUGAUUUAAGAAGUUUGUUACAGAGAUUCUAAGAACAAGAACAAGUAAAACACUUCCUCUCAGAGUUCCCUCAAUCUCUAUCACACUCGAUGCCUCCAAUCCAGAAGGCUACAGCUUAUAUACCAAUCUUGUAACAACUUUAACAACCCAGAUCAUACAGCUCAUUGACACGUGUGAUAUGAGUCUGUUAUUAACGAACUCAGCUUUAGCGAAUGGUCACGUGAACAACUCGUGAUCUUACUUAACUCGAGUAUAUUCAAAACGAUCUCAUAUGUUGCCGUUUCGAAUUAAGUACUAGUUGUGCUUCUCACGUGAGCUACUUAAAGCUUUUGAAAAAUGCUGGAAACGCUGUCGUUUGCUGGUAAAGGUGUUUGAAUUCACCUUUCAGCCAACAUACAUGCUCUCAAAUGAUACAAUACUGAAAAAUAUAAAUGGUUACAAAAUAGAUUCAUUAUUAUUUUGGAGGUUUGAGUAAGUUGAAAAAUAUAAACGGUUACAAAAUAUAUUGAUUAUUAUUUUGGAGGUUUGAGUAAGUUGAAGCAUCUCGACUUAAGUGGUAAUUAACAAACUCAACCUCAACUGUAGUGUCUUAUCUUCUCCAUCUUCGUUAAGAGAAUUAUAUGGGAUUCAAAGGAAUUUUUUAUGUUCAAGGUAAUUAAGCCUAAUGUCACGGGAUGAGUGUUUUGCGCAACGAACCCGUGCGGUAUUUAGACAACCUUUGCCGAAUGUUGCUAAGUAAGCCUUGAGUUUAUCGACUAGCUAAGCCUAGAGGUUGAAAUACAAGUAUGCAACCCAAGAGGGGGGGUGAAUUGGGAUUCUAAAAAAUAUUUAAUUUAUUAAAGAAAAACUUAAUGCAAUUAUAAAUCAAAUUCAAAGCAAUAACAAUUAAGAUGAUCACAAUAUAAAAAGAUAAGGGAAGAGGGAUUCAAACACCGAGAUUUUUACGUGGUUCGGCCAACCUUGCCUACGUCCACGCCUCCAAGCUUUCCGGGCUUGAGGAUUCCACUAAGCAAGCCUCCAAGGCUUCAAAUGCUUACACUUGACUUCCAAGGUGUCAAUGGACCUUUACAACAAGAGAUUAUCCCCAAUCUCUUAACCCAAGUGUAUCCCAACACUUACAAUUACUCAAAGUAAAAGAUUACAAAUUGUUUUUCUCUCACACAAUAUUUAAGAUUACAAAUCAAUGCCCAAUUUGUGAAUAGAUGAAGAGAGAAUGUGUUUUAAGCUCUAUGAAGAUUGUAUUCUCAAAUAUUUGCUCAAUGGUCGUGUUGUGAUCAAUAUUUGUUUGGAUUUGAAUGAGCUUAUUUAUAGUUGCAGCUGAAAACUAGCCGUUAUUGACUUUCUGCACACUGUCGGAUCACCGUUAUCUAGAUGUCGGAUCGCCGUUUGACUGGUCAAUAUGACCGUUGGGCUGAUUUUUCAAAUUGUCGGAUCGCCGUUAUCUAGAUGUCGGAUUGCCGUUUAGGUCCAGAGGCUACUGGUUGAUAUCGGCGAGCCGUUUAUCACACAUGUCGGUUCGCCGUUAAAGUCCAGAGACUACCCUUCAGUUCUGUUUGAUAUCGGCGAGCCGUUUUAUCAACAUAUCGGAUCGCCGUUUAGGUCCAGAGGCUACUGGUUGAUAUCGGUGAGCCGUUUAUCACAAAUGUCGGUGUGCCGUUUUCGUCCAGAGGCUAAUCUCCAUUUCUGCUUGAAAUCGGCGAGCCGUUUACUACAGAUGUCGGAUCGCCGUUUUCCACAAAAACUGCUGCAGUGAACUAUUUUGCAAGAUGACUGUUUUGUCUCCAAAUUUUUAUAAAAAUACUUUAUGAAACUUGUCAAAAUAGAUGAAAAUUAUGUUGAGCUUUUAAAACGAUUAAUCAAUAUUAAUCAUGUUUGUUAUCAUCAAAAUUAAUAAGGAAUAAUUUAUGUCAACAAUCUCCCCCUUUUUGAUGAUGACAAACUUUUCAAGAAAAUAUUUGUGCAAUUUUGCUCCCCCUAAAUAUGUGCUCCCCCUAAGUGAAAUUUUGAAAGACUUGUUAACGCCCUUAAAAAAAUAUUCAACUGUUAAUCUCAAAAUUUUAAACACGACAGAUUGAUUUUUUUUUUUUUUUUAAAAAAAAUGUAUGCCAGUAAACUCAUGCAUGCCAAUACUAUUUUGCCAAAACCAAUUUCGCAGUUUGCCAAUUGCCAAUUUCUCUCCCCCUUCAUCAUCAAAAAGAAAGAGACGCGAUGAAUGACUUAUGUUUGGAGAAAUUUGGGCAGAGUGUCCCCUGAAAUAUGAGCAUUUCCUCAACAACACACAAAGUUUAAAAAGAGAAACACUUCCAUAUAAAUAUACCACCAUAUCAACCAACCUCCAUACCAACAAAUUCACACUUCCAGAAAGAGCAAUAUAAUCAAUAUAAUACCAAAAAAACAACUUGAGCAUAAAUCAAGAGCACAUAUACACAAAAUAUCAGAAGCAUAAACACAAAAUAAAUAACAUCAUAUGCAUAAGGCAAAUAACAUGAAAUGAGAAAUGUCUGUGCGAAUAUCAUAGGGACAGAGAAAACUAAGAUGGAGGCUGUGAAGACGAACUGCCGGGGUCAUAUCCAAGGUGGCCGAGAAUGCGACGCUGUCCUGCAAUUAACUCCAUCUGCUGAUCAGAAAUUUGCUCCCGAAAGGUUGCAAAAUCAGAUCGAAGCUGCUGCUGCUGCUGGGACAGGGCAUCUACUCGGUCGAGAAGCUGCUGGAAGCGAUCCUCAGGAACAGCUGAUGCCGCAGGAGGGACGGCAGUCUCGGUAGGCUCGUCAUCCUGAGAUGCAUCUGCUGCUGGUGAAACAGGAGCUGCUGGUGCUGCUGCUCGACGAGGAACACGCGGUCUAGCCCCAAGACGGAAGUCAGGCAGCUCAUCCUCGGAGUAGACAUCAUUCAGCAUGCGAUCAUCCUCGGGUGCAAUCAGUGUGGCUUCGUUUUUGGAGGAUGUGGUCUUUUCCCAUUUCCCACGCUUCUUAAAGAAACCAAUGGCAGAAAUAAUGUCUCGACCGAGUUUACGAGUCUCGAGAAAAACAGGCUCGACGAUAGGAACAUGAAAGUGGUUCAAGAUUUUAGUAAUGAUGCUGCCAUAAGGAAGGGAUCGGUUGGAGACUUUAGGAGUGGUCAGCAUAUGACACAUAAUGGUGUAGGAUAGGCUCACAUGGCGUCUACGGAUGAGAGAGUCUAAAAGACCAAUAUCAAGCCUAGUGACCUCAUCAGUGUGACCCUGCCUAGGAGUGACCAUGUGUUGGAGAAUAAUGUGAAGUAUUCGAAUCUGAAAAGGGAGGAGUUGAGACCUAAAGGACAAAGAGCAGAUGUCAUCGGAAAGAUCCCGACGACGACAAAUGUUCCGUACACCAUCCACAUGACGAAAAUUACUAAACUCUAGUUCUUUCCUAGAGGUGUACAGAUCUAAUCCUCCAUAAGCGAUUCCUAGAAUACUACAUAAUUCGGGUUCAUCAAGUUCAAUACGAAUACCUCCUACAAAUGUAUGAAGCUCGUCACGACUAGAAGAGGAGAAAUCGAUGUUUGAAUAAAAGACUCGAACAAGAUUUUCAUAAAUAGGUUCAUCAACACUUAAAGCUUGUUUCCAAUGACUAAGCAUUUGAGUAAUUGAGUGACCACAAACAGAAAUAUCCGAGAACUCCGAAGUGUUAAGAGAAAAAGAGGGAGUUACGGGUUUACCCAUGAACUUUUCACGGAAACGCUGAGCAGAGGUAGCAUCGGGAAAAUGAAGACUUUCGAAGUCUUGAGGAGGAGACCUGGGUGGACUGGAACGGCGUGAAGCAGUGUGCUUGGUUCGAACACGCCUUGGAGGUCGUUCCGCCAUGGAUGAGAAAAAUUGUGAAAAUGAAGUUUUAGAGAUGAGAUAGUGAUUGUGGGUGAAAAUGUGGUUGGAAAGACGAAGAAAUUUGGGUCAAAGUGAACGAAUGAGAGUCGGCUGGUUCUAGGGUUUCAAGAUGAGAUUUUUCAAAAUUUGAAGAAAGAGAAGGAUUUGAAUCGGUUAAAAGGUGUUAGAAAUGAUAGAAAUGGUUUGUAAUGCUUCAAUUUGGUGAAAAAUGACAAGAAAAGUGAUGGAUUUGAGAGGAGAGAACUGGUGCAGUCGCGGGUUGAGGUGAGAGAGAGAGAGAAAGAGAAGCCGAAAUGAGGAGGAAGGCGAAGGACUGUUCAAUUAACGCGUGAUAACGGCGAGCCGUUAUAAAGAAAACGGCGAGCCGACAGAUUCCAGAGAGUCCUCAAAACAAAUUCAUAAAAAAAACGGCGAGCCGUUUAUAUAAAUAACGGCGAGCCGAUAGGGUCCAGAGAGUCCACACAAGAAAAAUGUAACAGGACGGCGAGCCGAUAGACAUAUAUCGGCGAACCGAUAGCUUCCAGAAAGCGUUCCAUUGUUUCUGCCCAAAACGGUUAGCCGUUUAUUUAAAUAACGGCGAUCCGUUUUCUACAACCUAUGAUUUCGCACAUGUAUUUCGAUAUUUGGCUACUUAUUAAUACAUUUCAAGAUCAUUUUAUUGAUCCAAAAUGAUUUGAGUGCCAUUUCAAUGCAUAAUUCAUGAAUAUAUAUAUAUGUAUUGCAAUAAUUAAUUCAUACAUUUUCAAAUAUACAUACACAUUACAUGCAUAUUACGAUUGAGCAUUCCAUAGAAAUUAAAGCAUCAAGUCAUAGAUCAAUCAAUAAUAAUAGACUCAAUAGCAUGAAUGAAGAUGUUAAUGUGAAAAUUUCAUCAUCCCAAGUUCAUGCCGAAUUUUGGAGAAUUGUUCUUCGCAAAGAGGUUUUGUAAAAAUAUCGGCAAGUUGUUUUUCCGUAGAAAUAAACUCUAGUGCAAUGUCUCUCUUUUGAACAUGAUCUCUCAAGAAAUGAUGUCUUAUUUCUAUAUGCUUGGUUCGAGAGUGUUGAAUGGGAUUCUUUGAAAGAUUAAUAGCACUAGUAUUAUCACACUUAAUAGGAAUUUGUUCAAGAUUAAUGCCAUAAUCUCUAAGUGUUUGUUUCAUCCAAAGAGCUUGUGCACAACAACUUCCGGCAGCUAUAUAUUCAGCCUCGGUAGUUGAAAGUGCGACAGAAUUUUGUUUCUUGCUAAACCAUGAAACAAGAGAGUGUCCUAGAAUAUAGCAAGUUCCACUAGUGCUCUUCCUAUCCACUUUAUAACCAGCAAAAUCCGCAUCCGAAAAACAUGUUAAAUCUAUAUGAGUUCCCCUAGGAUACCAAAGGCCAAUAUCUAUGGUUCCACUCAAAUAACGGAAAAUUCUUUUAACAGCGAGCAAAUGAGAUUCCUUGGGACAUGACUGAAAUCUAGCACACAAACAUACACUAAACAUGAUAUCGGGUCUACUUGCAGUCAAAUAAAGUAGGGAUCCGAUCAUACCUCGAUACAUUUUGAUGUCCACUUCUUUACCUUUUUCAUCUUUGUCCAGCUUGGUUGUUGUGCUCAUUGGUGUAUUCUUGGUCUUUGAAUCAUCAAUGCCGAAUCGUUUGAGUAGAUCCUUUACGUACUUGGCUUGAUUUAUGAAAAUUCCUUCCUCGUUUUGUUUGAUUUGAAGUCCAAGGAAGUAUUUCAACUCUCCCAUCAUACUCAUCUCAAAUUCUUUGCUCAUACAUGAUGAAAAUUCUUUACACAACAACUCAUUAGUAGAACCAAAAAUAAUAUCAUCAACAUAAAUUUGAACAAUAAGUAUGUCUUGGUUCUUAUGCUUAACAAAUAGAGUAGUAUCCGCUUUACCCAUUGAAAAGUCAUUUUCCAACAGAAAAUUCUUAAGUCUAUCAUACCAUGCUCUAGGUGCUUGUUUUAAACCAUACAAAGCUUUAAACAACUUAUAAACAUGAUUUGGAAAUUUUUCAUUUUCAAAACCAGGGGGUUGUUUUACAUACACUUCUUCCAUAAUAUAUCCAUUUAGGAAAGCACUUUUCACAUCCAUUUGAAAUAAAAUAAAAUCUUUAUGACAUGCAUAUGCUAACAACAUUCUAAUGGAUUCUAACCUUGCUACAGGAGCAAAGGUUUCAUCGAAAUCAAUUCCUUCUUCUUGGUUGUAGCCUUGAGCCACUAAUCUAGCUUUAUUUCUUACAACCACACCGGAUUCAUCCAUCUUAUUCCUAAACACCCAUUUAGUACCUAUUAUAGAUUGAUGUUCAGGUUUAGGAACUAAUUUCCACACAUUGUUUCUUUCAAAUUGAUUUAACUCCUCUUGCAUUGCCAUAAUCCAAGAUUCAUCAUUUUCUGCAUCCUCAAAGGAUUUUGGUUCAAUUUGAGAGAUGAAUGCAUUAUGCUCACAAGUAUUUCUAAGUGAUGAUCUAGUUGUAAUACCUCGUGAGGGAUCUCCUAAAAUUACAUCUUUAGGGUGAGAAGAGACAUACCUCCACUCCUUGGGGAGUGUUUGAGAAGUACCUUCAUUUUGCUCCGCAUUUAGUUCUUCAUGAUGUUCCUCUUGAAUUUCAUGUGGUGCAUCCUCUUGUUUGUCAUUUGAUGCUUCUUCUUCUUGUUCUUCUUCUCCUGCAUCAUCAUCAACAACGACUUUCUCCGUAGAGGAGGGGUUAGACUCAUCAAAUGUCACAUGCAUAGAUUCUUCCACAACUAAGGUUCUUUUGUUAUAGACUCUAUAAGCUUUACUUGAAUUUGAAUAACCAAGAAAAAUACCAACAUCGGAUUUUGGAUCAAAUUUACCAAGAUUGUCUUUUGUGUUCAAAACAAAACAUUUGCAUCCAAAAACUUUAAAAUAUCCAAUGUUGGGUUUUCUAUCUUUCCAAAGCUCAUAAGGAGUUUUGUUAAGAUUAGGUCUAAUCAACACCCGAUUUAAAACAUAACAAGCGGUGUUGACGGCUUCGGCCCAAAAAUAUUUUGGUAAUGCAUUUUCAUUUAACAUGGUUCUAGCCAUUUCUUGAAUAGACCUAUUCUUUCUCUCAACAACUCCAUUUUGUUGUGGAGUUCUAGGUGAUGAAAAUUGAUGCUCAAUGCCUAGAUUAUUGCAAAAACACUCAAAUGCAUGAUUUUCAAAUUCUCCUCCAUGAUCACUCCUAAUGCAUACAAUACCAUGCCCUUUUUCAUUUUGUAAUUUCUUACAAAGCACUUUAAAAGCAUCAAGAGCAUCAUCCUUAUUGGCUAAGAAUAAUACCCAUGUAUAUCUAGAAUAAUCAUCCACUAUCACAAAUGCAUAAUAUUUGCCAUUUAGACUUGCAUAUCUAGAUGGCCCAAAAAGAUCUAUGUGAAGAAGUUCAAGUGGUUUUGAAGUAGAAAUAUGGUUUUUAUUCUUGAAAGAAGUUUUAAUUUGUUUUCCAAAUUGACAAGCUUCACAAAUCUUAUCCUUUUGAAAACCAAUUUUCGGAAGACCUUUAACUAAAUUAUCUUUCGAAAUUUUUGAAAUCAAAUCCAUACUUGCAUGUCCUAACCUUCUAUGCCAUAACCAACAAUCAUUAUGCAAUGCCGAAAAACAUUUAUCAAGAGUAGAUGCACAUUCUAUGUCAAUGAUAUAAACAUUACCACAUCUAUUUCCAACAAAUAAGGUUUUGCCAUCACAUGAGUUCUCAAUAACACAACUAAAUUUAUCAAAGAUAACUUUAUAACCUUUGUCACAUAAUUGACUAAUGCUAAUUAAGUUGUGUUUCAAGUUUUCAACCAAACAUACAUUCUCAAUUAGAGUUGAAGAAACUUUACCAACAUUUCCAAUUCCAAGGAUUUUUCCUUUUGAGUUGUCUCCAAAGGAUACGUCUCCACCAUUUUCAAUUUUGGUAAAGCUUGAGAACCAUGCAUAGUUUCCGGUCAUGUGCCUUGAACAACCGCUGUCCAAGUACCAUUUAUUCUUCUUCUUCUUCAAGCCCUACAAGAAAAAAUCUCAAGUUUUAGGUACCCAAAGCUUUUUGGGUCCUUGAGAGUUAGCAACGGUUCCUUUUGGAACCCAAAUGCACUUGACACCAUAAUAUGCAUUCCUUUUCACGGGACAUCUAAAUUUCAUGUGACCAUUUUGAUUACAAUAAUGACAUACAAUCUUAUGAUCAUUUGUGGAGGUAGCUUUAACAAAAUAAUUCUUAUAAUACUUUUGCUUCAAGUUUGGCUUAUAUCCAAGUCCUCCUUUAUCAAAAACACAUUUUUGUGAGUUAAGCAUAUUAUCCAACAUCUUUUGCCCAUUUGUAAAUUUCAAAACAAUUUCAUUUAAUUCAUUAUUCUUUUUCUUGAGCAAUUCGUUCUCAUUUUUCAACUCAUCUAUGUGUGAUUUCAAAUGCUCAUGUAAGAUGCUAGGUUUCUCAUUUGAUAAUGCAAUUUCAUCAUGCAAUGUUUUGUUUCCUACUUCUAGGCAUACAAUUCUUGCAUUUAGAGAUUCAUUUUCAUUUUUAAGCUUUGCCAUUUCCUUUUUAAGACAUACAUUCUUUUUACCAAUUUUCAUCAACUCAUUAUGCAAAUCUUGAAAAGCAUCAUAUAAUUCAUCAUAGGUAGGAUCACUUACCUCAUUUAGAUCAUCAUCCCCUCCUAUUGCCAUGAGUGCUAGGUUUGAUACUUCUUGCGAUCCUUCUUCAUCAUUUGAUUCUUCCUCACUAUCAUCCCAAGUUGCAACCAUUGCUUUCUUCUUGAGUUUGUUGAUAAGUGGGCACUCCGAUCUUAUAUGUCCAGGCUUCUUGCAUUCAUAGCAAGUGAUUGCCUCCUUCUUCUCUCUAUAGUUCUUGAAGUUUCUGAAAUUUCUUCGCUCUCCGGUUUUCUUGAAGAAUUUUCUGAACCUCCUUGCUAGCAUGGCUAGUUCUUCAUCAUCCGGUUCACUCUCCUCAUCACUCUCAUAUUUUGAAGCUUUGAGAGCAAUGCUUUUCUUCUUCUCCUCAUGUCCUUUUUCUGCAGCUAAAUCCUUUUCAUACGAAAUAAGAGAACCAAUUAAAUCAUCAAGAGGUAAAAUAUUUAAAUCUUUGGCCUCUUCAAUAGCGGUUCUUUUAGGUCUCCAUUCUUUUGGAAGUGACCUAAUGAUUUUCUUAACUUUCUCACUAUUUGAGAAGGUUUUCCCUAAGGCACCUAGGGUGUUCACUAUGUCCGUGAAUCUAGUGUACAUAGAAUACACAUUUUCAUUCUGUUCCAUUUGGAACAACUCAUAUUGGCGAGUGUAUCUACUGAUUUUAGACUCUUUCACUUGAUUUGUCCCUUCAUAGACAACUUCAAGUUUGUUCCAUAUCUCUUGUGCACUUUCACAACUAGAUACUCUAUGGAAUUCUUUCUUAUCAAUGGCACAAAACAAAGCAUUCAUAGCCUUGGAGUUUAGAGACAUCUUUCUCUUUUCUAACUCACUCCAUUGACUCGAUGGUUUAGGAAUAUCAUCUCCUACUUCAUCUUUGAACGUAGGCAUGAAUGGACCAUCACAAACAACUUCCCAAAUUUCAUAAUCUAAGGCUUGCAAAUAGAUUCUCAUUCUAGUUUUCCAAUAAGCAUAAUCAUUACCAUCAAAAAAAGGUGGUCUAGUUGUGGAUUGCCCUUCUCUAAAGGUUGAGUCAUUUAGGGUUGCCAUGGAUCUUUUACUCUAGACGAUUAAGUCUUAACAAGAGAACAAGGCUCUGAUACCAAUUGAAAUACAAGUAUGCAACCCAAGAGGGGGGGUGAAUUGAGAUUCUAAAAAAUAUUUAAUUUAUUAAAGAAAAACUUAAUGCAAUUAUAAAUCAAAUUCAAAGCAAUAACAAUUAAGAUGAUCACAAUAUAAAAAGAUAAGGGAAGAGGGAUUCAAACACCGAGAUUUUUACGUGGUUCGGCCAACCUUGCCUACGUCCACGCCUCCAAGCUUUCCGGGCUUGAGGAUUCCACUAAGCAAGCCUCCAAGGCUUCAAAUGCUUACACUUGACUUCCAAGGUGUCAAUGGACCUUUACAACAAGAGAUUAUCCCCAAUCUCUUAACCCAAGUGUAUCCCAACACUUACAAUUACUCAAAGUAAAAGAUUACAAAUUGUUUUUCUCUCACACAAUAUUUAAGAUUACAAAUCAAUGCCCAAUUUGUGAAUAGAUGAAGAGAGAAUGUGUUUUAAGCUCUAUGAAGAUUGUAUUCUCAAAUAUUUGCUCAAUGGUCGUGUUGUGAUCAAUAUUUGUUUGGAUUUGAAUGAGCUUAUUUAUAGUUGCAGCUGAAAACUAGCCGUUAUUGACUUUCUGCACACUGUCGGAUCACCGUUAUCUAGAUGUCGGAUCGCCGUUUGACUGGUCAAUAUGACCGUUGGGCUGAUUUUUCAAAUUGUCGGAUCGCCGUUAUCUAGAUGUCGGAUUGCCGUUUAGGUCCAGAGGCUACUGGUUGAUAUCGGCGAGCCGUUUAUCACACAUGUCGGUUCACCGUUAAAGUCCAGAGACUACCCUUCAGUUCUGUUUGAUAUCGGCGAGCCGUUUUAUCAACAUAUCGGAUCGCCGUUUAGGUCCAGAGGCUACUGGUUGAUAUCGGUGAGCCGUUUAUCACAAAUGUCGGUGUGCCGUUUUCGUCCAGAGGCUAAUCUCCAUUUCUGCUUGAAAUCGGCGAGCCGUUUACUACAGAUGUCGGAUCGCCGUUUUCCACAAAAACUGCUGCAGUGAACUAUUUUGCAAGAUGACUGUUUUGUCUCCAAAUUUUUAUAAAAAUACUUUAUGAAACUUGUCAAAAUAGAUGAAAAUUAUGUUGAGCUUUUAAAACGAUUAAUCAAUAUUAAUCAUGUUUGUUAUCAUCAAAAUUAAUAAGGAAUAAUUUAUGUCAACAGAGGUUUCCGAAGAGUUAGAGAGAAAAGAGCAAUAAAGCCAAAUGAGAGAAAUUGUAUUACUCGCAAAGAGAUUACAAGAGAGCUUACAAGCGUGUUUGAGUUGCUUGCUCAAAGCUUGAUGCUCAAAUGCUAAAUGUCAUGCCAUAUUUAUAGGGGAGGCUUGCCAAGCUCAAAAGCUCUACCACUUGCCUAGAAUUCUAGAUAUUUACAUGUGCUAGAAAUGUGUAGAGAAUUCUAAAUAUGUACAAGCUUGAGUGUGCUAGAGUUGCCUAGAAAUUUCCAGAAUCGGCCCAAGCUAGCACUCUUAGCCUUGUCUUGAGCUCUCUAACCCGAAUUUGUGGACAAUUGGGCUAGUAACUUGGGCGGUCCGCAGCACUAAGCAUGCUUCUCAUUUUAUCUACUACCUAAAUUUAUAGAUCUUCAACAAUAUUUAAUAUUUUGAUUAGCUCAGAGGAAUCAAAUUCUAACAGGCUUUAUUAAUCAACCUUUCAUUUACUCUAUCAAUUAAUUAAUUCAUACCUAUAGUACUUUUUUUUUUUAAGUUAUAGCCUAAUUGCAACCUAAAUUUUAUUAAAUUAAAUAUGUAAGUAGAAACAUAAUAUUGAUAGCCUAAAUUUUAUAAUAAUUAGAAACAUAAUACUAAAAUAAAAAUACAAAAUUUAAAUUAUUUUCAAUAUUGUAAAAUAUUUUUUAUUAUUAUUAAUACAUGAGAUCAAAUCUAUUUAACCCAAAGAUUUAUCUAAAAUUUGUAUAAUAAAUUUAAAUAUAUUAUUAAAAUAAAUAUAAUAAUUUAAAUGUUAAGACUUAUUUUAUAUAUAAUUUUUUUAAUAUUAUUAGUGUAUUAGAUAAAUUAAACUAUUUAAAUCAUAUUUGUAUUUAUUAAAAACUUUUAAAGUCAAACUUUUUAGUUACUAUUUACCACGAGUAUUAUAGUUAAAAGAGGUCUUGGUGUCUCCUGACACGACUUAAAAUGUGUUUGAUUUUCUCCCAAGUAUAAGAGUGCCUAGUUAUAAUUUAUCUCGGUGAGUCCGAUGUCGAUAUACAGAGAAAAUAUUUAAUUUGUUUACUUAAGUUUAUCCAAAUAAAAAUAAAAUUUAUAAAUAUGUAAUUUAUUUAAGAAAAAAUAUAAAAUUGAAUUAGUUAUGGUUAUGGAUCUACUCUUAGUAACAAAUACAAUUUAACAAAUUCUUUUUAUUUUUAUUUUUAUUUUAUUUCUCAAAAGAUUAAUUGUAUAAAUUAAAAUUAUUUUCCAUUUAUUUUAUUGUGCAUUAAGAAUUUAAUGUGCCAAAACUUAAUUUGUCUACACUAAAUCAAAAUUCCAUUUUUCCAUAUUUUAUACUAAGAUAUUAAGAAUUCAUUGUGUCAAAUUCCUAUUUUUGUCUACAAUAAAUCAAAAUUUCAAAAUAUAAAAUAUGAAUAAAAUUAAAUAGAAAACAAUUUAAUUUAUAAAAUUAAAAAUAGAAUUUGAUUAAACCAUAUUUUUACUAAGAGUUUCACCUUCCCCUAACUACUAAUAUUUAGCUAAACAUUUUUAAAAUAAAAGGAAUUUUCUUUAAAAACAAAAAAAGACAUAAUUAAAAAAUGCUUGAAAAUUGAAAAUAAAACUAAUUUUAUUUAUUGAAAAUAUAAUACAAAGAGAGAUGAAAAGAAGAAUUUGGGGGAAAAGAAGAGAAGAGAAGGUGUGGAGAGGUGUGUUCACCCCCCCUCGAUUUAUACUAACACAUGGUAAAUCCUAACCACACAAAUAAAAAAAUCUUAUUACAUCUUAAUCUUACAUUUGUCCCACAAAUAAUCCCACUAAUAAAACAUAAACCUAACUUAUCCACUCAAACAUAUCCAACACAUUCCACUAACAAUUACCAUACCUAACAUGAUAAAAACUUAUAAUUUUAUAAUUACCACAUUUACCGUGGUAAAAACGUAAAUAUUUACAACAAAAGUCUUGGAUCCUCAUCGACAAUGACAUAAUUUCUUGGACUUCCACAAUCCAAAUUUGACAUCCAUACAUUUGUUCGAAGCCUCAAAUUGCAUGAAAUUAUUAUUUUUACCUAAUAAACACACAAAAAUACACAAAAUCAAAUAUUUAAAAAAUAAUUAGAAAUUCACAGUAUGUUACACAAUUACAAAUAUAAAUUACAUUAAUAAAACAAAAUAAUAUUUUUAUCCCUUAAUAAACAUACAAUUUUGAACACUAAUCAUCUCCUAUUGAAAACUUUGGUUCUAUAUGAUUAUCUCCCCUAACUUUGGGGGUGUGGCUGUUUUUUUUCCUUCAUUUUAUUAAUAAGUUUAAUUAAUAAAGAGUAAUGGUAGAAAUCCCAAAUUUUUUAAUCCCAAAUGAUGGGCAUUCAUUCACUGGUUGAUAAUUCUUUACAAAUCCAAGUGAAUUAAUUGUAUUAUCUCACCAACCAAUUGAUAAAUGUCAAUAAUUUGAAAUAGUUAUUUAGGAUAAAAAAUUUGAGGUGUAUAACACUACUCAUUAAUAAAAGAAUGAGGGAAGGUUUGUCCAAGUCAUGCAUUAUUUGAUUAUCAUCAAUCAAGAAAGUGAUCAAAUUAAUUUCUCUCCAUGAUUUCCAAAAGCUAGAAAAUUUUGUUACUUGAAAUUGGAAAAUAACACCAUUAAUUAUAGAAUGGAUCAAAAUCGCAUUAUUAUCUUUCAUGAAAUUGAUGUAUAUCAAGAGUCAUAUUCUUUACUUUUGACAAUUCAGUCAACACCAAAUUGAACUUUCUUAUUUUUACUAUUGUUAUGUUAACUUUUUCGAUCCCCGAUUAUUUAUUCAUGAUUAUUACAUCAUUAAUUAGAGUUUAUCAAACCGCAUUUUUUUCCUUCAUGGAAUUGAUGCAUGUUAGGUCAAUGUUUGGGAUGCCACAUUGCGUAGGACAAUUGGUCGCCCUCGUAUUGAUUGAAAAGAAUCUCAUGUUUGGCAAUUCAAAUGGUGCGCAGCACACCAGACUUAAUGCUGCAUUUGCCUCAAUAUUGAAACCCAUCAACCCCCUCGGAAUUAAGGUGUGCAACAUUCAUUUUUAAGAAUAAAAUCUUAAGGUUUUCAGAAAUGGUUAUAUAAAUCCUCAUAUCCUCAAUAAGGGACUCUAAAAUCCCUUGCUGACUAAAAUACCAUUUGGUUCUAUCAAUUUAAAAAAUUUGACUCCAAUAUUUUAUAAUAAAUAAAAAAAUAACAUUAAAAAAAUAAUUUAUAUUUUAAAAAUAUUGUAUAUAUUACAAUGAAUAUAAUAUUAUUAUUCUACUAGACAAAUUAAACUAUCUAGAUUAUAUUUAUAUUCAUUAAAAAAAUUUAAAAUCAAUUUUUUUAGUUACCAUCUACUAAAGAUAUUAUAGUUAAAAAGGGGUCUUAAUGUUUCUUAAAAAUUUAGGCGUCUACAUAACCAUUUCCGUUGAUCAAAUCAAAGCUUCCGUCCUCGUAGAUCUAUGGUCAAAAUUUGGAACCCCAAAAAUUUGACCAUAUAUUUACAGCUAAUGAAAGCUCCUUUUUUGGUGAUACAUGUAUCGUUGCAUAGAUUUGGUGAUAAUAAUUCCAAUGGUGAAAAAAUGAUACCAAUAGAUGCCAAAAUGUGAUUGGAGCGGGCGGCUUGUGGUGGCCAACGGUGGAUAAUUAUAAAAUCUAAAUAAUAGAUUUAAGAAAAUAAGACCAAAAACAUUUAAGAUAUUAAUAAUUAUUAAAAAUUAAUUUAAUAUAAAUAAUAAUUUAAAAAAUAUUAUUAUAUAUAAUGCUGUACAAUGUAACACCAAACAUUGAAUAUUAUUAAAGUAAUACAAUAUUAAUACAAUAAAGCUUACUGCAAUACAUUUUGCAUUAAAAAAUAUAAUAUAGUGUGCCAAACACACCCUUAGUGUCACACUUUUAAACAACCUCGGGCUGCUCUUUUUUUUUUUUUUUUUUUGACUUAAUGAUUUCGUCAUUAACUUAAUUCGAUCAGUUAAACUAUUAAGUCCGUUUGUUUUUUCAACAUAAUGAAAAUUUUCAGUCAUUAAGUUAUUAUAUUAUUAAUCAAACUCUUUUAGCUUUUUGCUUAAUUUAAAAAAUUUUUAAUGAUACCAUUAAAGAAUAUUCUCUAGAUACCCUAUGUAAUUAAUUAAUUUUCAUCCUUACCUAAGUAAAAUUUAAUACUUUUCAUUAUUACCAUCUUUAUAACUUGUGACAAUAUGGCGAUAGACUAUUAUUAUUUUUAUUUUGUACUUUUUUCAAAUUAGCAUUAUUUAUCUUCAUAAUUUUUUAUGAAUAUUUUUUGUAAAAAAAAAUCAUGAACUACAAUAAAAUUGAUUAACAUAUACAAAUUUAGAAUUUAAAAUAUCUUAUUCAAUUGAACAUGAUUUAUGUUAUGAUAAUAUAUAAUCUUACCUAAGUUCUUUGAAUAUUUAUUAUUUAUUUAACAUUCAUAAUUUUUAAGGGGACAAUGUAAAAAUAUUAAUUUUCAUAAUUUUUUAAAUUUAAAAAAUACAACUUAAUAUUUGUAUUCAGUAAUUCAACAAAAAGUAAUAUAAAUAUAUUAUUCAGAUUCAGACAUUCAGUUCAAUUCAAAAUUCUGGCUAAUUAAGGUCUAUUCAAAAUUUUUGACAAAAAAAAAAAGGACACCCUAAUUGACAUGAACUUUUUUUUUAUUUUAAAAAUUAAAAAGAUCUUUGGAUUUCAACCCAUUUGUUUGGCCUUAAAAGAGCCAGUAUUCUUACCAUUUGAAUUAGCCUUCGCCUCAACUUCAACCUUAUUCUUUCCAUGCAACCUUGGUCGAUAUCAACUUGAAUUUUGCUAGCUAUGUUAAUUAUUUCAAUCCCCCACAUUAUGCAGUCUUUGUACUGUAAACUUAAUUUCACACCUAAAUAAGUUGAUGAUCAUUACUCAACCAUUAAUAUUUCAAAAAGUCAUUUCACCAUCCAUGCUAUUAGUUUUUCCCUUAAAUUUAACUAUUGACUAUUUUACCAUCUUAAAGUAUAUAAUUAUGCCUUUAAUUAUGUGAUACAAUUAUGAGAAUAUUCAUUUUAGCUUAAAAUAACUAGAAUAUCCAAAAAAAUAACUUAAAUUAAUAAAAUAAAACUAUCAGCUCCUUAAAGGAUUCAACAUAUAUAAUACUAUAGCUAUUAAUAAAUUUUUAUUAUUCAAUAUAUAUGCUAAAAUAUUUUAUACAUUUAUAACUGUUAUAUAGCUCAAGGAUGAAUGAUUCUUCAGGUCUAUAGAGUUGGUGCAUCUGCAAGACUUAUUUUUAUUGACCAUGAUGAUCUAAGGAUCUAAGGGGUAAUUUACCUUUGUGCUUGGCAAAAAUAACCUCCCUUCAAGGUUUGGGCGUCACUUUCAAUUAACUUAUAUAGAUAUCUCCUCAUCUCCCCUCAUAUCUAUAAUGAUCCUUGAAGAUCUCACAUUUUCAAACAAUCGCUUCCAAAUUUCAACAUCAUUUGGGCCAUUCUUAAAGUAAAUAGUUAAAUUCAUAAAUUGUUAACUAAUUCCACUCUCCAUGCAUAAAGUCUUCUUAAAAGAUAAUUUUAUUAGUUGUUUGCUUUUAAGUUAAUUCAUAUUUUAAACAAAAACGUUUAAGUUGUAUAUAUCAUAGUGAGAGUUUCUUCAUAACAACUCCCUUGUUCUAACAUACACAAAAAAAUGGUAAUUUUAAAGAUAAAAUAAACAGGUGUUGAUUAUAUAUCUUGAUUUUCAUUGAUUAUGUGAUCAAAGUGACAAUUUUGAUUAAUUUCUUUUUCAACGUUAAUUUUUAGGUUAUCUUAGUUUCAAGGAUUUAGAAUAUUUGGUCAUGAAUUACACGCUUGUUAAUUUUUUCAGCCAUUAAUUGUCAUAUUCUAGACUUAACGGUAUUUUUCUUAGUUAGAAUAAUCAUUCUCUUCACCUCUUAUAAAGAUCAUAAUAAUUAAUUUAUUGCUACAGUUAAUAGUCUUUAAAAAUGGAUAGAUUUAUUGUUUUGAUGACUAAAUAAUGCCUGUUAAGGCUGCGACUGUGAACAAAAUUGGUAUUUAAUGUAAUAUGUUAAUAGAUUUAAGAUUUUAUAGAUUACCAAUUGUUAUAAGUUAAAGGAUGAAUUAUUUUUCAGGCCAAUGAGUUAUUGCAUCUGCAAGAAUUUUUUUUUAAAUUCUUAUAUUGACCAUAAUUAUCUUAAGGGUAUUAUAAUAUGCUUUAGUGCUUAGCAAAAUGUGGCAUCUCCCUUUAAGUUUGAUACGUCUCUUUCCAUCAAUUUACUGGUAAUAUCUCCUCAUCUACCCUCUUUUAUCUUACAUCAAUUGAAGAUCUCACAUUUUCAAACUAUCAUUUCCAAGUCUCAAUAUAACUUGAGCCAUUCAAAACUAAUCAAGUGUGGAAAUAACCAAAUAUACGUAUUAAAAUUCUCUUGCCUCCAAAAUUCUAAUUAUAUAACUUCUACAUAUCUCAUUCCUGGUCACAAGAUGUUGGCAUAUUUUCCAAAUUCCCCUUCCAUCAACAUCACUAGGAGUAUGUUAAUCUCUAACACAUUAACUUGAGUGGAGAGUUUCCAACUUGAUUGCCAGAAAGCAAUACAAAGCUAGACACACUUGAUAAUUCUCUUUUGGUAAAAUUUAAUUAAGUUUAGGGGAAUGUUCGGCCAACCUAUAGAAUUUCAAAUUGAGCAUUAGCCUAUACAAAUUGAUAAAAAGUGAUUAGAUGUUAAUUUGCUAACGAUACAUGUUCAUGACUUGAAAUUAGAUCUCUAUCGAUUCGUAUACAAAUGGACGUACUUGUGGUGAUAAUUGAACCAAAAGAUAUGAAGCUCUAAAGAUUUGGCAACUGUAAAUUGAUGAAGUGGGUUUCAAUUAGCUUUAUUUUUUCAAGGGAAAUUAUAAGUCAUAUACCCUUAAAUGACACCAGUAUCAAACGUGCUAUAACACUUUUUAAGUAUAUCACUCAUAUACCCUAAGUUGACAACACUUAUGCCGUCCAUCAAUCCGUUAACUGUCGUUUGCAAGCGCUAACAUCAUAAGGGUAAUCUAGUCUUUUUUAAAAAGACAUGUCAUCCCAUUUACCUACUAAAAAAUGACAUGUCAUAUGAUAUAUAUUGAUAAAAGUGACAUGUCAUCUCAUUUAUCGGAUAAUUGUUAAUAAUUGCUAAAAAAAAAGCUACUUUACAACUGAAUCUACUCCUCCAAAAUUUAACCUAAAUUUUUGAAGAUCUACUCCUUCAAGCUCCAACUGAAAUUUUUUAUGGUAUAAUAUGUAUAAUUGUAAAUAAUAUGUUGUUAAUAAUUUUUUAUGGUAUAAUAUGGAUAUCUUUUACGGAUAAUUGUUAAUAAUAUGUACCAUUAAUAAUUCAUAUUUUUUAAUAAAAAAUGUAUUGUUAAUAACAAAAUAAAAAAAAUUGUGUAUUGAAAAUUUACGUUAAUUUUUUGGGUAAAUUUAUAUUUUUACCUCAUUUUUAGUUUCAAGGGCAAAAUAAUCAAUUUGUCAUAAUUCUGUUAAAUUUCUAACAGAAGUUAACGGAUUGGUGGACGGCAGAAGUGUUUUCUCAACUUAGGGUAUACAAGUAAUAUACUUGAAAAGUAUUGUAGCACGUUUGAUAUUAGUGUCAUUUAAGAGUAUAUGGCUGAUAAUUUCUCUUUUUUCAAUUAGCAUCUGAUUGGGCCAUUUUCGGUGUAAUUUCAUGCUGUGUAAGCCACAACAAAAAAUCAAACAGCCCCUUCACAUGUUUCUUCCAUUUUAUCUGCAAUUUUUGUGGAUCUUAUAGGCAUGGGUAGAAUUUAAUGUUUUUAAUAUAGUCUCAAAGAAUAAGAUAUUGGCUCCAAUAGAUUAAAGAAACUUUUAUUUACUCUAUCAAUUAAUUAAUGCCAUUUGGUUUUGAAAACACUAUAAUUGAAUUCUCAUGUUUAAUUUGUUUCAAGUUAAAAUAUUAAUUAAUUAAACUCUCUUUUAGUUCUUGAGGUAUUGGCACAUUGCAUUCAGAAUUGGAUUCCUUUAGCAACUUGUGAUGCCUCAACGUAAUUGUAAUAUUGAAGAAAAACAAAUUUUUUUAUUGAGAGUUUAAAUCUAAACUCAGACAAUGAAUUUGGACGUUCUUCAAUCCUAUCCUAAUUGUUAAACAUAUUACCUUGGUUCUAAUUCUUUUGCAAUGCAAAAUAAAUAGUCAAAUUCAUAAAUUUUUAACUACUUUUAAAUUCGUAAAUUGUUAACUAAUUUCCUGAGAUAUAUAGCUAAGAUUGUUGCUCCUAAUUAAAUAAUUAAAGUUACACAAUUUUAACAACUUGAAAGAAUUGACAAUAAUGGACGGGUCCCCUCUCCAUAUAUAUAGCCUUCUGCCUAAAUAGAUAAUUUUACUAGUUAUUUGCUUUUAAGUUAAUUUUCAUUUUAAACAAAAAUGUUUAAGUUGUAUGUAUUAUAGUGAGAGUUUUUACAGAGCAAUUCUCUUCUUCAAAUAAUAAAGGAAAAGAAGUAAUUUAAAAGUAAAAUAAACAAAUGGUAAUUAUAUGUCCUGAUUUUCAUCGAUAAUGUGAUCAAAGCCAGAAUUUUGAUUUCUUCUUGUUCAAUGUUAAUUUUUAGAUAAUAUUAAUUUUAAGGACUUAAUAUAUUUGGUCUUAUUCUAGACUUGAUGGUACCUUUUUUUUAAUUAGAGGUAAUGGGUACUUUUUCUCCUAUUAUAAGAAUUACAUUAAUUGUUUUAUAUAUUGUUACAGUUAGUGAUCUUUAAAAAAGGAUAGAUUUCUUGUUUUCAUGACCAAAUUAUGCCCGCCUAACGUUGCGACUAUCAAUAAACUUAUUAUUUAAUGUAUAUGUUAAAAGAUUUAAGAUUUUAUCUAUUUAUUAAUUUUUUGUUAUAAGCUAAAGGUUGAACUACUUUUUCAGGUCAAUGUGAGUUGGUGCAUCCGCAAGAGUUCUCUCUUUUUUUCUUUUUCUUUUUUGGGUUAAUCGACCGUCCCACUGGCUAAUUUGAGGAUGGAGAGGAUGGAGGAGACUAAUAGUCAUUUACCAUGUUUCCAGAUGAUGAUGAUGGUAAUUGGAUCGAAUAUUUGUUUGAUAUUGAGGAAUUUGAAAAAACAACUCAGAGAGGAUACCCUUGGUUGCCAAAUGGAGAUGUUAUUUGUGGACGUAUACUAUACCUGCAAGGACUUGUCUACUGUUCUUUAGAUGUUUCUUUGAUCGCAACUUUCAACUUUGCCCUCAAACAAUGGAAAAUUCUUCCAUAUUCUCACAUCGGUUAUGAACAUUUCAUUUAUUCUGACUACCUAAUUGACUCAGGAUCAGGUCGUGACAGCAACAAUAGUUUAUUAAUAGGACAGUCUAGAGUACUAUUCCAGGACCCAUAUUCGUCAUAGGUGUGAUCUAUCAGAGAUGAAGUGGUGUAAAGUUGAUAAUAAUAGUGUUUCAUUAAAGGACAAAUCAUUGAUCUUGGGUCACCGUCAUUGUACAUCAUUACCACUUCAAGUGGAAGAUGAAGAUUAUGCAAGCGAUUCCAGGAAUGCACCCAUUGCUCUGACUGCUGGGAGGAAGAAUGCACCCAGAUAUCAGAAUUUUAUGGUGGCAGACUCGAGCAAUAUACCUGCGUUCAACCUCCUCUGCCAACGGAUUUCCGUUGACUUCCCCCAUGUAUUUUUGUACCUAUGUUUAAAAUGUUUGGUCUCAUGUUACUUCUUCUGCCAAUUCACAAUGCUUGUAAUCACAUACAAAACUUGGAGCAAUUGCCGCAGCAGCUAAGCAUUAACUAAGAUUACAAUUGCUGCAGCUACUGGUAAAGAAGAGUUCAUUAAUUGGAGCAAUCAAACUAACCACUUAUGUAAUUGAUUGUUGUGCUAACAGUUUUAUUAACUAAAUAGCAACAAAACACAAGAAAAAAAGAAGAUACACAUACUUGGCACGAGUUUAUUCAGAAGUGGAAUCACAUUUCGGUGAUGAGUUAGCUUCCGAUAUCUUGCUAGCUGGAGCUCUCUCCUGUCUUUCUCUGUAAGCUGAGGGAAACCAACCAACCUUGUCCUUGCAUUGUGAAUUCGGGGAGGAAUGACAUAUGGUAGUAAAUUCUGGGAGGAAUGACAUAUGGUGGUAAACUAGAUGUACUGAAGUAGGUUCAGGAAGGAAUAUCACUUGGAAAAAAAAAGGACCGGAAACUCGAUUCCAAUUCAUUUUUGUUUCAGAUUUUAAUUCCUCUUUCUCCAGAAAUAUUACUUGGCCAGUGUAACAUUACUUUCAAAAACGAUAUAUAAAAUUUCUGUUAUUACUUUAAAGAAAGAUCUAUAAAAUUUCUGUUAAACAUUACCGUGACUUUUAACUUCCUUUGUAUUAGCAUUUUUAAAUGCAAGAAUAAUGAUAAUACUGGAAAAAUCAAUAAAUAAAUAAAUACGAAUUUUCAUAAUUGGGCUAAACCAAAUAACAAAAAGACAGAUUAGGACAUCUCAUCUCUUCAAAGUUAGCUUAACUAGAACAACUCCAUCUCUUCCUUGAGAUUCUUAACAGCUUCACUAACUCCAUCCUGAAAGAAGCAUUAAGUUUGUGAAAUUUAUUUUCAGUAAUGGAGCUCACAGAACAAAUAGUAUACCCAAAAAUUUACAAGAUACAGGCUACAGUAAUUCCGACAGCAAUGGCUUCAACAAAUUCAUAAAAUAAAUAAAAACAAGAACUUGAACAAAAGAGAUACGGAAACUACUAUAAUUCAACUCAAACUCAGUAACUGACAUAUUUGAUAAGUGAAUAAGAUUCGAAUUCCUAGCAGCUAGUCGACAAUUAAAUCUAAUAAAAAGAUAAUUUAAUGGAAAGAAGAUCCAAUUUAAUGCAGAUAUGAGAUACGAAAAGAAUGAUACUUAAUGCGGCAACCAGCCAUAGCAUUGCUAAAGCUGGGAACAAGAAGUACUUUAAUAUGCAUUUACCUCAACAGAGAUUCUUUCAGCAAUCUCUUUUGCACAUUCUUUGACUCUGGGAGAUAGUGCAUACUGAAUGGCUUGUGAUAGUGCUUCUGCAGCUUCUUUGAUGCUAGUGUCAUCUGCAUUAUCUGGAACCAAGUGAUUUCUUUUUAGUGGUUCUGGAGCAACUCCAAGCCAAAACAUCCUCUCGGCCCAGUAGAACUGGUCCAGCAUGAAUGGACACAGUAUCUGACAUCCAAUAUCCAUAAAGGAGACGAAUAAAUGAGUCAAAAUUAUAGCAUACAAGUACUAUCACAAAAAUAAAACUAAAGAAAUAAAGGUAACACAAAUGAACUAAUAUUCUGGCAAAGACCAUUUAUACCAUGUUUUGACUCAACAAGCUCAAUGAAGUCCAGAAAGUUACAAUAAAUAUUCAUUUACCACCCUGCCUGUUCUAGAUGUAAUCACUGUUGGCGGGAUUGUCAUGGAAAGAAAUUAUAUAUACAUGCCCUUACUUGACAGCAAAAGUGAUGAAAGGAGAAAUUUACCCCUAAAUUCUUACUACAAAUACAUAGUAAAGCAAACAAGGCGUCAACAAUAGGUAACAUUAGGGAAAAGGAAUCUCUGUUGAAGACAAUAUUCAACAAACCACUCUUGAAAUUCAAUCAAAAAACUGACAUCAAACAGAAAGAGUGUCACCAGCAUAAGGGCAACAAAGAUGAUCGCACUUUAGCAUUUCAACCAAUACAGUAAAAUUAUGUAUGGAUACAACACAGUAUGUAUCUUAUUUCCAAAGUAAAUAAAUCAACAAUUAACAAGCUCAUUUCCUUCUCCCACAUAUCCGGAAAAAGUGAUAUUUUCAGAACUUUCUGGAGUAUAUUCAUUUAAAGUUACUCCUUCUGGAAAUUAGAUUUAAAAGGGGAAAAAAAGGAGAAAAAUGGGUUUGCAGUUAAUUAUAUUGGCAGAAGAAUUCCUAUCACCAUCAAAAAUGCAUGAGCUUGUUGAGUUAUAUAGGUGUUUCAAUUACAAAGGUUAGGUAUGAAUGGCUGCCUUUGCACCCAAAGAUUUUUCAACAGUACUAAAAAUAUAUUAGAAGAAAAUUGUACAUAAAGCAACAAAGUGUUUAGAAAUCAACCUGAGGGAUUCCUGCAUGUAGUGCUGCUGCAGUAGAUCCACUGGUUUGAAAUUGAAGAAAGUAAUGCAAACAUGUAAAUUAGCUUUGUCGUAUUUUGCACUUCUAAUUUAUAUCAAAAGGAAUCACAAAAUAGAAAGCUCUCACCUUCCUCCAUGAUGAAUUGCAGCCAGACAUCUUGGAAACAAAUACUUGUACGGUACCAUUCUGGUUUACAUGAUAACAAUUCAAAAGAAAACAUCAAAUUCCAAGGACAAAACGAUCAGAAGGAAACUAAUUGACUAAAAUAAUCAUUUAGUAGUCAACCAAAAAGAAGCAGUUGUCCAACUCUCAGGACAUUAGUUAUUCUAGUUACGCAGUCAGAUUGCCCUUUUUUCAUUUCCAUUUCCAAGAAGCCAACCGUUUUAUAUAUUGUAUUAGUUGAUUUAUUUGAAGACACUAGUUCAUUUAAGAUUGCAUGCCUUACAAAGCUCCAUUUGGAGAAGUCCUAAUGGAAGUUUUAAAAAAAAUACUAAGGGCGCAUUGCUAUCGUAAUUUCACAAAGGGGGCACCAAGGUCCCAAGUUUCCACGAGUCUCAUACAUAGACAUCCACGUUUCCAAAACCAGUUCUAUAACAACAGAGUAGAAAAUGGGUUAAAUCAAAAGUAAUUGUUAAUUCACUUUUUGUGAGCUGAUCGCAAGAAAUGUUGCUUAAAUCAGCAAGGAAUGUCAUUGACACCAGAAAAGAUUUUGCUAUAAGUGAUAGCUUGCAAUCAUGUUUCAGAUAGCUAAAUCUUAUCUAACCAACACUAGGGCCUGCACAUUUAUGUCAUGAAAAGAAAAACUCACAAUGUAUAUCGUACAGCUCUAUUUUUGUUGCUUCACAAGUGAAUAAGUUUUCAUCUUUAUUCUUCAGUUAUCUUAGCUCAAAUUCAAUAAGAAUUUAAGAUAUACUGACCCAGAAAAGCAGAAGAGCUUGCCAUCAAAGAUAGAGAUCCCAUAUUGAGUGAUUACUCUUUGAGUUAAAACUGAAGAUGUUCCAGGAGCCAUCACUCGGAUAGCUGUGUCUAAAGGUUCGUAUCCAGCUGUGAAAAGGACAAAUCUAUAAGUUGUGGUGUGUAGAACAGUUUGUAAAACCCGAAGAAAUGCUUCAGGAUUCUUUAAAAAACCCAUGCUGCAAGAAGAAAAGAGAAAUGUGGCUUAGUACAGGAUAAGUAAUUAAAGUUCCAAGUCCAAGUGCACCAAUUAAGGAGAAAUCAUCCCACCACACAAAAGCAUGACACUUUUUAAUAGGCUAUACUUAGAGGAAUUACACUUUUAAUCCCAUAAUAAUAUCAAAUUGUCAGCUGAUAUAACAUGGUUUUCUAGUAAAAGAAUGAAGUAAAAGUAUCUUAAGGAACCAGAAGAAUAAAAAUUGAAAGGACUACAAAGGUACAGGGAAAGUAUACAAAGAUUUGAAAACAAUUAACUACAUACAAUCAGGAGAUCUAGGUGAGGAACCUGCCUUGCAACAGAGCUCAGUCCAACAAAAAUAGGUGGCGUUGAAUUAGCAGCGUCCAUAAAAGCUUGCAGCCCAAUGUGAGAUGCACACAAUCUAUUAUUUGCAUCCAACAAAAAUGCUGAAAGCUCUCCACACUGCUUACACGAGUACUGCCACGAAUUAGGGAGAAACCAAAAGCCACAAACCCGAACACUCGAUGGCCAGUAAUCUGUUGUUGUGCUAAUAUUAGCAAGGUGAUUAAAACAGGACAAAGGAAUCUUUACUAAAAUAGGAAUUGGUCAAUAUUAAGAAGAAUAUCUUUUGCAACAAAGGGAAAGGCAAUUUUUUGCUUUGAUAAGCAUGAACUAUUCAUUCAACAUUUUUUUAUUUUUUUUGGAGGGGAUCACAGUUGUUUGAAUAUUAAAUCUUUUUGAGUGCUAAGGUUUGUUUACAAAACUUAUUUUGGUCGUGCUCCUACUAGGGUCAUAGCUAGAAAAUCUUUUAGAGAGGACAAAAAUUUUGAAAGAUAUAACGAAAAAAAAAAUUAUUAUCAAUAAUAAAUAAACAUAUCACAAUAUUAAGAAAAUUAACUUUAAUUAGCCCAAUAAUGUAUUUACUUUUUCAUACAUAACUAACUAUCGUAAAAUCAUGUCGAUGUUUUAAAUUUCAACAAAAUAACAAAAUAUAUAACUUCAAAAAUACUAAUAACAUCAAAAAUAUGAUUAUUAUUUUAAGUUAGUACUAAAUAAACAAAAAUAAAGUAAUAAUAAGAAAAUUCGUGAUUAAACAAAAUGUAUUAUGUAUAUUCAGAAUCAAGAGAAAUUAGCUAACUCACAAAAAUUAGUUUAUACAAUUUUAAAUAUAAUGGAGAAGUUCAAAAGAGUGAUCAUAGAUCAUACUGAAAAUAAAGGGAAAAAAAAAGAGAAUAAAAGAACUGUAAUAAAUUUAAAAAUAAAAAACAAUGGAUCCGUGGUUCAUUUGGUUUAAUCACAAAACAGGAUAUGACAAUAAUAAGGGCAAGAGUGCGUAGUAAAAUGAGUUGUGAGAGAGUGGGGAAUGUUACUGAACUCAAUACAGAAUUUAGGGGGGGAAAAAAUCAUGGGAUAUGGAACCUGGCCUAUCUCACUUUACUCUGGAUCCCACACCUGCCAACUCAGGAGUUUUGCCAUUGCAGCAAAAAUUAGCACCUAAGCUUAUAUAUGCAUAUUUGUUUUGAGUGUCUCAGGCAUUUACUGCUAAUUUAGGAAUUUUGAGUAGGAUUCUUGAAAUUUUGCAGCUCACUCCUCCCUCUUGCAUAUUCACAAGAACUUAUAGUAGAAAUAAUCUAUAGAUCCGAACUAGCUUGAAAACCCUUCAAAAUUCUUAACUAUAUUUCCAAUUAACACCUAGUUCAAAGAUCCCAAAUGACAUACCGGGGCAUUCAACAAUUUCUUUGCUAAAUCCAUACCUGUACACAGAUGUAACGAAUGAUAUAAAUAGAUUAGUGCAUAUUUUUCUUAUUUUUACAGGAGGAUAACAUAAUUAAGUGUCAAGGAUGCACUUCAAACUAAAUUAUUAAUGAAGGAUUACAUGCAAUCAUUCUGGCAUACUUAGGCAGACAUGGACACAGCACCUACUUAUGAUAUGGUUCAUAUUUAUGCAAAUAGCUCAUCUUAAAUAAAAAUUUUAAAGAUCUUAGAAUAAUCCAAAAGGCUCCAACUAAAUAGUUGUGUAUGGAUGAACAUGCCUGCUCUUGAUAAAGAUUUAAUUGAUUGGAUGUAUUUUAUAUUUAUAGCAUUUUUGUUUUACAUUUUCAACAGACAAAAGCAACCAAAAAGCAAAAGGUCAUAUGCUUUGAAAAGAACAAAGAAACAACACAGAGGUACAUAUUAAUAUACAAUUAUGCCAGAGUAAACAGCUCAUAUGGCGACACAAAAUUAUAAGGCUCAAGGUACACUUUUCCACUCUGGUUCUAUCUGCCAAUCCUCUCAGCAAUCUUCACCCAUAGCUCUUAUCUCUCUAAAAGCCACAUAAAGCAACUGAAGUAAAACAUGUUUCUCUAUCCAAAACCAAACCUUAACUCUUCUCAAUCUGAAGCUAUAAUAACCUCUUUCUACUCUCCAACAUCUACAAAACUGCCAUGUCCAGAGUGUCCCCUAUGUUUCACAAUUACAUGUCCAGAGUGUCCCCCUAUGUUUCACAAUUAUAGCCAUGUUUUGGCUCUUCAACGAGGUUGCUCCAAGAUAUAAUUAUAAAUCCUUGUAACAGCAGCGUAUAUACCAGAAAUAGACUCUAUUAAGAACCUAGACCAUAGAGCAUAUGUAGAUAUGAUAUCUUACAAUACGAAUAUGCCAAUACACUAACUACAUAAAAUAGGUAUUUACAAAUACAGCACACUUUAGAUUAAGCAAAAUCAUUAUAUAUGUAAUAUUUUUUUAUAUUACAUUUUCAUUAUAUUUUUACGCAUCCUCUAAUUUCAACUUUAUAUGGUUCAACCAGAAAAGCUCUCCUAAUAAUUGUUCACCGGUUACACACUAAAAUCACAAUUUAAUCUACGUUUAACGUUUACACUUGAACAACAUCCACAGUCAAUCAUAUGCCAGCUUUCAAUAAACAUGGUGAUGAUUUAUCAGAAACUUUUAGAACCUAAAACAUAUAUUUAUAAGAUUAAGAAACAUUUAUGAAGUAUCAGAUGCAUAUUGGAAACUAUUCCAAAAAUUAUUUGUAUCUGACAUAAACAUGGCACCCCUGUAGAAGAAUCUGAGUAAAAAAUAGCACAUUCAACCUUCAAUAUGGGACUAGAGGCACCAGCAAUAAAGUAAAAUGGAAUGAUUAAAAAGCUCAACUUAAAAGAAGAUGCAAAGGCAUAAACUCAGUUUACACUAUCUUUUAGUUAGAAAAUGCAUAACUUACAAAAGUUUGGGUGAUGAUGCCCGGUCAUACCAAGUGGGAAGACCAGUUACGGGGUCCUGCAUUUAGUAAAGAGGUUUCAAGUGUCCAUGAAGUCCUUGCAAUAUCAAAACCCUAUUCAAUUCAACUACUUCUAUAUAAAUAAGAUGCAUAUUAAAAAAAAAUGCAUCAAAGUUUACAUCAAAAGAACUAACCGUAAAAGGGCAAGCACAUAGAUUCAGUUCCUCACUUCUCCAUGAUCCCCAAUUUUCAGUAAAAAGUGGCCACAUCCAGUGAAUCACAUCUCCCCAACAAACCUACUUCCAUAAACUGACAAGAAGUUAAUACAGAAGUAGAAUGACUCAAUCCUAUGUACAUAUACACAAGGAAAAAAAAAAUACAUUUAAACUUAUGUUACAGGGCAAGAAUUCUUCAGAAAGUUAUAAUGGCACAUCAUAUUGUUCCUAGAAAACUAAUACAGGACCAUCAUUCAUUAGAUUACACUAAAAAAAUCAUGAAAUACCUUGUUGAUGGGAGCUUCUUUGAGAUAUUUAUACAAAAGCGGGUGUUCUUUAGUGAAGCAGUACUCAAAUGAUGCAGGUGCACUGCCCAUUCAGUUGGAAAGUUAAUUGCAACUCAAUCCCCAAAAUGCAAAUGGCAACUACUGCAUAUCCAAUGCCUUUACAAGGAAAUAUAAGUGAAAUGAUACCAGAAUUCGGUGGAUUAUGAGGAAGAAUUUAGCAACACCACAAGAGUUCAAUAAAUCUUCAGAAGUUAUUACAAGUAAUACAGAAGAAUAAAACUUGUAAGUUUUGAUGUUUCCGCAAGAAAUUUUCAUUCCUUAAGGAAUCACCAAAACACAAAAGGGGAAAAAAUAAAUCUCACAUUACCUAUAGGGAACAACAUAAGGAGCAGCAACUAAGCAACGGACACGAAAGAGUUCUGCAAGGCUCCACCCUUCCUGGAUCAUCAUGCAACUCAGCCAUUUUAGGACAUUGGAUCAUUGCUUUGCAUCUAAAAUAUGAAUUUCAUUGGAUCCUUGAAAUGUAUCUACCUAAUAUGGAUUGUUAUGAAACUCGGAGGCUAUUCUUUCAGCUUUUCGUCAAUAAAACCAAAUUAUCAUAAUCUCCGAGUUAUUUGCACACCUCUAUGUGGAACUUAAUUGUCUACCAAAAUUAAAAUUUAUCCUUAAGAGACACAUAAUUGCAUACUUUUGAAAUAUUUAUAAUACUAAGUGCUAGUGUAUCCUUUAUCACCUCUGACACCUUUGGAAAAUUUUUCAUCUUCGAAGUCAUUACGACCUUUCAUUGAAAUGAAACUUCUAUAAAUCAUCUAUUCUUCUACCAAGACCACAAUGUAAACCUUGACCACGGUAAAAGCAUAAUGAGAAAGUAUACAUUGAGACAUAUCUUCCAUAUGAAAUACCAAUGCGAAGAAAUUUAUCACAAUAAAAUCGCCCUCCAAGCUUGGACCAUCUCCAAAGAUCUUUACGACUGCAGAAUAGCAUUCUUUUCUAUGUUCUCUUGUACUUUCCCUUUUCUUUUGCUCAAAUGUUAACUCCAAUGAGCCUGAUAAUAUGAAAGAAUUUAUAAGGACUUUGAAAAAGUAUAAAGAUCAUAGUUUGCACCAAUGAUACAUGUGUGUGUGUGUGUGUGUGUAAGCGAUUCAAAGUACUAACCAAACCUGACUCUGUUCUAUUGUGAUUAUCAGAAGCACAAAGCACAGGCGAUGAUGAAAUUGGAUAAAAAGUAACAUACUUUGCAGCCAAGCGAAAACUCAAGUUCUGAUACAGGAAAACAAAAUGUAUGAAAAAAUCUUCAAUGCUUACACAACAUAUAAAAAAGCAGUAAUGAUAUGCUUACUUAGUUGAAAUACUGAGUUUGUUCCCAACUGAUGGGCAUCUUAUCAGUCAUCCGUUGAUGGGAUUAGAAAAAUAGUAAAUAAUAAAUCAAUUGAUGUCAUACCGAGGGUAACGAAUGAUUGGUAACACAUCAGUUGGGAUACAAACUAAGUAUACCAACUGAGUAAGCUAGCAUUAAUGAAAAAAAAUAAAAAUAAAAAUAAAAAUAUUGCUAAACAUCCAAUAAUAAUGAGUUUAUUGAAAAGAAUUAAUGUGCUUUCUGGAAAAGCAUUUUAUUAAUUACUUCCAAAAACAAAUCCACUUCUCUAAAGGCUUAAUUCCUCUCCUAAAUCAAUCAAUCAAUUAAUCAACUGCUUAAGUCACUCUGAUUAAAGCUUAAAGGAGCGUAGAGCGAAGUUAACCUCGUGAGCCGAAUGAGUUAUUAGAAACACAUCGUAUUGCCUUUGAUCAGAAGCAAAAGCUGCAGCGAUGGCCUGCACUUGACAAUUAAUUUCAAAUUAAAGCUAACAAAAUUAAAAAAUUAAAACUUAAAAAUUUAAAUCAAAUAAAUCAAAUAAUUUUAUAAAAAUAAGAAAAUCAAGAGAUUCAAUUACAGCGAUAGGGUAAACAUCACCCUUGGUGCCGAAGGCCAUGAAUGCAGCUAUCGGUUUCUUUCUCUCCGUCUGCAUGGGCGAUGAAUUUUUCUCACAACACAAAAGUGCAAUCACUAAUUUGAAUUAUAUAUUUUAUAUUUAUUUUGGCUUGGUUGAAAUGACAACGUUGCCCCUGUUUACAAAUUCUAAAAUCUUGUCGGAUUUUCGGGCGAAAAAUUAUCGAAAAUCUUGUGAAUAGGGCUGAGAUUAAAAAUAUGAAAAAUGUUUUUUUUCUAAAAAUUAAAUAAAGUGCUAAUAUCGUUUGACCACCUCAGUAAUUGUAAAAUAUUAAAUGAUUAUUAUAAAUACACACACACACACACACAUAUAUAUAUAAUUGUCAAACAUUUUACUGUUAUUAUAUUCUUACAAAAAAUUUCAAUAUAUUAUAUUUUUAGUAGCAUUAGUUGAUCUAAAAUACCAAUUUACUUCCUUUAAUAAAAGUUUUUGUCAAUAACAAAAGAGUAAUAUAGAAAACAAUAAAAUACUAAACAUUUUAGAUACAAUCUAGCUAAAAAUAAUAUAUAAAAGCAUCUGGAUUUAGUAUUUGACACUCUAUUUGUGUAAUAAUUAGUCAACUAAUGAUACUAAUGAAAAUGUAGUUAAAUGAAACACCUUGUAAAGAUAUAAUAGGAAAAUUAAAGGCUUCAACACUUCUCAUAGUUAUUUUAUAUUUUGCAAUUUCCUGAAAUGGUCAAAAGAUAAUAAUCUAAAAAUAAAAAGUUUUUAUUUACUUGUAUGUGUUAAAUAAUUUAAAAUUUUUUUGUAAUAUUAGAGGAUUAGAUGGAAGGGUGAUUAAAAGAAUUAUCACCACUUUAACUUAAAAGUCUAUGUUAGUAUUUUUUUUUUUUGUUUAAAAUCUGAAUAGGUAUAAAUUUGAUUGAAAUCUGAAUGAGUUUAAAUGCAAAUUUUUGAAUAAAAUAUUUUUUUUCUAAUAUUUGAAUAUAUAUGUCAUCUUGUUUAUUUUUAUAAGUAAAAAAAAUCUUAAACAUAAUUAUUUGACAUUUAUGUCCUUAUAAGUCAAGACGAAUGAAGGAAUUAUGUUUUAUAAUUUGGAAUAUAAGCGUAUUUAGUUAUAGAUAUUUUUGGGGUGCAGUAUUUAGUUCCAACCCAGAUUUUUUCUUAUUUGGACAAAAGUUAUAAAAAUUUAUUUUUUCUAUUUAGAUGUAAAGGUUUGCAAAUUUAAUCAGACAUAAGUUGCAGAGAAUAAAUAAAAAAAAUUUAAAAGUAUAAAAUUAAUAAAAUUUUAGACUCUAAAAAUUUGACAAACAAAUCCUAACUUAAAAUAUCAUAAUAAAUUUUGUGUUAUUACUUUAAUUGUUAUUGUUGUUGUUGUUAUUAUUAGUGUCCCGUCACUUUAAAGUUAAUGGUACUUGCAUAAAAACAGAACGCUUGCAUAAAAACACAACAAUGAAGUAACAAAUAAUGCAUAAAAAUACUACAAUGAAGUAAUAAAUAAAAGUGUGAUGCAUGUACAAAUUAUAUAGAAAAAAAAAAUAAAAACGACAAAUGCAAAUCAAAACUAGCUUGUGUGUGUGUGUAUAUAUAUAUACACACCUUGAUAGGGGUGUUCAGAAUCCAAUUUGAUCCGCUCAAUCCGUCUGAUCCGUAGAAAUCUGAUCCGUACAAAUCCGAUCUGCGAAUUGGUGGAUUAGAUUGGAUUCAAAAUUUGAUAAUCUGCAAUCGGUGGAUUCGAUAUGGAUCUACUUCUAUAAAUCCGCAAAAUCUGCGAAUCCGCAAAAAAAUAAAAAGUAUUUAUUUAAUUAAAAAAUAAAACUUAUAAAUAUGGCAUUAGUACUUACUAGUAAAUAAAUAAAUUAAAAUAAAGUUACAUUAACACUAUAUUAUAUCUUAUCAGAUAAUAAUAUAAAAUAAAAACAUAAUUAAAUAAACAAAUAUAACUUCUUAAAUAGUUAAUUUCCAUAUACUGAUCUAAACAAAUGAGAUUUUUUUCUUUUUGAUGUGUUAUAUUUUAAAACUUUAAAUAUAUUUUCUAUCUUUAUUUAAACAAUUAAUUUAUUUAAAUCUUAUUUAAUUUUAAAUUUGAUCGGUAGUAAAAUUAUUUUUAUAUUAAUUUUUUUAUUUAGUUAGUUUGUGCAUUAGACAGAAUUAAAAAUUUCCAGUCCGUAAACCAAUUUGCAAAAUGAUGGAUUGGAUAUGAAUUGGUCAAAUCCGCAUCCGAUCUGCAGACGUAUGGAUUAGAUUUGGAAUGAAUUUGGAUUGAAUUUCACCAAUCCGUAUAUUGGAUUGGAUUGAAAAUUUAUAAUCCGCAAAAUUGUGGAUCAGAUAUGGAUUGAUGUUCAAUCAGUUAAAUCUGAUCCGCGAACACCCCUAGAUAUGAUGAUAUCAAAUGCUUUAAGUAAUUAUUCAAAAAAAAAGAAAGAAAAACAUUAAGUGUGUGUUGCACAAAAUUAAGAGAAUUAGGACGUAACAAUUCUCAUUUGCCCAACUUAAAAAACAAAUUAUGAUUAAUUUUUCUUCGUAUGCUUCUGGAUCGUAGAAGAAUUUAAAGAGGGGGGAUAACAUUCAGGACAAUCUUCUUUUGAAAUAUUUCUUAAUAAAUCAUUUUUUUUUACAUUAUGACAUUAUUAUUUUUUAAAUAAGGACUUAAUUAAUAGGCAAUGAUGCUCACAUUACAGCGAGAAACGGUCGUCGUUUGAAAUCUUUAACUAAUUCAUUAUAUUAACUCAAUUUACGAGAUACGUUUUAUAUCCUUAAAUGUGUGCUUCAACUAUUUGCUUGCCUCCUCUGAAUUAUUAUUUCCAACUGUGCCUUUUUUUGAUGUUGUGUUAGUAGUGUUUGUUGUUUUCAAUUGUCCUUUUGAUGUUGUUGUUGCUGUUUUAUUUUUAUUGUCUUUUUGUAGUUGUUGGUGUAGUGUGAUGGCCGUGUCGAUGGCAGAAGUGAUUAACCAUUAGGUUCUCUUCCGAAAUAUUUUUACAAGAGUAUAGCUUCCUAGUGUGUGUUUGAUCCUCUCGUAUUGAGGCACUUGUAGUGAGUUUUUCUGGUGGUAUUUUUCCUCUUUUUUUUUUCUUUUUUUUAUUAACAUGAUAAUUUGUGUUGCAUUAUCGAGUACUAUAGAAGAUACUUUUCUAAUUUAAAUAAGGUCUUCACCUACAGUAGUUAAUGUGGGUCAAAAAAUGUCAAGAUCAUAUGAGACUCAAAAAUUACCUUUUGUAUAUCAUCAGAUAGAUCCCAAUGGUGAAGUCGUUUUCUUUUCAAUUGACAAGGUUACUUAAUAAACAGGGUUUGGGAUGGGCAUGGGUUGGGUUAGAGUGAGUUUGUGAAAAUCCAACCCAACUUACUAUUGAUUGGGUUGAGAAAAAAAUCAAAUCAACCCAACCCAACAAAUAUAUUCAAUCCCAAUUGUUGAUGCCGAAAAAUGACCUCAACAGCUGAAUGUUUUCUUUUGGGAAUAACAGCACAAAUCCAAGCUCAAACGUCAGUCUGAUCAUAACUUUCUAUACUUGCCAACCAGAAAACACAGUUAGGAUACGACGAUGGGGUUCCAGCAUAGACCAUUCAAUGCUUAAGUCAAAAAUUGUAUAUAAGGAAAGAAAAACGGGAAGAAAGAAUUGUGAAUAAGUUAAAAUCAAGGAAUUUUUCCGGUAGAGAUGUUGAAAGUCUUGUAGCAAAUAAAAAAAGCUUUUAGAUAGGUGACUUGUAGAAAUUUUGGUUGAUUUUGCUAACCCCCUCCUCUGUUGCCCUCUUAAGCUUAAAUAGGCCCUUGGUCGUGGGCGAUUACCACCUUAAUUUUAGCCUACUUUCUUCAGCAGUUGCAAGUGUUGAUUAAUUGGAGGUGGUUUAAGAAAUCGUGGCAUACAACUUCCCUAAAAAUUAGGCCACGUUAUCUCGACUAGUAAUUUUCCAUGUUAAGUAGUUCUCAGGUCGGACAAAUGAAUUUCGAGGUCGGACUAUCUUACUUACUUCCAGAUCGGAUUGGAGAAUUUUUGAGUCGCCCACAUAGGCUUAAAGUUAUAUUCUUAAAUUAGGUCGUUUGCAUAAACCUCAAGUUGUACUUGUAAACCAUGUUGCCAACAUAAGAUACAUGUUGUACUUAUGAGGUCUGCUCAACAGUAAUAAAUUCUAAGUAGAUUAAUCUUGACUCUAUUUCUAGAUGCUAUCAGAAAAAUCCAACCCGAACAUCAGUCUCCUAGUUUUCAACAUCGGAAAGCCAUUAUUGGUGUUGGAAACUAAUUAAUGAAAAAUAGAAAAAAAUUUACGAACCGAACACCAGUCCUCUAGUUUUCAAUACUGAGAAGAUAUGAACGGUAUUGAAAAUUAAAACAACGAAUAAGGCGCAAUAUGGUCUCUAGCAUAAUAGAGGCAAUGUGAAGCAAAACAAAGAUAAUGUUGAGUUGAAUAAGCUCAAAAGUAAGAAUUUGGCAAGAAUAAAAAUAAAAAAAAGAAAGAGAAAGUAGGGGUGUUCAGAAUCCAAUCCGAUUCUCUCAAUCCGUCUGAUCCGUAAAAAUUUGAUUCGUAAAAAUCUGAUCUGUGGAUUGGUGGAUUGGAUUAGAUUGAAAAUUUAAAAAUCUGCAGUUGGUGGAUUAGCUAUGGAUUUACUUCUAUAAAUCCGCAAAAAUCUGAGAAUCCAUAAAUAAAUAAAUAUAUAUAUAUAUAUAUAUAUAUAUAUAUAUAUAUAUUUAAUUAAAAAAUAAAACUUGUAAAUGUGGCGUUACUACUUACUAAUAAAUAAAUAAGUUAAAAUAUACUUACAUUAACACUAUACAUAUCUUAUCCGAUAAUAAUAUAUAAUAAACAUGAUUAAAUAAUUGAAAAACUAAAUAAACAAAUAUAGCUUUCUAAAAAUUAAUUUUUAUAAUUUUAGUUAAUUUUCAUGUAUUGAUUUAAAUAAAUGAGAUUUCAUCUUUUCACUGUAUUAUAUUUUGAGACUUUGAAUGUAUUAUUCUAUCUUUAUUUAAACACUUAAUUUAUUUUAAUCUUAUUCAAUUUUGAAUUUGAUCGGGAAUAAAAUUAUUUUUAUGUAAUAUUUUUUAAUUAGUUCGUACAAUGAACAUAAUUAAAAAAUUUUAUUCCGUCAACGAAUUUGUAAAAUGGUGGAUUAGAUAUAGAUUGGAUCAAAUCCUCAUCCGAUCCGUAGAUAUAUGAAUUGCAUUUAAAUUGAAUUUGUCAAUCCGUGGAUUUAAUUAGAUUGAAAAUUUAUAAUAUGUAAAAUCAUAGAUCAGAUAUAAAUUAAUGUACAAUCUGUAAAAUUUGACCCGCGAACACCCCUAAAAAAAAGAACAAAUAAAAAGGUGAGGUCAUAUAGAAAAGCAUAAGCACGUGACUUAAAGGUAAAUUCGAAGCAUACAUUUUGUCUUUUUCCCAAUACCUUUUGGCUCCUAUUUCGUCCCCAUCCUCCACACUUUUUCACAAUAAAAGUGAAAUAUUAAGAUGCCGCCAUUCUGCAAUUUUUGUGCAAAUCGAACAAUUAUUCUGUUGAGCCAUAACCAAGCCUGUUGGUGAGUACCUCACGCGCCAUCUUCUGUCUCGUGUUUUUUUUUUUAAUUCCAAAUCUAUAUAUAUGUGUAUUGAAACCAAACACCUCUUUUUUUUAUAAAAAAAAAAAAAAAGAACUCUCCUCUCUUUUUGUUUUUGUCAAAACCCGAACUUCUUCUUCUUUUUGUUGCGUUUCUCCUUUCUUUUUCAUUUCUCUUUUUUUUUGUGAAUGUCGGGCUCAUGGCAGUUUGUAUUGUUGAUGUAGUGAAUACCGCGCCGCCUGCUUUUGCCGUUCCUGCAUAUUAUAGAAUCCAUUCGGGUUUGCAAACAACUUUGGUGAGUCACCUCAUCUCAAGCAUUAUCUACUUAUUGCAUUCUUGUAUUUAUGAAUGUGAAUUUUGUUGGGCGUUGGAAUUGUUGUGCUAUGUACUACGUUGCGUGUAAACUUUGAUGAAUAAAUCAAAGUAGUGUUGGUAGUGGAGAGUUGUUAUCAUUUUGUUGGGCUGAUAAUGGAGAUAUUGAUGUAUUGUGUAUUGGCAUUGAAUAAGGAGUUAGGUUUUUAAGUGUAUACAUUAGGUAAUAAUGGAAUUUAGAGGCGAUAAUGAUUCCCUUUGUAGUAUUCAAUCGAGUAUGGGUGGUAAUGGGGAAAAUGGAGGAGAUAGUAAGUAGAGUUAAAUGAUAGUGCGAUAGAGAAUGAUUUUAAGAGAGCAAUAAGUGAAAUGCAUGGGCAAGCGAGUGGCGAAUCUAAUAUACAACUUAGUGAUGAUGGAGAUGAACAUGAAGAAUAUGGUGUAAAUAGAUUGAAUUAUGAUACAACAGAAAAAGAUAUUGAAGAGUUAAGAAAGGGAUAUCACAUUCUCGGCGAUAUUACGCUUAGGUUACUGGGGGAAGAUGAGGUGGCCAGUAAACUGAGUGAUGGAGAAACCAUGAUUUAUAUGGAGAUGUUUAGACUUGGUUUCAGGUUGCCAAUUCAACCUUAUUUUGCCCGGAUGUUGGUGAGGUUGGGUCUGAGUCAUGUUCAGUUUGAUCCAAAUGGUUGGAGGAUUUUAGGUUGUAUAUAUAUUGUGUGGGCCGAACAGAACAAGGUUGAACUAUAUUUUAAGGAAUUCACGCACUUGCAUUUGUGUAAUGAACAUGGGGUAGGUCACAAAGGAUGAUACUAUUUUAUGUCGAAAUCAAAAAAUAAAAGAAUAAUACUUGACUUUCCCAGCUCAUGUAAGUGUUGGAAAAAUAAGUACUUCGCGGUUGGUGGAAAUUAGGGUAGGGACGUAGAGCUGACAAAGGUUGGUUUAAAGUGCCCGCUCAAUUUAGUAGACUAGGUAAUGAAAGUUUUGUUCAGGUUGAGGUUGGAAUUUUGAUUACGAAUUAAUACUUGUCGUGUUGCAGUGACUUGAAAGAGGAAUGUUGGCAUAAGCGAGAGACUAAGGAUUAGAGUUGAGAGAGGUUUGCUACACACAGAGGAUUGGAAGUUGUUGUUGACACCUAAGAGAUUAUUUAGCACCGACAUCAUUUCCAACUUUCCACAAAACAAAGAGAAAACGAGAACAAAAGGUAAAAUUUUUCUAUGUGAAUAUCCUUGUGUAAUGCAUAAGAUUUACUAACUUUAGCUUUUCAUUUACCGUUGUUAUAGGGAACAUGACAUCUGCUAGGCGCACCCCAGCAAAGAUUGUGAAGGCCUUGGUCGAAGAGACAUUAGACGAGGAGCGCGAACCGUAUAGUAAGAAACUGCGACGAACGAUGCACAAGAACAAGGCUGAUGAGAAAAAACGAUAAACAACCCGCAACUUCAACUCGUAAUGUGCCACCUCAAAACAAAUAUGAUCGAGCCGCUGACUCGCGUCCUUUGCGCAUUUUACCUUCCACUACUUCCUUGAUAUGUCCGACAGGAAACUUACUUGAAAGGGGGAAUAUCGUGGGAUCGAAGCGAGGAAGAAUGGAGAGCUUACUACCCGUGCUCAAUUUGGCUGCUCGGUCCAUGAACCAAAAUGCCCUCAAUGACUUUUCUCACUUGACUGCCACUUACGCUCUUGAAUUGCUCACUCGAAAUCAAGCCGAGGUAGGCAUUAGAUUCUAGUUUUUAGUUGUUCUUUGAUGUUAUUUAUGCAGCUAACAUGCUUCACUUUCCAACAAUCUUUACUAUUGGCAAUGCAUAUCGAGACCUUUAUGAAGUCACUAAAAGGCCAAGGAAAAAUAGAAGAGCUCGAGCUUGCCUUGUCCAAAGCCAAACGCAACAAUGAGAAGAUGGCAAGCAAGCGAAAUCAGCUUAAACAUGACCUUAAUGCUCGGAAUGAGAAAAACGCCCAACUAGCGGAAGACUUGAUAGCCGAGAAACGAUCCAAUGCCAUCAAAAUUUCACAGACUGCAAUUGUGACACCCAAAAUAUGUUAGUAUCGAUAAUGGUUGUGCUGACUGUAGGAGACGUGCUUCAGGGGCGUGCAUAUGGGGAAUACAAUGAUCUUAAACUUUUUAGGAUUCAGGCAAGCCGACCCAAUUGAGUUUGGAGAGUUUGUCGCCAGUCAAGGACUUAACGUUGAAAUGAGGUCUAGACGAAGCCUUACACACUAGUUGGGAACUAGAGCUAUUCUUCUGAUGAGCCCAAGGCAAGGCGAAAUUAGUCGAUAUUGUGCCACUUCCACUAGGUUUGCUCUCGUAGUAUGAGAUACGGGAGUGUCGCAUGGGUUCGAAACCUCUCGUCCCGUAACAAAAGACUUCAAGAUGACCGAACUUAGCCAUGAGUUGGAGAAAGUCAAGUCUGAUGUAAAUCAAUGCAUCCGGUUGGAGAAGUAGUUAAAAGCCAACGUUAUUCAAACGUGCAUUGAGUUAUUUCAAGAAAAGCGUCCAGACAUGGACUUUCAGGGGAUGUGGACGGCUUAUGUAAGCAAAAAGAGAGCUAGGUAGAAAUCUUUAGGCGCGAGCCAAGUAGAGAACCAUAAUCAAGUGCUUUAAGACGGUGAGGUCGAGAUCGAGGGUGAAGCUUCCCUAACCAACAGGGUUGUUGAAGGCCAAGAGGAAAUUUCCUAUGUGAAUUCACUUUCCUUACCAUAAUGUUUGCUAUGUAUGGGCCAUGAACUUGGGUGGGCUUUUAUUGGAACUUUUAAUUGGUUUUUGUAUUCGGAUAAUCAUCGUUUAACCCAGACUUCUUACUCUUUUUGUUUGCUCGGGCCUAUCAAUGUUUGGAUUCUAUGAAUUGCAAACCAAUUUGAACUUUGGCAAUUGAACAAAUUUAUCUCAACCCACAAGAUAAGUGUUAAGGCUACGACCGACCUCAACAAGAUAAUGUUAAGGCUAUCGUCGACCUCACUAAGGCAAUAACCGACCACAACAAAAUUGAAAAUUAUAGAAAAUUGUUAUGGCUAUGAUCAACCUCAACAAGAUAAUGGCCAACCUCAACAAAUUGAAAAUUGUAGAACUUGAAUGUUAAGGCUAUGGUUGACCUCAAAAAGAUUGAAAAUUGUAGAACUUAAAUGUUAAGGCUAUGGCCGACCUUAACAAAUUGAAAAUUGUAAAACUUAAAUGUUAAGGCUAUGGUCGACUUUAAUAAGGUAAUGGCAAACCUCACCAAGAUUGAAAAUUGUAGAACUUAAAUGUUAAGGUUAUGGUCGACCUCAACAAGGUAAUGACCGACCUCAACAAGAUUAAAAAUUGUAGAACUUAAAUGCUAUAAUUAUGGCUGACCUCAACAAGUCAAUGGUCGACCUCAUAAGAUAAUGGUCGACUUCAACUAAAUUGAAAAUUGAAAAAUGUUAAAGCAAUGGCCGACCUCAACAAUGUUUCACGUUGGACUUCAAUAAGGCCGAAAUGCUAAUCUCAAUCUCAAUAAAAUUAGACAAAUUUUUCACAUUGGACCUCAACAAGGCCAAGAGCCGAUCUCAAUCUCAAUAAGAUUGGAUAAAGUUUUUACAUUGGACCUCAAUAAGGCCAAAAUGACAACAUCGAUCUCAACAAGACCGGAUUGCAAUUCAUGUAGGACCUCAAUAAGGUCCAAAUAUAAAUCUUACUUCAAAUAAGAUCAGAUAAAGCUAUUCACGUAAGACCUCAAUAAGGCCCAAAAGUCUAUCUUGAUCUCAAAUAAGACCAAUCACAAGUAUAUAAGUUGAGAAAUAGAGUUGCACUUCUAAAUAAUGUCAUUGAUAUUAAUACAACAGAAAUUACAUAAUUGAACACAAACAUAUUGAAUUAACAAAGAAACAAACUUUCCUAGCAUAUUUAAAGAAAAUAAACAAACAAGAACAUCAUUAAUAAGAUUAGCCUACUGAUAGUAUUUUCGCAGGUGCUCUGCAUUCUAUGCCUUGCUGACGACCCUGCCAUCCAGAUAACCUAAUUUAUAUGUGCCAUUACCAAAUGAGUGUAGUAUUUUGUAUGGUCCUUCCCAGCUCGGCCCCAGAACUCCAUCAGCUAGCUUUUUCAUUGACUAGUUGCCUUUGCAAAGCACCAGGUCCCCCUCCUGAAAUUGUCGUAGCCGAACAUUCUUGUUGUAGAACUUAGCCACUUUCUGCUGGUAAAUUGCUGCUCGACCUCUUGCCGCCUCUUUUUUCUCAUCAAGAAAAUCUAAAUCCAACAGCAUAUGUUCCAUGUUCACUGUCUCAUCAUAAUAUUUUGUGCAAUGUGUCUCCAUGCCAACUUCAGCUGAGAUUACUGCCUCAUGCCAACUUCAUGGCUAUUCUAUAGGCCCACAACACUCUUGGAAGCACAUCCACCCAAGCGCCCUUCUUCUCACCUAACUUUGUCUUCAACAACUGCUUUAUAGUUUUGUUCGCCGCUUCCACUUGUCCAUUUUCCUUUGGAUGAGCAGGUGAUCGAGUUGAUCACAACACUCUUGGAAGCACAUCGAGUUGAUCACAAAACUUCUUGAAGUUCUCAUUAUUGAAUUGGGUCUCAUUAUCGGUGAUAAUAGCUUGUGGUAGGUCAUAUCUGCAAAUCAAAUUUCUCUAUAUGAAAUAUGUUGUUCGCUUCUUAAUUAUCUUUUGAAGUAGUUAAACUUCAAUCCACUUGCUAAAAUAGUCAAUGACUACCACCGCCUAUUUCAUUUGGCCUCUCUCAGUCGGUAUUGGUCUGAUAAGAUUCACCCACAUUGUGUAAAUGGCCUAGUGCUCACCAUUGUUGUCAUGUUUUAUGGUGGUUCUGUUGUAAUUACAACGAACUUCUGGUAUUCAUCGCAUCUUCAGACUAAUUCUCACGCAUCCUCAUGCAUGGUCGGCCAAAAAUAACCUUACCUUAUUAUUUUGUGGGCUAAUUGUCAUGAGACGAGAGGUUUCGAGCCCGUACAACACUUCCACAUCCUAUACUACAAGAGUAAGCCUAGUGGAAGUAGCAUAAUAUUGACUGAUUUCGCCCUGCCUUGGGCUCAUUAAGAGAACGGCUCCCGUUCCCAACCAAUGUGUGUAGGGCUUCGCCUAGACCCCUCUUCAACGUUAAGUCCUCGACUAGUGACAAACUCCUCAAACUCAACCAGGUCGGCCUACUUGAACUUCAAAGAAUCUAGGACGAUUGUAUUCCCCACACGAAUGCCCCUAAAGCACAUCUCUUACAAUCAGCACAACCAGUGUCGAUACUAGCGUACAAGCGUAUAUCUUGUGUGUUACGAUUGCGGUCCGUGACAUUUUCCCACCGCCAUGACCAUGCACGUUCUCGUGCAUGAAGAGUACCUACUCGUGAAGGUCGCCUUGUCAAUCUUUCCUAUGAACUUCCUACCUACUCGUCCUCAAUCCAGGGAGAGGACCCGUGUACAAACACUGUCGGCCUCAAUACGAACGCUUGGGCGUGUAAAAACCAACAUAUUCAUCCUGCUUGUCGACCCUUGCGCUAAAAAAGGUGAGGACCUGCGUGGUGCGACAUUGGAGCGCUUGGCAAGCUCGCAACAAAAGCUUCGAGAGAUGAAAAAUGUGGCUCUAAUACUAUUUUUCAUGCGACGAGAGGUUUCGAGCCCGUGCGGCACUCCCGCAUCUCAUACUAUGAGAGUAAGUCUAGUGGAAGCAGCACAAUAUUAACUAAUUUCGCUCUGCCUUAGGCUCAUAUGGAGAACGACUCCAAUUCCCAACCAGUGUGUAUAGGGCUUUGCCUAGACCGCUCUUAAACGUUACGUCCUUGACUAGCGACAAGCUCCCCAAACUCAACCGGGUCAGCCUGCCUGAACUCCAAAGAAUCUAGGACCAUUGUAUUCCCCACACGCACGCCCCUAAAGCACAUCUCCUACAAUCAGCACAACCAAUGUCGAUUCUAGCGUACAAGCGCAUAUCUUGGGUGUCACGAUUGCGGUCCGUGACAUAAUGCCCUACCUCCGCCGUGAUCUCCACAAAUUCUCCCGUGCACCUCUCUCAUUACAUAGUUGGCAUCAGCCAAGCCCAAACAUCGUAGAUAAGGUAAAGUAUAACCUCUUCUAUAAAGUAUACAUUCAAUAAUGGAGUAGCGUGUUGCCUGACAUUAUAGCCUUCUUGCCUCUGCUUUAUCUUGAGGUUGUUCCCCAAAUUCAAUAUACCUCAUGGUAAUCCAUCUCUUCUCAUUUUCUACCAUACAAACUUCCAUCUCGGGAUCUACUAUACGUGGCUUUGAAACUGAUUCCAAUGGGAUUCCUCAUGGGAUCUUUGGGCAUUCUGUAGCUAUCAGUCUUGCUAUAUAAUUUGCUCGGUAAUUCUCUCCCUUCGGAAAUUGCUCUAUUGUAGCUGGAUCAAAACUACCCCAUAGCUGCAGUGCUUUGCUCAAAUACUUCGACAUGUUCUCACUUUUGGCUUGAAAUAUCUCAUUCAGGUGGUUCACUACCAGUUACGAGUCACUCUUCACCUUUAAAUGCCGAACCCCCAAUGCCCUUGCUAAUUUUAUACUAGCAAUGAGAGCUUCAUAUUAUGUUUCAUUGUUUGUAGGUUGAAAUUGAUACUUGAGAGCGUAGCAUACUUCUUCUUGGUCGCGCGAAACCAGAACAAUUCCCCCACCUGACCCUUCUGGGUUUGCAACUCCAUCUACAUUAAGCUCUCAUAUAUCAUUCUUCUUUUCUGCCUUUUUAAUGUCCUGCUCGGCAUCCAUCUCUUCACUCCCUUCAUUACAAUCAUUAAUGAAGCCGACUAGAGCCUGUGCUUUAAUUGCAUACCUCAGUCGGUAACUGAUGUUGAAUUCACUUAGUUAUACUGACCACCUAAUUAGCCUUCCUGAAAUGUCUUAUUUGUGCAAAAUUUGUCUCAAAAGUUGAUUGGUGACAACCACUAUCUCAUGAGCUUGAAAAUAUGGCCUCAGCUUUCUUGCGGCUACAACUAAUGCCAUCGCCCACUUUUCUGCAAUAAAAUAUCUUACUUCCGCCCCUAUAAGAGAUCUGCUCGUGUAGUAUACCAAAUGUCAGACUCCACCUUCUUCUUUUACCAAGACCGAGCUAGAUGAAUAAUUUAAGACCGCCAAGUAGAGCAAGAGAACAUCGCCCACUGAGGGCUUAGCCAAAGUUGGUACGUUGGCCAAAUACACCUUUAGUUGUUGAAAUGUUGUGUCACAUUUUUCUAACUACUUCAAUCAUUUUCCUUUCUUCAUCAAUUCAAAAAACGGAUGGCAUUUAUCUGAUGCUUUCAAUAUGAACCUGCUCAGCGCGGCAACUUUCCCAACUAGGCUCUGAAUAUCUUUACGGUCCUUCAGUGACCUCGUCUUGAGGAUGACCUUUACUUUUUUCAAAUUAGCUUCUAUCCCCCUUUGACUAACCAAGAAGCCCAAAAACUUCCCCGAUUCCACUCUAAAGAGACACGAAUUCAACUUCAUCUAAUUCUUUCGUAGCACUUCAAACGUCUCACGCAAGUGCGCUAUAUGGUCAGCCAACUUAUCAAACUUAGUUAUCAUGUCAUCCACAUUUACCAACCUCUGAUAAGUUGCUCUUGCAUUUUUUAAUCCAAAUGGCAUCACAUGGUAGCAAUACAAUCUUUGGUCGGUCACAAAAGCUGUCUUUUCCUCAUCUUCUGUGGACAUACGAAUUUGGUUGUAUCACGAGAAUGCAUCCAUAAAACUCAUCAAGCCAUGCCCCACAGUUGAAUCCACUAACUGAUCAAUCUUUAGGAGAAGGAAACUAUCUUUAGGACAAGCAUUGUUGAGGUCGGUAAAGUCUACACACAUCCUCCAUUUUCCAUUCGCCUUCUUAACCAUUACCACAUUCGAAACCCAUUCCGAAUAAUUCACUUCAUUUAUAAACCCCGCUUUCAACAGUUUAUCUACCUCAUCAUAGAUGGUCUCGUACAUUUCCUGGUUGAACACUCUUCUUUUCUGCUUCACGGGCUUAUGUCUUUUAUCUAUAGCCAACCGGUGACACAUAAUCUGUGGGUCUAUUCCCGACAUAUUUUCAUGGCUCCAAGCAAAUAUGUCUCUAAACAAAUAUGUCAUUGUACUCCACCAAUAAAUUCUGAAGCUCAUUGGAAAUAUCAUUUGUCAUUUUUGUUCCCACUCUUACCACUUUACUCGGAUCAUCCUCACUCACUGGCACUUGUUUCAUUUCUUCAUUAGGCCACUGUUGGUAUAAUCUAUUCUUAGCUAGUGGAUCGAUACUCGUGAUCUGCAUGGAUUCCCUCACAGAUGUAGCAUAACAGCUUCGAGCUACUUGUUGCUGGUAGGGGUGGGCAAAAUCAGGUUCGGGUCGGGUUCGGAUCAACCCGAUCGGAUUUCGGGUUAGUCGGGUUGGAUAAAAAUCGAUCCGAACUCCACCCGAACUUAAAACCCGAUCCGAUCCGAUCCGAAUUUAAAUCGGAUCGGAUCGGAUCGGGUUAAAAAGUCGGGUGGAGUUCGGAUCGGAUCGGAUGCGGGUUAAUUCGGGUUCGGAUUAAAUUCGGGUUAUUCGGAUGAAUUCGGGUUAAUGCGGGUCGGGUGUAAUCGGAUCGGAUUCGGGUUAAUUCGGGUUCGGAUUAAAUUCGGGUUAUUCGGAUCAAUUCGGGUUAUUUGGCAAUUUGGGAUCAAACGUAACUUUAAUUGAGUUACUCCAUUAAUUAUCUUUUAAUUAGAGGGAAGAUAGUGAAAGGGAGGAAAAAGAAAUUGUAUGACUUUUAAUAAAAUAACUUAUAAAUUUAAAAAUUAUAUACAUAUGUUAAAAUAUUAUUUGUUAGUGGUUUCAUAUUAGAUUAUGAAGACCCAAAACAUCACGCUAGAAUUUCUCCUGUCCAAAAGUUUUUCACAAUCAAAAAAUAAAUUAUUUUUUACAAAUUUAAAUCUUAUCCUAUGGUCAUGUGUGUUCAAAAUUCAAAGAAAACCUUAACAACUUGCUAUGUGGCACAAUAAUAAGUGUUAAUGUCUUAUAGUAAAAGAUAAAACCCAUUAAAUUUAAUAUUAAAAUAUAAUAAAUCACAAAAAAAAACCCUCUACCAAAUGGCAAAACUCAAUCAGUGGACUGGAAUGUGGAAUCCACAUUAAUUUUGUCAUGGGGCCACACGUUGAUACUUGAUACUUGAUAAGGAAACAUUUUUUUUUUCUAUUUUUUUAAUUCUUUUUGGCUUUUUGCCAUGGGGAGUUGGGGACCUCUGGAGAAGUGGAGAUACAGCCGUUUAAAAGAAAAUUUACAUACACUUUGCAUACACUUUAUCUAAUCCAAAAGACAAACACAGCAAACGUAAGGGAUUGAUUCAUUUUCGUUCUGGAAAUAACAACAUGAACGUGCAUGUCCUUUAUAAAACAAGGACAUUUCUCUUCCACUCUUGUCACCUUGCUAACUAAGACAUUUCUUUCCCACCUUCCUUGUCCUCCCUCAUUCAUUCAUCCAUUCAUUUCAACCAACAAAAAAAGAAAACUACUAUAGAAUUAAAUUCAAAUGAUUCAAAAUUAAAAAUUAACACAAAGCAUAAAAUUAAAAUUAACACAAAGUUUAAAUUUAAUAGUCUCCAUCCAAAGCGCAAUGUCCAAUUCUAAAAUCUAAACAUUAAUCUUUAGAACACAAAACUAAACAUAAUUAAAUAGUUUCCAUUUUCCAAAACACAAAUGACAAAGUUCCAAAAUCCAAAACACAACAAAGUUUAAAUGUAAAUCUAGCUCAACUUCCUCCACGGCUCCACCGUUCCUCGCAAGCACUUUGACAAAUUUUAACUUCAAUUUCUUCUACUCCAAGUUGAAGAAUUGAAGCAUAUAUCCCCUAAGAAAAAAUUGAAAAAAUAAUAGAUAACCGUUUAACUACUUUCUUUAAGCCACAUUACAAAUAAAGGGACAUUAAACACAAACACAUAUGCCCAAUUCAUGUGUGUACUUGAUUAAAUAUAAGAAAAAAAAUUAAGUCAAUUGUGGCUUAUUUCAUGGCAUUCAUCAUCAAGUAAAUUUAAUAAUAAUCCUAAUUCCUAAGUAAUACAAUUCCAACAAUUUCAAUGUGUCUAAAAUAAAUGAAACAAUUAUAAAUUAAAACUAUAACAACUAUUGUCUAUUAUUAUAGUGUAAAUUACAACCUAAACAUAUAAUAUGAAAUUAUAAAUAAUAAUAUAUAUUAAGAAUUACCUUUCAAAUAUCCAUAACACCCAUAUCAGCGCUCACUGUUUCCACCGUUGAAGCUUGUGAUCUUACAAACUCUUUAAAAUGUCAAAAAAAAAAUGAAAUUAGUAAGUAACUUAAGUACAUAUAGAUGCUAUUUAUAAAGUUAUAAUACAUCUUAACUUUAUAAAGUAUGAGAAAAAUAUUACCUUCAUGUAGCUCCAUAUGGAAUAUCUGCUCUUUAAUAUCUUCCUGAAGGUUGUAGACAGGAUUAGCAAAAAGUUUAGCUUGUAACCAAUUUUCUGUACAUAUCAAUGCCUCAACCAUACAAGGGGUCAAAGAACUCCGAUAUUCGUCAAUGACGCGACGCCCUGUGCUAAAGGCAGAUUCAGAUGCCACUGUGGAAACAGGAACAGCGAGGACAUCCCUUGCAAUUUUCUCUAAUAUCGGAUACUUCGAUCCAUUAACCUUCCACCAAAGCAAAACAUUGAGCUUAAGAUUGCUUGGAUCUUCAACUGGGUCACUCAAAUAUCGUUCCACCUCAGAUACUACUCUCUUGCCCUCAUUCUGAACAAACACUUUCUGAGCAUACCCAAAGAAAGGGCGAGAAACUCGGAAAAUGUCAUCACCAUCACCACUAGGACCCUCCGACAAACCAACCUCAGUUGUAAAAUAAGGAGAAUAACUUGUACCACCAUAGUUGUCGCUAGGAACACUCUCACUACACAUCGAUGGUGUGGAACUAGAGCACAUUGCACUAUAUGCAUCAUAAAGCUCAUUCAACAAAUCUUUCACUGCUUUGGUCAUUUCUUCAACUUUCCAACCAUCAUUGGCAAAAAUGAUCUCAAAAAUAUGUUUGGCAAAAUCCAUUUUAGCUCGUGGAUCAAGAAUAGAGGCAACAAUUAACAUUUUAUUUAUCUUCCCUGAAGACUCCCAAUAUUUAUCAAAUUUUUCCCUCAUUUGAUAAGCCAUAGCCACCACCCAAGGAUCUCUACUUCCCUCUAAUGCAGUCAAUGAGCUCUCAAUUAAGCCAAUGGUAUCAUAACAAAGAUUAGAAGUCACACUCAAAGAAGCAGAAAAUAACAAUGUGGCAUCAUAAAAUACCUUCAAAAACUUUACAAUUCGCCCUGCACUCUCCCAAUCCUCAGGUCCAGGCGGGCCCACCCUCUUAACGUUAUAUUCUUUCUCGAGAAAAUAUGCCUCAUACGGUUUAUCCACCUCUGCCAUUCUAUCAAAUGCUGCUUGAAACUUCAACGCAGUCAUCAACAUUAAAUAGGUGGAAUUCCACCUAGUAGGACAAUCCAAAACAACCGUUCCAUUUGGACAUUUCACUUGUUGAGCACACUGUUUAAAUGCCUGUAGCCUCGUUGUGGAGGAUCUCACAUACUUCACAGCAUUCCGAAUGGCGGCAACACUAGCAUGCAAUUCAUUCAACCCCGAAACAACAAUCAAGUUCAAAAUAUGUGCACAACAACGCACAUGCAUAUACUGACCCGCCAAUACAAUUGCAUCAUCAUUCCUCCAAGCAAGUAAUUGCAUAGUCACAUAAUUAACCGCAACAUCAUUUGUACUGGCAUUAUCAACAGUUAUUGCAAACAACCUCUCUAUCCCCCAAUCUUGUAAACAAGCUACAAUCGUUUUACCGAUCGUUUUCCCUCUAUGAUCUUCAAUCACACUGAAACUAAUAAUUCUUCUAUUCAAACACCAGUCACUAUCAAUAAAAUGAGCUGUGAUCACCAUGUAGCUCAUGUUUUGAACAGAAGUCCAUAAAUCAGUGGUAAGAGACACUCGCUGUUUGUUGUUGCAAAUCAAACUCUUCAACAUUAUCUUUUCUUCCAAAAAUAAAUCCAUAACAUCUCUACCAACAGUUCUCCGAGAUGGCAUAACAAACUGUGGAAUGGCUACACUACAGAAAUGCCUGAACCCUUUGUUAUCCACAAAACUAAGUGGCAACUCACCCAUAAUGAUCAUUUUGGUGACUGCCCUUCUACAAGCGUCUUGACUCCACCCUUUAGCCAAAACCAUAUUACUUGCAUUUCCUUCCCCGCCCUCAGUUGUCAAGUUUUGUUGACUUCCCUCUUGUUGUUCCCGGAAUGUCUUGUAUGCAAGGCAAGCCAGUAUAUGAUUUCUCAUAUUUGUAAUCCCAUCACGCCUUGAAUGACAUUGAUAUUGUCUACCACAAUAGUUGCACUUGCAUUUGUUUGGAUUGUUCUCGAGCAAAGUAAAAUGAUUCCACGUCGCAGAUCUUUUCUUCAUCGCUGGUCUUUUCCGCUUUGCCUUUUGAGUUCCUUCCAUUUGAACACUUUGAUUGUCAUCAUCACUUAUGGAAUUCGAUCUUGAGUGUCCAGACAUCUAAACAUACAAAUAAAUAAUUAUUAAUCAUUAAUUCAUAAAUUAAAACACAAAAAGACUAUUAAAAAAAUCUACUUAAUAGUUAGUAUUACAAAUUGAUUCAAAUAAUUGUUAAUUUAAUUUUAUGAAACUUUUUGAAAUCGAUAUUUCCAAUUUUCCACCAUAAUGUUUAUAUAUGAUCAAGAAUUCAAGAUGCAUAUUCCAUAAAAGAAAACCAAGAAAUUAAACUAAUUAUUUAAUUUAUAAUAUCUAAUUAUCCAUUGGCCAAAAUAAUAUAAUAUUAAUUACAUAUCCGUAUCUUAAAUUCUUAAUUCUUAUUAUGCCCACAUUAUAUGUAGUUAACCACUUAAUAUUUACUUAUUGGUUAAUGGUUAUCAUGCAAUUAAUAAAAUUGAUUAAUUAUUUAUUGAAGUUGAAACUUGAAACUACUGCAAUUAAAUUGGUUAAUAGUUAAUUUUUUGUUGAAGUUGAAACUAUUCUACAAAUACACAUAUCAUAUGACAUAUACAAUUAUAAUUUAUAUUGUAACAUAAUAUUUAAUUUUAAUUUUUAAUCUAACAUUACUAUUCAUACAAAAAAUCAAUUAUUAAUUAAUAACAGAAAAUUAAUGCCAGAUUAUUUUCAUUUUAUUGAUAAAAUUUAACAAUAUAUAAUUAACAAUUUAACAUACAAAAUUACAAUUAACAUUUCUCAUAUAACAUAUAACAAAUAAAAAUUAUAAUUAAUCAUUAAUGCAUAUAUAAUUAUAUAAUAUAUACCAUCUCUUAAAUAACUUUAAAAGCCGGAUUUGCUGUCUUGCACUCUUGCUUUGCUUAUUCGGGCUUCAGCCUUCAAGCCUUCAAGUUCCAAUUCCAAAGUCCAAACUUCCAAUUUCCAAAUCCCAAACAGAGAGUGAAGAGAGUCAGAGAGACAGAGACCUUUUGAGUUUUGAGACUGGAGGCUGGAUCCGUGACCCGUGAGGCGUGACCGUGAAUGGGUGUGGUGGCCGGAUGUCAACACUCAACAGCCGUGACCCGUGGAUGCCAAUGGUGGAGACUCGAGUGGAUCGGAGGCAGCUUGCUGGGUGGAUCUUCAAUCGGACUGAGUUAUGGUGGAGUGGAGGAUUCAAGGCGUGGAUCUGGCGCUUGGUUGCAGCAGAUCUGUGGAUCUGGCGCUUGGUUGCAGCAGAUCUGUGGAUCGGGUCACGAUCUUCACGAAUCAGCUUCGGCUUCGGCUUCGGUUGGGGUCGUUCUCGGAAGUGGUUGCUGGCUGCGUGUGGUGGCCGGUUGAAGCUAGCUCCGUGAACUGUGCGUGUGUGUUUGCUGCGCGUGGUGAGAGACGAAGGCCGUGACUCCGUGAGGCGUGAAUGAGCGUGGGACAGUGGGUUGGUUGCUGCCUGCUUGUGCUUGACGGCUACUGGUUUCAGUGAUUUUUGUGUGACACUGUGACAGUGAGGGUUUGUGAAUUGUGAUAGUGAUACCGUGAGUGAGGGUUUGUGACUGUGAGUUGUUACUUGUUACUUUGCUUAAUUGCUUUGCUUGUGUUGUUUUCUUGGUGAAUUAUUGAAUUGUUUUGUAACUUUUGUUGCGGUGAAUACUGAAUAGUUUGGAGUGAAUUGACUGAAUUCUUGAAUUGUUUUGUUGCGGUGAAUACUUUGUGAAAUGUGAAUUACUGAAUUUAAUUGUGAAUUACUGUAAAUCCGUGUAAAUCCGUGACUCUGUACUCUGUAGUCUGUACUGUGAUCUGUAUUCUGUUUCUGUGAGAGUGUGAGUUACUGAUUCCAUGCAUGUACUCGUGUGAGAUGUGAGUGUGUCAUGUGUGUGUCUGUGUGAUAUUGUAAGUGUAAAUCUGUAAUUUUUGCCCAAUUUUUUUUUUUUGUCUCAACCCGAUCGGGUUUUCGGAUCGGAUCGGGUUUCACCCGAUCCGAUCAUGAUCCGAUCGGGUUGAGACAAGUUCACCCGAUCGGGUUUUGUUGACCACCCGAUCCGAUCCGAACCCGAAAUAUUUCGGGUCGGGUCGGGUCGGAUCGGGUCGGGUCGGAUUAUUUGCCCACCCCUAGUUGCUGGCCCCUCAUCACUCCAACCCCACAUUGAACUCUAAACUUCACACAUUGCAUAUGUGUUGAGCUUACCGCUCCUGUUAUCCAUUUGAACAGUCUGCUCAAAAUAACUUGAUAAAAGCUAGGCUCCUCAACUACCACCCAUGUCACCAUCAUUAUCUUUUGUAGUGGGCUCGACCCUAUUUUCAGUGGCAAGUUUAUCACCCCAAUGGGAAUCAACUCAGCUUUGCCAAACCCUUGUAACGAUGUUCUGACAGGAUCGAGCUUGAGGUCCCCUAUUUGCAGAUCUUCCAGAGUUUGCUUAAACAAGAUGCCGACCAAGCUACCCCUAUUUACAAGAGCCCAAUUUAACUCUUGCCUUGCCAAGGUAACCUUCACUACAAGCGCAUCUUCUUGUGGAUGUGUGACCACUUCCUCGUCUUCGUAUGUGACCAUGAUUGGCACUCUUUAAAUCUGCUGUUUCUUUAGUGCCGGAACAUUAAAAUUCACCUUAUAACUUUUUAGUGAAUAUCUACUAUAAUUUCUCCUCGAACGGUUUGAGUCUCCUGCUAGGGUCAGCCUUCCCAUAAUCAUCAUCGCCAUAUUAUCUCUGAUGUCCCCUCUUCUCCCACCUCUUCCUUGAUCAUUUACAUACUCCUUUAUGUAUUGAUUUUGCACUAACCACUCAAUCUACUCUUUCAAGUUUAUGCAAUCUGCGGUUCCAUGCCCGGACACUUUGUGAAACUCGCAAUACUUGUGGUGAGCACAAGUAAUCCCUUAUCUUUUAUUGCAGUAUAUAUUUCUGAUAUGCUCGUAUUCAUAAGAGUGUAUCUCCCGCCCUGCUCUACUAAGUUCACCCCAUGGUCAGAUCUCGAUCCUCUCCAGUCUACAGGCAGCGGCAACCUGUUAAACUCUCUUACUCGGUUUUCCCACUGGUUCCUCUCAUAGUUAUUUCCUUUCUCUCAACCCCUACCUACUAAUGAGAUUUCUCUUCUUUCAAGAUUUCUUUCCCAAUCUCGAGUCAGCCUCUUUGGUCAUCUGUAAUUGAACAACCCUCCAUCAUAAUGAUGCCUAUCAUUUGUAUUCCUCCUCAACCUAUACCCAAGGUUAUCUCAUCUCCUUCUUGGAUCUCUCAUUCUCAUUGGACCCCAUCUCUGCUCUUUCAUUCUUCUCUUUUCUUCCUCUACAUAUUCAGUUUUCAUAUCCAAUUUUGCUUGGUCGUAUGCCUCAGCGUACGUUGUUAUCCCUUUACUAUAUAAGCUAUUCCACAAUCGAUUGAUUCUCAACCCUUUCUUUAAUCCUUUUAGGGUAUCCGGAUAAUCAAAGGCCCCUAAAUCGGUGACUUCUUUAUGAUACUUGGUCACGAAGCUCCUCAAACUUUCAAAUUCUCCUUGGACCAAUUUUUUCAACCUGCUUGUAUCCUGCUCUGGUAUGCGAAAAGCUCACAUAACUCUUUGAAAUUUUCUAUGCUUCCCUUCUUUAAUCUCCGGUACCACUCCCGUGCCUGUCCUUCUAGAGUUAAGGGAAAAACACGGCACCUUUGAAAAUCAUUCAAACCUUGAAUCCCGGUCAUCUCAUUAAGCCUCUCCACAUGAUGAUUCGAGUUAGUUUUUCCUUCUUACACCACGGCUGGAACCACAUACUUGGGUGGCAAAGUUACCGCCAUCACCUCAGGUACCAAGGGGUAUUCGUCAUCAAGUAACAAUCUUCCUACCACUUUCUUGCCCUUCAUUUUCGCCUCUAAUGCCUCUAGUUCCAACAUUCUCUGCUCAAGCUCAUUUUCUCGUUAGGGGUUUCUCAGGUCUUCUCUCUCUCUUUCAUGAUUCAGGUCAUUGAUUCUCUCCCUCAACUCGUUCUCUUGUUCUCCUGCACUUUUGUUAUCCUGUCGUACCCCAACUUGUGGUAGUCUCAUUCCGCUCUGCUGUUGACCACUAAGCUCUUCCCUCUCCCGCGCUCCACUACUCUCUGGAUCACUAAUUCAAACUUGAGACCCUCUGACUUGGGCAUCAACCAGCCCCUUGAUCAUCUCUUCAAAUCUUGUCAUUUGCCUCUCGAUCCAUUUUCUCCAUCUCUUAUCUGCCGUGGCAUUCAUUUCCUCCUCCAAUUGGCGCAAGGUCUACCUAUCUCCGUCAUUAUCAUCCAUCGUCGUUUCUAAUCUGAUAGCCUUCUCCCUCUAAAUCUUCAAAUGUAUGACUUUUCGGACCGUUCCUCACAGAUGACACUAAGAUGUUGAUGCCGAAAAAUGACCUCAACAGUUGAAUGUUUUCUUUGGGGAAUAACAGCAUGAAUCCAAGCUCAAAUGUCAAUCUGAUCGCAACUUUCUACACCUGCCAACCAGAAAACACAGUUAGGAUACGCCGGUGGGGUUCUGGCGUAGACUCUCCGAUGCUUAAGUAAAAAAUUGUAUAUAAGGAAAGAAAAACGAGAAUGAAGAAUCGUGAAUAAGUUAAAAUCAAGGAAUUUUUUCGAUAGAGGUGUUGAAAGUCUUGUAGGAAAUAAAAAGGCUUUUAGAUAGGUGACUUGUAAAAUUUUUGGUUGAUUUUGCUAACCCCCUCCUAUGUUGCCCUCUUCAGCUUAAUAGGCCCUUGGUUAGGGAUGGCAAAAAUCCCCACGGGUACGGGUACCCUCGGGGAUUUUCCCCAUUCGGGGAGGGUAUGGGGAUAAUUUCAUACCCAAUUUCUUAUUCGGGGAAGGGGCGGGGAAAUUUUUUUACCUAAUUUCUUAUUCGGGGAGGGGAUGGGGAUGAGGUGGAAUCCCCAUCCCCUACCCAUUUCCCCAUUUUAAUUUUUAAUUUUAAUUUUAUUUUUUAAAAUUACUAGUAAAUAAAUAAUAAAAUUUGAAUUAUAAAAUUAUAAAUAUUGGUAAAAAUAAAAAAUAUCAAAAUAUUUAUAUUAUUAAACCUUUAGGCUUAAUUAACUAAUUAAAGUCCUAAAUUUUUAUUUAAGACAUUAAAAAUUCUAUUAGCCCAAAAAUUUUGUUUUAAUUUUAAUAUUCAUUAAAUGUUUUAAACUUAAAUCUAUUUUUUAUUUAUUUUUAGAUGUUAUAAUUGCCCACAGCGAAUCACAAUUUUAAUACCUAAUUUAAUCUAAUCUAAUCUAAUUUAAUAUAAUAUUUGCUCUUGAUUUACUCCGACUUAACUAUUGUGCUGUGAAGGGAAUAGUCCACAUUUAUAAAGUGUCACGCCACCAUUGAAAAAGUUAAUUUUGAAUCUAAAUUCGAUUUUAUUUGUAACAAUUUUGUAUUAGACUAUUAAUUUAUUCACGAUAGUUUGUAAAAGAAGUUUGUAUCUCUUACAUGAUGCGUUACUUACUAAUUUAAUGUAUGUGACUUUUGUAAUGAAUAUUAAUGUAAGAUAUAUUUCAAACUUUACUUUUAUUUGAAUUUUUUAUUUUAAUAUGAUUAACUCAAAAUCGAAAACAAAAAAUGUAUUAGUUAUUCGGGGAUCGGAGACCCUUGGGGAUCCCCUGUUAUUAUUCGGGAAGGGGAUGUGGAUUCUCUCAAGUAAUUCUGACGGGGACAUACGCAAAAUAUCGGGGAUGGGUACGGGGAGAUUGGUCCCCUCCCCUCCCCUCCCCAUUGCCAUCCCUACCCUUGGUCGUGGGCGGUUAACAUCUUAACUUUAGCCCACUUUCUUCAACAGUUGCAAGUGCUUAUUAAUUGGAGGUGGUUUAAGAAAUCGUGGCAUACAACUUCCCUAAAAAUUAGGCCACGUUAUCUCGACUAGUAAUUUUCCAUGUCAAGUAGUUCUCAAGUCGGACAAAUGAAUUUCGAGGUCUGGCUAUCUUACUUACUUCCUAGAUUGGUGAAUUUUUGGGUCACUCACAUAGGCUUAAAGUUGUAUUCUUAAAUUAGGUCAUUUGCAUAAAUCUCAUGUUAUACUUAUAAACCAGGUCGCCAACAUAGGCUCUAGGUUGUAUUUAGGAGGUUUGCUCAAUAGUAAUAAAUUUUGAGUAGAUUAAUGCUGACUCUAUUUCUAGAUGCUAUCAGAAAAAUCCAACCCGAACACCAAUUAUUCCAACCCUUAAAUCAUUGGAUUGAUUAAAAUUAAAAAAAAAUUAUUUGUUACUUAAAAUCAAAUUCAUAUAUGAAAAAUAUAUAUUAAUUUUCUAUCAUAACUUUAAAUGUUAUCCAUUGUAUCCAACAUUUAUUGAUAAAUAACAUGACACAAUAUUUGAAUAUUUAUCAACUUACUUUCAGUGAAAAUAGUAAGUUUAGUUAUUUAUAGUUUAAUAGCAAAUAGUUGACAUUAAUCUUUUUAUGAUUUUUAGAAAUUUUGGGUUGGGCUAAACUAUAUAAGAAUAUGAACUCAACCCAACUCAAUCAUCAAUUGAGCUGAAAAUUUUUUUAAAAAAAAUUGAUUCAAUUAACUCAUUAUAACCUAAUCAAUCUAUGUCAAUUUAAUUAAAUUGAGUUGAAUUGGAUUAGAUCCAUCGAGUUAAAUUGGGUUUACUCACCUAAAGGGAGUUUGUUCUGAAAGUCAAGUGUUAGUCUAGCUUUAUAAAUUUAUUAGAUUACUUAUUUUGACUCCCUUAUUCGGAGCUAUCUUAUUGUAAGCAUGAUGUGGCAUUGUAAUGUUGGUCAUUUUAGUAUUGUUUAAUUAGCAUAACUACUCUUUAAAAAAAAUCAAAAAUCAAAAUUUUAAAUUUCAGUAAACAAGAAGAAAGUUACGUUAUUGAAUGUAUAUACUUGUAGAGAUUAUCCAGAACAAUUUAUGAAUUUUGACAAAUCUACUCUCUAGAUUUUUUACUAAAUAAAUAUUCUUAAUUUGGAUCCACCUUUUAUAAGAAGAAAUUACUAGUUUGAAUGUAUUUAUUGCAGUUCAUUACAUAAAUUGCUAAUCUUUUAACCAUUUUGGGAAAGUGAAUUAAUUUUGGACGCAUAAAAAAAACAAGGGCUUCACCCAUUUCCACAUCAUCAUCCAUCUCUACCAGUCUUCUCCAAUAGAUUCAAUUUUCUUAUGUUCUUAUUCUGAAUUGAAAUUUCAACAAUUAUUCAGAGAGAGUAAAAGUACUAAAAUUUGGUAAGGGUCAUAUUAUCUUUGAUUCAUUAUCUUGUACUAAUAAAUUAAAAGAUUUAAAUAAAAUUACAAUGGUUUGCACUACAUAAUAUAUAUAUGUAUUUUUUACUUGGUUAUUUUCUUUUUCUUUUGUUGGAUUAUUAUUGGCUGUAAAUGAAGAUUUGGAACAAGAUUUAGAGACUGCAUGCCUUCAUGGGAAAACAAGGACCUUGUUUACAUUGUGGAAUUGAAAGUGAGUCUUCUGUUUUAUUACAUUAAUUAAUUUAUCAUUUCAUAAAUUACAUAUAAAUCCAUCAAUCAUUUUUAAGUACGGAUACCCGUAAUUUUGUAUCACAGUUCUAACUCGGCAGUUUAUGAAUGGGCAAAAUCAGAACCACGUCGUUUAGGAUUUUGCAUGUUUGGGCACCAACUUUGGACAAACCAGCUUUUUUUUUUAAAUUUUUUAUUUAAGAUAUGUGUGUUAGUGAGUGAUACAAGGAGUGAACAGGGACUCCGCUAUGGCGAAAUGGACCCCCUGAGAAACCAGUGCUUUGCAAUGCAUGUGGAUCAAGGUACAGGCUAAGAGGAACUCUUAACAACUAUGCACCAAAGCAUCUUCAAAGUGCUUUUCCAUUAAAGAAGAAGAAGAAGAAGAAGCAAGAAAGCAAAAUGAUUCUGAUCAAUAGUUCCAGAACUGAAGAGAAAAUUUAUGAUGUUUCAAGCAGCAGCUGCGAUGAUGUCUAUAGAACUGCAGCUUCAGAAGGUUGUGAGAGUAAUAUUAAUGAUGGGUGAAGUUCUUCAGAAUCCACAACCAUUUCUUGCACUGAGGCUGGAAGCUGCUUUGAAAGUAAUAAACAUGAGGAUAGAAGCCAGCCGCCAGGUAAUUUAUUUACAUAAAUAUUUUCCGAAUUCUGCAACUAAAGGGAUUUUGUCACAAUCUCAACCCAAGCUCCUCCUUAUUUGUCGAAAUUAAUCAUUUUUUUGCUCAUGUUUUAAAAACCCACCAACAGUAAUACAAUAUAAUUUCUGGACCACUUAACACUGGAUUUAAAUUGGAAAAAAAUGGCCGUAAACAGAAUAUUAUCAGCAUCAGAGGGAUUCUAGUGGUUUAAUAUAUGACGGAGAAAAUAAUGAAUGAAUCUCACCAAAAUAGAGAUGGAUUUUGGUUUCUUUCCUCAGUUAGCAAUGUUAAUAUAGACAGAAGCAUUGAGUUUAAUGGUCAUUAAAGCCCCUUCUCACUUACGUGAGCAGGAUUCGAUUAAUUAUUUUAACUCUAGGGAUUUUAACAAUUGGACUAGUUGACAUGCACAAAUAGCAGUAUGCUCUAAGUGGACAAGUUUAUUGUUUGUAUUUUCACAUUUAUGCAUUGCCAGCAUAUUUUUUGUCAACAACUUUAACAUAUUUCUUAUUUAUAAAAGUGCAAUGAGUGAAGAAGAAUAUCAAAACAAUUUUUCAAAUGUAUGAUCAUAGGACAUACCAAAUGAUCAUGAUUUUAUUUCAAAUGAUGAUGAUUCUCUAAUGGUCUAAUUGCAUGCAUGCAGGUGAAAUCCAACAGAGCUUGUGGGAUGUUCGUAUUCCUUCAAGAAAAAGAUCCUUAGUAGUCUACAAAAGCCUUUCCCCAAUUGAAAGGCUUCAAAGAGACCUUAAAAAAAUUCUAAGGCAUCGUCAAGAUCCCAAUUCUAGUAUUAUUUCUGAAUCUCAAGAUGGUGUCCUCCUUUAUAAUCUCAACAACCAAAUUAUUUAUCCUUCCGAAAUUGGUCUCGGAACCAUUCUUCUCAAAUAAUUAAUCCUACUAUUUUAGAUACAUGCAGGGUUGUUUGGUAUGAAAGAAAAUAAUAGAAAAUCAAAGAGCCAUGAUUGUAAAAAAAAAUAAAAAAUUGUAAUUUGAUGUCGUUUUAUUUUUGUAAACAAGAAUUGUUAGAAAUGUUUUACAUAUGCAGUGUUCCUCUUAAGUUACUUUCAGAUUUGGUUUCCUUUUGUUCCUCAACUAUUUGUGGCUCUAAUGAAUAUAUUCAACUCCUUUAAAUGGUAUCGUGUGGCCAACCAGCAGCUUAUUAGCUUUCAGAAGUGAAAAUUAUCUGGCAUGUAUAUCCUAUUAAAUUUUACACACACGUGUGCACUUUUCAUGUUGCAAAUGUAAAAAAGAAGUUUCCCGAAAUAAACUUAAUAACUUAUUACUUUAAAUUAAAAUACAUUAACAAUUAGGAAAAAAAAAGUUUUAAGUAUUAUUAUACAUCAAUGAAUUCAUAAUAUACGAGUCAUAAAAUUCAACUUAAAAUUUUGAACUAUUGAAAUCAAGCAAUUUAAUGAUGAAUGAAUAACCAUCAUUAAAUGCUACUUUAAAUUUUAAUAUUUUUCAUUGGAUUGCUUGAAAUUAAUGGUUAAAAAUUUACGUCAAAAUUUCAAUAUCUUUCUUCUUAUAUCUUAUAUGAUUGGCACCCGCAAGCACCCAAUAACAAUACAGAUUUUCCAGAUAAAAUACCUGCGAAACCCUAAUUUUUCAGAUCAAGUUAAAGGAGCAACCACUAUCGGUGGAGAAGAAGCAAUAAAUUGGGGCUUAGCAGGACCAAUGCUACGAGCGGCUGGAAUAAAAUGGGAUCUUCGUAAAGUUGAUCAAUGCCAACGGAUUUUUGUAGCGCCUUAGACUGCACAAAAAUAACCAUAGAAGUACUCUUCUCUGCCAAUUAGUGUCUCAACGGGGAAGAUAAUUAAACAAGAUCUCAAGAAGCAUUUUUGGCAUUAAAACAAAAUUGGGGAUAGAAAAGAAAAUAAAUACAACAUUUCAAAAAAUGUCAACAAAACAAGAACCAACCAAAAUCAUGCCGUUGGUUUCUUGCGUGCAAAUCUCUGCAAAGAUGCCGGUAGUUCAAGUUCCUCGGAUAAUUUUUGCUUCUUUUUAGACAAUGAUUGCUCUCCCUUUAAUUGUUGAUCCAGAAACGGUCUCUUGGCUUUUGCAACCAGUUCUUGCUUCUUCUUGGCUUUCUUACUCGGUUUAUUCCUACCCUUUGUUUUAUUCUUCCAAACGAAGCCCUUAACGGCCUCAACAGCAGCUUCCAUUUCGGCUUCUCUCUCCUGCUUAGUUGGUUUCUCUUUCUUCUUCGCUUCCCUCACCGUACCAAUCUUAGAUGGAUUCAGCAUGAUUGUUUCAGGUGGGAGCUUGUCAAGAAGAGAGCGCACUUCCUUCUCUCUCCUCUGUUUAGAUGUUUCGAAUGGGUUUGCCACCCAGGAAUCGAAGUUGGGCUCACCUGAUCCGGGAACAAGAAUACU